CUUGCUGGGUUUUGCGUUAUGGGGAAGCUUGGUCUGGCUACCUGUUUGCUCAUCCUUCUCAACUUGGCUACACUCCUCACUUCUCUUGCUCGUCCCUACCCCCCAUACCCAACUCCUCCUAAACCAGCCAAUAAAACGCACCCCCUUCUGACCCUUCCAGAUAAACAUCCUCCAUACGUCAAGCCAGCGCAUACACCUAAGCCACCCAAGCCUCCGGUGGUCAAGCCACCCAAGCCUCCGGUGGUCAAACCACCCUACGUGCCUAAGCCUCCGGUUGUCAAGUCACCAGUGAUUCCAAAGCCACCCCCAGUCGAGACACCAUGCCCUCCUCCCCCACCGCCACCACCACUGUACCCACCUCCGGCCCAGGUGACGCCCCCGCCACAAAAGACAUGCCCCAUUGACACUCUGAAGCUGGGUGCAUGUGUGGAUUUGUUGGGAGGGCUUGUGCAUGUUGGGAUAGGAAGUAGUGCUAAGGACACAUGCUGUCCGGUGCUGCAAGGGCUUGUGGACUCGGACUCUGCCCUGUGUCUUUGCACCACCAUCAAGGCCAAGCUUCUUAAUGUCAAUAUCAUCAUACCCAUUGCUCUUCAAGUCCUUGUUGACUGUGGCAAGACUCCACCUCCAGGAUUCCAAUGCCCUGCCUAAGGUAAUCCAUCCUUCAAUUUUGUCAUUAAUUUCACAUGAUUCGCCCAUGUCUUCCCAUAUACAAAGAAGUUGACUAGUGCUUUUCCUCGUUAAUGAUUGCAGUGGAUGACAUUAGUUUGGAAAUUGGAAGAGAAUAACACAUGAGGAGCGAGGUUGAAGAAAGCCAGUAUAGUAGAAAAUGUGUGUUUGUGUUUUGGUAAUCUCUCUGUUGUACGUAUAUCAAAUGGAUAUAGUAUUGUGAGGAGCUUUUGUUGUAUCAUGUAUGCAUAAAUGCAUCAUCUCGUGCAUGUUUUUCCGUUGUGGUGUUAUCAGUUAAACAUAUUUUAUACGUUUGAAGUGGAUAGUUCUUUGUUUUCCACUUUAAUCAAUCUCAACAAGUCAUCUGAAUUUUCAAUUGGGCCACAGCUUCAAUCAUCAGCUCAGCCUAAUCCCAUUUACCCAACUUAUACUCUACUAGUUUUCUAAAAUAAAAAAUAUAUAGUGCUAAAUUAUUAGCACAUAAACUCAUGAUCAUGCGUAUCAUUCUCAUGAAAUCUACAUCAUCCAUGAUUUUAUAUCCUAAAUCUAAACGAGGAAUGAAUCAAUUAAAGAUAAAUUUAGGUGUUCUUUAAAUUAUAUCCUAAUAAAACUAUUUAGAAAAAUCAUAUUUUAGAAUUGUUUUUAAAAAUAUUUUUCAAAUACAGCAUAAAUUUUCAAAAAAUUACUUUUAUCCAAAUUUUAGGUAAUUAAAAAAAUGUUUUUAUUCUGUAGAGAUAAAUAUUCAUUUAAGGUCAAAAGCUAAUGAAGUGAUGAUAAAUGUAACGGAGAACUUUCCUUGUAAUAUUCUGAUAAAGACUACUUAUUCUGCAUUUGAUAAGGGAGUGACUGAUGUAACCGUAUCCACUAAAGCUCCGUCAUCUUUUGUACACUUCCCCAUCUACCAAGCAAAGCAUACGUUUGUCUGAUUUAGUGCUCCUCUGAGUACCUUUAGUUGAAACGAUUCCUUUGAAAAAGUAGGAUUUUUUUAGAAAGCAUUAUAAGUGAAGUUUCAACUUAUCAAAGUGCUUUAUAAAUUUUAAAAUGUUUUUAAAAAGUACUGUCAAAUGGACUCUCAAAUGCAUUUUGCAGGAGAGAUCACUAUCAAAGUUGAAGGGGCCCAAAUAGUUGCAGGAGCCUUAUGAUUUCAACAGACCUCAAGGGACUGGUGGUGCUUGUCAUUGAGAUUAUUAAAAGUAAAAGUUAUUGGACUUUUAUUUCAAUACAUAAUCAAAAGCUCAGAGGACCAUUAGGCAUAUUCAACAGCCAUUUAGGCUUUGUUUUCUUUUUUAUUUGACAUUUUGGCUUAUUUUAUUGAAUGAUUUGGCAGUGCUUAUAUGCAUAAAAAAAAAAAUAUCUCCACUGAAUUAAAAAGAAACAAAGGUGCAGGUUUAGCAUAUGACUCUAUAUUAUCAUAUAUUUGGUUUGCUGCCAUGCCUUGCUGCUUAUAAUGUAACCAACUGUUCUUUUUUUUUUUUUUUCUCUGUCUCUGAAGUCUGAAUCUGUGUCCCACCACUUUGAUUAAUACAAAUGGGUUGAAUCUUUAAUUUUGUGCUUGGAAGAAUUUCUAAAAGAUUGUAGGAUGGUUGGAUAGGUUUUAGCAGACAGUGCAUUUGUCUUCCCACUUUCUCAGGAAAGAUACUUUUGAUUAUUCAAUUUUAAAGAUUGACUAAGUAUAUGGGGUGCAAAGCAACACUUGGGGUUGCUUUUCCUGUGUUAUUUUCCUUUUUAGCUCAAGAAGUUUGUUCUUGGUCAACAAUUUUAUGAUUGUGGUUAUGUGAAACAAGUUAGGGUACAUUUGAUUCCAAAAACAAUUUGAAGGAAAAAAAAAAAUAUAAGAAAAAAGAUAUAAAAAAAAAUUAUAAAAGUUUUCUUUUGUCUGAUAAUCUAUGAAAAGAGUUGAAAGAAAGAAAUAUAAAUUAUUGAAAUAUACAUUUUUUUCAAGCUUUCAUUAUAUUUAUUUAAAACCAAAUAAGGGAAAAAUCUUUUACUAUUUUCCUUUAUCUUUUUUAAGCGUUUUCAUCGUAAGAAAAUAAUUUUUCUUUACAUUCUUUUUCCUUAUUAAUUUUCAAGAAUCAUGUAUAUCAUGGUAAUUUUAUUUUAUUUUUCUUCUUUUGUUCCAUUCCUUAUCCUCAGGUUGUUUGAACGGUUUUUUAGUAAUCAAAUUUUCAUCAUCAUGUCAAUUUUUAUUCUUAUUUCUAUUCCUGUAUAUUUAAACACAUUUUCAUCAUCGUAUUCUCUAUUUUUAUUACAUAUUAAGAAUUACUUACCAAAAAAUUAUUCAGAAAUCAAUUUAAAUAACUUCUAAAAUAAUUUUUAGAAACUUGUUGGACACUUCAUAAAAAUCAUUUCCAACUCCUUCACAAUCACUCCCAAACCGCCUCUUAAUAUGAUUUAAGAAGCACUUUAAGAAGGGGAAAGUUGUUGGUUUAAGGAUCAAUUACAUCAUGACUAGCGGUUGUAAGUUGUGAGGAUGGCAUAUUGACAAUCAUACAUAGAAGGAAAAGAGAAGAAAGAAGGGUUUAUUUUUCUUACUUGAGUGCCCAGUGUCUGUGAUGUGAAUGAGGAUUGACUUCAUUAUGGUGCGUUCCAUUAAACCUUAGAAAAUUCAAAAUUGGGUCUGAAAAUAGAAGUGCUUUUCGGCUAACUAAGCCCACUUGCAGCAGCACAUAUGGACGUACACCUUGGAAUUUCCGACUUCCUUCCUAGUGUAGUGCCAUUAUCUAAUUUGUAUACUUUCUCCCAAAAAUAAAACAUCACAUGCAGUAUACCAUUUUAUCAUCUUAUGUGACAAGAAUUGAUAAUAAUCAAAAGGUUAAUAAAAAUACGAAAAUGUUAUCAAAGCUUAUAGAUAAUUAAAAAAUACUUAAGAAUAAUUUUAAAAUGUUUUAAAAGUGAAAAAAUUUUGAAAAAAAAAAACGAUGGGUAUUGCAAACGAAUGUUUCGGUUGCUAAAAAAAUAUAGUUUCAAGGGACCUUAAGAAUGUUCAAAAGUAUAAUCCUCGAAUAUAUUAAUUUUAAGAUAUUUUAGUUAUUUUAUUAAUGAUCAUUUUGUCUUAAUUUUUUUUAAUUUGGGUGAAUGUAUUAAGAUAUUUAGCAUAUGUAAAUACAAACAAUUUUUUUUUUCAAAAUGAUUUUAAAAAUUUUAAUAAAUGCCUAAUCAUUUUAAGGAAAUAAUAAUAAAAUCUUUCAACCAUUCUCCACACUUUUUAAUUACAUUUUUAAUAUCUUUAAUUACGUUUAUACUUUUCACAUUCUAAGCAAAGCACAACAAGGGUAAGCGGUAUAAUAUUGGAUUCCAAAAAGAAGCACAAAUCUUAAAAAAAAAAAUGUUGAUUAAACUAUUAAGCAUAACAUAAAACCAUGGGUAUAAUUAGGAAGAGUUAAGGGAAAGUUGUGUUUUGGUGGGCCAAUUUGUUAAAUAUAUGAUUUUUGGAACCCAGGUUUAUGAAAUAUGAAAAACAUCUUUUAAUGUGGAAACUUAUAUGAGUUUCAUGCACUCUGAGCCGCUUGUCUUUUUUCUACCAAGAUUGCCCCUCCCGAUAUCUAGGUCAGCAACAUCCGCAAGGCACGUCAGCACGGGCUGGAACUCCAAAAUCAAAUAUUCUUCUUCCCCAAAAAACACCCUAGCCGACAGUUCUUUCUUCCCCCUCUCUCAUUUGAUACCCAUUCCUCUCAUCUGUCUUCACUCCGUCACCGAGGCAAUUUGAGCUUCCCACAAAAACAAUGUAGUCGACGGUUCAACACCCUAGCCGACUGUUCCCUUUCUCUCAUUUGAUACCCAUUCCUCUCAUCUGUCUUCACUCUGUCACCGAGGUGAUUUGAGCUUCCCACAAAAACAGUGUUGUCAACGGUUCAACACCCUAGCCAACGAUUCUUUCUUCCCUCUCUCUCAUUUGAUACCCAUUCCUCUCAUUUGUCUUCACUUUGUUACCGAGGCAAUUUGAGCUUCCCACAAAAAUAGUGUAGCCGACGGUUCUUUCUUCCCUCUCUCUCAUUUGAUACUCAUUCCUCUCAUCUUUCUUCACUCUGUCACCGAGGCAAAGCAGAGAACCGUGUAGAGUUUUAAAAAAGUUUUGUCAUUUCAAUUGAAAAGGCCUUAAUCCCAUUUGUCUCAUCUAAGAUUUUCUCUCUCAAGGUAACCCAUUGCUUCCUUGUUUUGCAUUCACAAUCAUAUUAAAAAAAUCUGUUGUUUGUGUGGGUUUUUUCUGAACUAGGUGUGACUCAAAUGUUGGCAUUUAGGAGUUGGUACUGAAUUUUUAAAUUUGUUUGUAAUGAAUCAUCAUCGUAUUUUUCAAUUCCAUGCGUUUUUUUUUUUAGUUUCUACUAUUUUUUUUUGGAUUGGCAAAUUCUCAAAACUCUGUUGUUUUGAUAUAAAAUGAAGGCAAGAAUAUGGGUUGGGAAUUGUUUUGCUGAAAAACCCAUUUGUUUUGGUUGUGGUUUAGAACUAGGAAAAACAUAUUUGAAUUGAUUUGCCAAAAAGGAAUUUUUUUUUUGCCUUUUCGUUUUUGGGUAUUGGGAAACAAUGCAUUUUUAGUGAAACUCAUUUAUUGGAUUGUAUUUUUGGAUUGGGCUAUGUAGUAGAUUACCAAAAGGGAACACUUUUUGGGGAUGAUGUAUUUCUUUUGAGAGCGAAAUAAGUGCUUCUGAAAUGGUGAUUUUUAGAUUCCAAAUUACUCAGGUUUUUGGGUUUUUGUGAAUUGAUGGUUAAUGGGUGCUAAAGUUUUCGUUGUUUUUUUUUUGUUUUAUAUGUAUAAUUUAAAUUCACGUCCCAUUUCUUCAAAUAUUUUUGGUUAGUAUAUGUUACUCUUUUUGUUGAUUAGUAAUUGAUAUUGAUUUAGAGAUUCCUUUUAGAAGAUGGAAAUAGAAAAGGCUAUAUAGGAACUAUUGGUAUCAUGCACUGGUUUAAUUUCCUUCAUAACUCUUUUGGAAUUAGGGAAUGCAAGUAGAAUGGAUGAAAUGCAUUUUGAUCUAUAUAUUGUUUUUUUUGUUUGUCUGUGACUGCUCCCAUUUAGCACAAAAUGACGUAGAUUUGAUAAUUUUAUCAGUUUGAUUUUCAUAUAUUUAUAUAAAAUUACUUUAACUAUUAGGCAGUUGCUAUAAAUGCUUAGAAAAAAGGAUAUGGGUUUUCAGUAGUUAAAAUUAUCUAGUCAAAUUUAUAUUUUAUAUAUACAAGUAAUAAUUGUAACCCUUAAAUGAAGUAACUAAAUUUUAAAUGACAUAAAUUAAGAAAUGAAAAUUUUAUGACACUCUAAUCUUCAGAUAAAUGGUUCUUUAUGAAUAAACAGUGUGGGGAGGAGCCAGAUCUCCAUGGCUGACCAUAAAGCUGUUCCGAUUCCAUUGGUUUUUGUAUUUACCGUAACAAUACAAACUUCCAAUGCUGAUGAAGAGCUCGUAAAAAAAUAAAUUGAGCUAACAAAACCUUGCUUGUCAUUAUGACUGACCAAAUUUGUAGUCGUGGUGUGCUAGUUAGAAAAUGUUCACUUCUCAUAUUAGCCUUAGUAACUUCAUUCCUUAACAUUAGGUAAUUCCUUUAUCAAUACGUAGGUCGUUUCGCAAGGAUAUAACCAAUCAAUCGCAUUGCAUGGGCUACGUGCAUAAAACAUACUCAAUUGCGCAUCGUGUUCUAUUUUGGUGAUCAGUUGGUUAGCCUUAUUCUACUACUAAGUUAACCUUAUGUACUAGCUCAUUAUUCCUGAAAGUACUACCUUAAUCGACUGUAGGUACUGCCUUAGUCAACAUCAGGUACUACCUGAGCCCACCUUGGGUACUACCUGUGUGACGAUUGAAAACUGCAUUUUAUUCAAUUGUAGAUAAUUCAUAUGUGAAUAAAAGUUGACUUUAUUUUUAACCCAAUGGGGUCAAUUUGUCAAACAUAAGACCCAGAGGCUGUUUUCAAGCCAUGCAUAAAUUAAAUUUUAUUCACUUCCACAUACAACUUAUCAUGACAUUAUGUGUUUGAUUACUCUGCUCAUUUGGUUCCCCUUAUCCUUACUACAGACUGUAUAGGUACUAUCUUAAUUAACCUUAGGUCUAACCUUAGUAAUCUUUAGGUGCUACCAUAGUUGGACUUGCACACUACUUGUGCGCAUCAUCCAAUUAUCAUGUUUGAACCUUAAUUGCAUAGUUCCUUGUUGGAAUCUUCGAAAGUGCGUAUGUGACGCUUAUAUAUUUCCUACAUCAAAGUAUAUGUAAUCAAGAUACAUAAUUCCUCAAUCUUUCGUUGUUGUAUUGUUUGUAACAAAUCUUUAUGUCAUUAAGGAAAUGGAAGAUGAGAUGUUUUGUUACAUUCAUGAAGGUGGUGAGCUUGUUAAGAUUGUUGUUGGGUCCAUUGAAUAUAAGAGUGGUCGGACCAAUUGCAUUGUUGUUAGCAAGAAUAUCUCACAUUUUGAAUUCAUUUCAAAAGUAUGUGGUGAACUUAACUUGGAGCCCAAUUCAAUAAAAUUGGAUUUCACAGUGAAGUUUGACCCAUCAUGUCUACUCCCCUUGCAUAAUGAUGCCGACAUAGUCAAGAUGUUCAAAUUCAACGACAUGUUUUCUCAUGCCUAUGUCUUCCAAUGUAUUGAAGGUGGUGAUGGCUUCAUUUGCCAUACUAGGUACCUAAUGUCUUUCCACAAUAAUGUUCCCUUUUGUAUAAUCGCUUUUCACACCUAGGUGGAUGGAUGAGCAAUUUAUUUCCCUGUGUUUUUUCCAAUGUCCCAACACCUAUUGUUGCUUCAAACUCGGUUCAUGUUUCAUUUAUUGGCAAGCCCCAAUUGCACAUGUCUAAUGAGUCGCCCACAAUUGAGUCAUUUGGGUUUUCCCAAAGAUGUGCUGAAACAAAUAUCGUUCAACUUCAACCAAGCCGGUUCGAAGAUUCAAUUGUAGGUAGUGGACAUACCUUCCCAAAUGCCUCGGGGUUUCAAGAUGCAAUUUAUUUGAUGUCUUUGGCUGGAAAAUUCCGAUAUUCUUACAAAAGGAAUAGUCCAAAACACAUGACCGUAGUAUGCACAAUUGAAGAUUGUCCUUGGAAAAUCACUGCCCGUGCAAUAGGGGAUUCGAAGAUUGUUCAAGUACACACAUUUCGAAAUUUGCAUAACCAUUGCUUGGAAGAUGUUGCCUUGUGUCAACCUUUAGUGAGAUCCACUCGUGUGUCCUUGGUCAUUGAUGAUGUCAUUCGAUCUACUCCUAAAUACCAACCACAACAAAUUUGUAAGGACUUUGUAAUGUAACAUGACAUCCAGUUGACUUACCUAUAAGAAUGGAAACUGAAGGAGAAGGCUAAGAAACACAUUUAUGGACAACCCAAGAAUUAUUACAAAUUGUUACCAUGUAUGUGUGAAAGAAUUCUUGCAACAAAUUUGGGAUUGAGUGUUGAGUUGAGUUAUUCUGAUGAUGGCCAUUUUGAGCAGCUUUUUGUUGCUCAUUCAAUAUCUAUUGAAGGGUUUAUAAGGGGGUGUAAACCAAUCAUUGCAAUUGAUUUGGCCCAUAUGAGUGGGCCUUAUGACGGUGCUUUAUUUUUAGCCACCGCCUACGAUGCUAAUGACUCUAUGUUCCCUUUAGCCUUGGAGUGAUGAGUUCAUAAAAUUAUGAAGAUUGGUUAUGGUUCUUGGAAAAACUGAAGAUAAUUGUGGGAAACAAGGAAGUUAUUAUUAUCUCAUAUAGACAUCCUGCCCUACUUCGUAGUGUUCCUGAAGUGUCUGGCCUUGAAAACCAUGCCUAUUGCUGCCGUCACCUGAAAGAGAAUUUUAGUAGUUUCUUGUCCAAGCAUAACAUACGAGGGAACAAGGGUAAAAAAAUGCAUUGCAAUUCUUAGAUAGCCUUGCGUAUGGAAGGUUAGAACAUGAUUAUAACGUUUCCAUGUUUGAACUAAAAAAUUACAACGAGGCUUUAGCCACAUGGGUUGAAGAAAAUGAGUCACACCAUUAGGCCAUGUCCAAAUUCCCAAAAAAAAAGAGAGGAUAAAAUGACUAUCAACCUUGCCGAGUCAUUUAAUGCUUGGUUACAGAAUGAAAGACAUCACUCCAUUUGUAACUUUUUAUUGGAGCACAUGUCCAAGUUAGCUUUUAUGCUUGUGAAGCAUAAAGAAGAGUCGAAGAAUUGGAAAUGGUGUAUAGGCCCAAAAAUUGAAGAUAAGGUGCUGCAAAAUAUUGCAAAGAGAGAGGUGUAUCCAGUCAUUCUGUUCAUGAAUGGAGUAUUUGGGGUAUGUAUCGGGAGAGCCUUGUUGAAUGUAGACAUUAUGAACCUUACAUGCACUUGUAAGGGUUGGCAAAUGUUGGGAAUCCCUUGUGAACAUGUCGCAGCCGUCAUUAUUUCCAUUGGUCAAAACGUUGCUAAUUUCGUUGAUGAUUGGUACAAAUACCCAAUGUAAGAGUUGAUAUAUGGGGGCUCUUUCUUCAGCAUAGAGACCCAUGACAUGCCUAGUGUGGAUGAUGAUGGUUUGGUUCGAUCUAUCACUGGUGAGGUUUUCUUCUCUCUAAAGCCUCCAUAUACAAAACGCAUUCCCGGAAGGCCAAGGAAGAAGCGCAUUGAGUCCCAAUUUCACGAUAAACAGACUGUGUAUUGCUCUCGUUGUCAUAUGUCCAGCCACAACAGAAAAACUUGUAGGAAUCCUUUGCCCUAAAUGCAUAUUUGUCAACUUAUUGCAUUAUGCAGAUCUUGUAUUACUCUAUUUCAACUAACUUAAGUGAACUGGUUGUCACCAAAUCAGCGUUAGUAUUUGAAUAUUUUGUACCUUUGCCUUCACUUGCUAUGUUCAUUGAGUUAAAUUAUAUUGCUCUGCUUAUUAAUUUCUUUUAGAAUGUCUGAACUAUGGUUGCACCACAUAUUGUUGUAUUGGUAUUUACUCCAAUCGCAUGUAUUUGCUCCCAUUACCUUGGUUAAACUAGUAAAACCAAACUGCAGUAUAUGUAUCCAUGUACAAAGACUACUGUUUCACUGUACUAUAUAGAAUGUCAACCCAACAACCUGAAAUGUAUACCAUUGAAUCCAUGUAUUUUGUUAUUAUUUGUUUUUCCACCAUUUCCCCUUUCUCUCGCCGCCACAACUUAUCUUGUCUAACUACAUACAUGGUGGUUAUUAUCCCACUUUUUAAUGUUCUAUAGGAAUUCCUGCAGCAUAGAGAUGCUGCUUAGGCCACCACUGAAUGUAAAGUUCUUUUUGUUGUUGAGAAAAACAAUUUUGAUUUACAUUGCAUUAUUAAAUUUAUGUUUUGGAAAAAUAUAAUUUUUGUUUUCUUAUGUAGAUAAGUAACUUUCAGUUGGUAAGAGUGUUCACUCUUAAAAUCUCAGCGUUGGUUCCCAAGAUUACUAGCACUGGUGUUUAGUAACUAGUCGAAAUUCUAAGAAGGGCACUAACGUUAUGAUAUUCCUUCUUCACUUGUUGAAUUAUUCUUAUGCUGAAUUAAAUUCACAAUUAAUAGGUCAUAUGAAUGCAUAAAGUGUUGAUGGAGGUUGUAAAAUAUGUUCAUUUCCACAACUUUGGCAGAUUGUGGCGAUUGUCUCUCGCAUGAUGAAUGGACAGCAAGCACCACCAGCGCGCACACACUAUUUUGAUCAUUCGUUCUCGGUGAACCCCUUAAUAUCCUAAAUUGACAUAGUCUCAAAAUAGAAUAGUAUUUGUUGAUGUUUGUAUUGAUUAACCCCACCCUUGAACAGGUUGUUUUGAGCAACCUGAAAUCUAAUGCAACCAGCCAGGUCAUCAUGGACAGAUGCCGCAUGUAUCUGGAUGCUGGUGUAUGGGGCCAUGAUUUGGGGACAUGUGACAUGGUAAAUAAGGGUUGUUAAAGUUCAUUUCCUUAGUAAUAUAUGCAAUGGCAUUGGACAUGACUAUUAUCUUAUAACAUAAAAGCUAAUAACUCUUUAAUGAUAAUGCAGAUGUUCAUACCGGUUUGUGAGACUAAGCAUGUGCAUGUUGUUAAUUUUGCAGUUGGAAGAGUUGAAAUUCUUUCCUCUUUGCCCCUCAGGCGGGGGAACAACAUUAGUUCUGCAACAAGACGAUUAUCAGUGGCAAUCCACAAAGCACUGCAUGCAUUUAGAGUUCAUAUAGACGUGGAUGUCUCAACUUUUAUGCAUGUCCAACCACACCUUGUCCAACAGCUUAAUGGGUAAAAUAUUCAUAUAUUCUAACCAAAAUGGACAUGUGUAGUGAAUUUUUUUCUCAGAUUUCUAUCAUUUACAUGACAAGCCUAAAUGUGAUGUGUUAUAGGUUCAACUGUGGUAUCCUCACACUAAAGUUCAUGGAAUUUUGGAAUGGGGCGACUUUAACUACUUCAGUGGCAGAGGUUAGAGCUGGUUUACACCAUAAUUAGAACUGUUAUUUUUAUUUAUUUAUUAUUUUUUUUACAACAUCAUGAAAUAAGUUUUUCCCAUUUCUGUAGGGCAAGCUGAACAUGUAUAGACUCCAGCUAGUUGUGGAACUAGUGCUCAAUGAAGGCAAUAGUUUUAGAGAUAAAAUUAUGGCCUCCUAUCAUUUGUGACUUCAUGGUUGAUGAUAAGUUUUUUCCUAUCUGAUGCUACUUAUCGUAUAAAGCAAUGAUUGAUUGUAGUUUGUCCACAAAUGACUGAAUUCAUAUCCUGUUAUGUGCUGAUGUGGUUUUGUUCCCAUUCUAAAACCAUUAUUUAUGUUCCAUAUAUGUUGUAUCUUAUUAAGUAUACUACAUCCCAUUGUAACAGUGGCAUUUUGGUGAUGCUGAAUGUCAGAACUUUAUGUACAACAGUGGGCAACGCGUAAGGGACAGAAAGAUUGCAUGGUGAUGCUGUUGCUAAGCCUACGGGAGGGAGUAAUAUCAGACUGAGUCAUAUGUGAUCCUCUUUCUUUAGAUUGUUUGAAGCAAACAUGGUUUACCAUAUGAUCAAAAUUAGGACACGGAUAAAUCAAUUAUUCAAUCCUCUUCAAAUGAGGAGAUUCAUCACUAUAAUAGGGUUGUUCAUUAAUGUGAAAUAUUGUAUAGGAAAUGGAGUAGGAACAUGGAGAAAAGUCAAUAUUUGUUAAUUUAUGAUGAUUAUUGGCACUAGUCCGUGGUGCAUUGGUGACUUUAUGGACAACAUCUGCGUUUGUAAGAUGUGAUCCAAAGUGAGGUUUAUUCUAGGGCAUCUUCUGUCAAUGUUAUACAUAGGCUGGAGGUUUGGUUGAGUUUGUUGACUAUAUUAGAAACAAUUUGCUGAUGUACAAAUUCCAUGGACUAUGUUUGUGUUUUGUUUUAUUCAGGAAAUCCUAAUGAAGGUCAGGCAUUUGUUACAUAUCCUGUCCAUUUUUUCCUUGUUCCAUGCCAGUGUCCUCUCCAACUGUAGUUCAAAAAUAAGGAUUCUUUAUAGAAGCAGAAUGCUACAAACCAUGGUGACAAAUUCAGGUCUUAUGGGUGAUGGUGAAGACAUGGGAUGGUAUUCGUAAGGAUUAAUUGAAGACUAUUGGCAGUGGUGAUUUUUUUAGAUUGUCAUGUGCUGAGAUGGACUUCAGCAUGUCGAUGAAAUUCCUCCUCCAUAUAUCACAAGUUUUUUUUUUCUUUUAGUUAAUAAAAAUCUGAUGAAAUCAUCUCAUGAAAAAUAAAGAGAAAUCUUAAGGUUUGGCAUCAGAGAAUGGGUGCAACAUGGGUUGUGUGGUGACAUAUUAAUGUGGCAACCUUGCCCGAAUAUGAUGAGAAUGCACAACCCACAAAAUGUCAACUAUCCAUUUUGCUCAUCAUUUUGUGAGGCUUUUAUAAAAUUGCCCUUGAAUAUCAAUAAUGUUAUUACAAAUAAUUAUAUUAAUAAUAAUUAAAAUACUAAUAUUAAUAAUAAUAAUAAUAUUAAUAAUAGUAAAAAUAAUAAUAAGCCAUGUGAUAUAUUUGAAUUGCUUGUUAUGAUUUGUAUUUCUUUUAAGAAGCAGUCAUGAGGUAACCUUCCAACAAAGACAAUCCGAAGUCCUAUUAGUUGUGAACUCGGGACAAUAAUAAUAGAGAAUGUUGUAAAUCACUGAACAUAACUACUAAAAUAGUGCCAAAUUUGAACCAUCCAUAAAUUUGUUGUCUUCAUGCUCACUAUUUCUUCUAAUGCCAAACACGGUAGACAUGAAUGUGCAACCAAAAUGAUUGGAUUCAGCCCUUGACAAAUCAUGGAUUAAGCCAAAAUGCCACUAUGUCCGUUCUCUCCCUAUUCAUCUCUGGCGCCGUUGAAAUCCUCAUCAUGUUCUUAAUAUUUGGCUCAACUCCUAGUCAUGAAGCAAAUUUCUCCCGAUCCUCCAGUCCCCAAGUUAACAUCAUUAGGGAAAUGAGAAUCUUGAUGUUGAUCUUGUAGGGCUGUCACUCGCUCUCCCAAAGGAAGAGCAUCCUCAGUUGCAAGGGUUAUACAGGGUUCGAAAAUGCUUCUACAUGUUGCUCAUGUUUUACUUCCAACAAUCUAUAGGUUGUGAUAGAAAAAUAAAUAUAUGUUAGAAAACCAAUAAAUUUUUGCUUCACAUGAUCACCUUCCAUAUCCAACCACAACCAACCAUAACCUUUCAAUAUCUAGAUAAACACCAAAAUGAGAAAACAACUAUUUACUUAAAUAAAUAGUCACAACAAAAUAUUGACAGAAGAGCAACAUUUCUCCAAGGUGCCUUAAGGUAGUACCUGAGGUACAUUAAGGUAGUACCUCAGGUUCAUUAAGGUAGUACCUUAGGUGCAAUAAGGCAGUACCUUAAAUUUAUGAUGAUUAUAUAAGCUACCGAAUGAGUAACCAAUAAGAACAUAACAAUGCCAUGCUGCAAUAUGUAAUGCAAUGAACUAAUUAUGACUUAAGUCACAAAAGAGCAACAUUUCUCCAAUGUGCCUUAAGGUAGUCCCUUAGGUACAUUAAGGUAGUACCUCAGGUUCAUUAAGGUAGUACCUGAGGUGCAUUAAGGCAGUACCUUAAAUUUUUGAUGAUUACAUAAGCUACCGAAUGAGUAACCCAUAAGAACAUAACAAUGCCAUGCUGCAAUAUGUAAUGCAAUGAACUAAUUAUGACUUAAGUCACAAAAGAGCAACAUUUCUCCAAUGUGCCUUAAAGUAGUCCCUUAGGUACAUUAAGGUAGUACCUCAUGUUCAUUAAGGUAGUAUCUGAGGUGCAUUAAGGUAGUACCUUAAAUUUAUGAUGAUUACAUAAGCUACCGAUGGAGUAGCCGAUAAGAACAGAACAAUGCCAUGCUGCACUCUAUAAUGCAAUGAACUAAUUAUGGCUUAAGUCACAAAAGAGCAACAUUUCUCGAAUGUGCAAUAAGGUAGUACCUGAGGUACCUUAAGGUAGUACCUUAGAUUCAUUAAUGUAGUACCUGAGGUGCAUUAAGGUAAUACCUUAAAUUUAUGAUGAUUACAUAAGCUAUUGAUGGAGUAACCGAUAAGAACAGAACGAUGUCAUGCUACACUCUAUAAUGCAAUGAACUAAUUAUGGCUUAAGUCACAGAAGAGCAACAUUUCUCCAAGGUUCCUUAAGGUAGUACUUGAGGUACAUUAAGGUAGUACCUCAAGUUCAUUAAGGUAGUACCUUAGGUGCAUUAAGGUAGUACCUUAAAUUUUUGAUGAUUACAUAAGCUACCGAAUGAGUAACCAAUAAGAACAUAUAAUGCCAUGCUGCAAUAUGUAAUGCAAUGAACUAAUUGUGGCUUAAGUCACAGAAGAGCAACAUUUCUCCAAGGUGCCUUAAGGUAGUACCUGAGGUAUUGUGGACCCUCACUCGAUCCACUCGGAUGGCGCGACUCGCUAUCUCUUUUUUUAAAAAGUAGUGUGGAAUGGAAUGGAAAAGUGGUUUUCGAGUUUUGAAAAAUCCUUUCCCGAUGAGGAACGGUUUUGUUUGGAGUCGCCACUUACUUCUUAUUUUUAUUUUUUAUAAGGGGAAAAAUUAAGUAAGAACAAAAACCCCUGAUGACUUGAGUAUGGAAAAAGCGGACUACGAAACUUGAGUCUGGGUUCGAGGAUCAGGUUACCUAUCGGGAAGGUACCUCAUGUGAGGUAACACCCCUCUAGGCCCGGAACUCGGUCUCUACUAUUGAAUUGGGCAUGUGAGAGUAUAUGGGUCAAGGAUCAAAUAGCCUCUUAGGCUAAUCAUAGACAACACGAAUCACACAAACCUACUCGAUAUCUAGCAUGCAUAGGCACUCAAUAAAUCAACAAAUGGCGUACCUGAGGACCCUAGCCAUGCGCUGUAGAAAAGAUCAGUCAAUAAGCAUCAAUGCACAACAAGCAUCGCAAUCCAAAUGCCAUGUGGGCAUACUAACAUAAAAGCUAACUAUCAAACACAUACCUGUGGUCCCUAGCCAAGCGUUGCAUAAAUGAUUAGCCAAUAGGAAUAAAUACUCAACAAGCAUUCAUGGCAAUCACAUGUCAAAACAUCAAUCACUAGAUACCAAGGCCCAAAAAUGAGCUCAAACCAUGGGUCAAAGUAAGUACGUUGGGUCCCUAGCCAAGCGCUGUAAUGAGGGGUUAGUCAACACGUGGCAAGCAUUUUUUAAACAAACAUCAAAAUGUGCCCAAGCCAAAUAUUCACAAUAAACCCCCCCUCCCCCCCUUCCUAGCCAAUAAUACCCUUAACUCAUAGGUGGACCCACAUUAAUUCAAACCAAAUCUGGAUUUAGACCCUAAAGGUGGCCUACAAGUGCCUUGGAGCCUAAGUGCCCAAACCAUAACAAAAAUGGGGGUCAAAACACGCUGAAACUGGAACUACCUAGUAGAAUCGGUUGAACUGGUUCCCAACUGGCUCAAUUGGUUGAGAAAAAAAAUCUGAAACUUUACCAGAAUAUUCCUCAGAGAAUAAGGAAUCCAACAAAAUAAACGACACUCAAUUCCAAGCCCGGAUGAGGGAGAACCGACCAAAACAAUGCAAAGCAUUUAUAAAACAGGGCUGCCACCAAGCCACCUGUUGAACCGAUUCCCAACUGGUUCAUCCGAUUGAGAAAAAAUUUGAAACUUUACCAAAAUAUUCCUUAGAGAAUAAGGAAUCCAACAAAACAAAUAGCACUCAAUUCUGAGCCCGGAUGAGAGAGAACCGGUUGAAACAAUGCGAUGUUUUCCAUAAAAGGCCAAACCCGAGCCACCCAAAAUGCAUUGUUUUCUUUAAAAUUCGCCACUUAAGCCAAUGCUUUAGUAGAUGCAAUUUUUCCAUAAGCUUUUAGCAUGCAUGCCUAAAAGGGCAAGGCCACAAAUGAAAGGGCCUACUUCCCAAACAAAUUAACCGUAUUUCUUACAAUCAAAGGAAAUGAACCAUGUCCCCUCCCUUGCCAAAUCUAGGACCAAUGAGGCCCCAGUGGCUGAAUGAUGAGCACAGUGGCUUAACCAAUAUGCCAUAACCUCUAAUCCUAAUUGAAAAACUGAAAUGGUCUACCCCAAAUUCCAAACAAAACAGUCUAAAGAGACUUUUUAUCAAAUCAAAACUAAAGGGAAUGGUUCCCUAAACUAAAGGUACAAGCCCCUUUUUGGUAUUUUGGAACCUAGCAUGAAAGCCCAAUGGCAACCCCAAAAAAAAAAAAAAUUUGAUUGCACUUCCAAACCUGAAACCAAUAACGCAGCAAGGACCUUCCUUGAAUGCCACAAGCAUAAUGCAAAUUUCCACCCUCACUAUGCAACCAAACAAUGGAGUUCUUACCCCAAACAUACAUGCAACCAAGAUCCUAAAGAAUACCAUUUAAUGAGCACAAAAGCCUUGCCUUCAUAAGCAAUCAGAUAUGACCAAAGCUUUAAACAGUUGCCUUAUAAGCCAUUAGGACUAUUAAUUCACUUUCCACAUUCAAGCUUAAAACAAACGAAUGCAUCAAAUAGUUAACCAAUGCCCUCUUUUUAUUUGCAAACUACUAAGGUCAAGGCCUUAGGGGCCAAUAAAAAAAACUAAACUUGGACAACCUUUGAAACCUAAUCAAAGAUCAGUUAGCCAAGAAAACCACACACAAGUAACAUUAGAAGAAAAUAAUAGCAGAAAAAAAGAAAUAAAAAAAAAAUAAAAGAAAAAACAGAGGAUCUCUAGUAGCAACCAAAUCACACAAGAGACCAGUUUAAUUCUAAAACCCAGAACCUUACCCACAAAUGGGCACCAAAACCCCAAAGGUCCUCUAGAUGCAAUGACAAGGGGAACCACAAAGGCCUUAUGAAGGAAGCAAAACAAACCUAAAUUGGGGGCUAAGGAACCCUCAUUCCAAACUUGAAUCCGAGCACCAGAGACCUUUGCUUACUCAAAGCAAAUCAAAGCUGGUUGCUAAUGAGAGAAAUACUUGCUUUGUUCACAAAACAAAUCACACCAUACAUGGGAGCUUAGGCAUGCAAUAACGAAAAUGCAAGGAUCCUAGCCUUAUCUUUCAUAUACCUUCAAUGACCAUUUCGAAUGCUAAAAAAAUAACAGACUCACUCUCGGUUGAAUCAGACAUGCAUAGUCUUAGACAACUUACAAACUUGACCAAAGACUAAUCAGCAAAGACCCUCAUUUUCUUGUCUAAACAGAUUAUUGCAACAAACCUCAGAAAGAAUGAAAAUAUAAAAUAGCAGAAAGCAGGAUCAAAGAGUUACCUAUGCAUGCGUUGAAGAUGCUGAGGUAGAAAUGAAGUCACUGGGGUAGCAAACGUCCAAGUUCCGCUUCCAGAAAUCAAGGCCUUCCCCUUCAACAACAUGAACAAGAAACUACUCCCUCUACAACCAGAAAAUCUCUCAAAACCUCCGUCUCCUUCACUCUUUCCUCUGUUUCUUUUUUCUAUUUUUUUUUCCUCUCUUCUUUCUUUUCCUUUAUCUCCCAACACACAAAAUUUUCUCAGGUCUAGAACUCUUCCCCCACACUCUUUUUUUUUUUUUUAAGCUCUCACCCUCUUCUCCUUUGGCUUUCACUUUUUUGACAAAGUUUCCUCCUAGAAUCCAGAGAGAGGUCCUCAUCUUCUUCCCUCUUUUGGAUUUUAUAUUAGACCCCUUUGUUCCUCCAGCUUCCAUUCAUUUUCCCAUGCAUUCAGCUCUGGAAAACAACCCUUCAACCUCGAAACCACACUCCCCAAUAACUCUCCUCACCAAUUCUCCAUGCAAGCUGACUCUUUUAAGUUUUUAGCUUGCUUCACCACCAAGGAUCCAUAUGGAUUCAUGGUGGGCUGCAAGAAACCCAAACCAAGGCCCAAAAUGGACCCACAAUAUAGCCCAAGACCGAUUUGGAGCUUAUGGGCCCAAGUCAUGUAGGAAUUGGGCUUCAAAAUCAUCAAAACUAGUGCUCCAUACAAGCUAGCUCGAUGAACCGGUUAAACUGGACGCCAACCGGUCGAACCGGUUGAGAAAAAUUAUGAAAUUUUGAAAAAAAAUUUCUGAAGAAUAAGGAGUCCAUGAAAAAAAAUGGUGCAUGAUUCUGAGGUUGGAUGAGGGAGAUAUGGCCAAAACAAGCCCGAGUGCUCCGAAUUCGAACUUGCUCCCAUGCAUUCUGCCAAAACUGAAACUUUGGGGACUGGUCGAGUCGGUUGAGAAAAAUUAUGAAAUUUUGAUAGAAUUUUUCCUAAAGAAUAAGGAGUCCAUGAAAAAAAACGGUACACAAUUCUGAGGUCGAAUGAGAGAGAUAUGGCCAAAACAAGCCUAAGUGCUCUGAAUUCAAACUUGCUCCCAUGAAUUCUGCCAAAACUGAAACUUUGGGGACCGGUCGAUCCGGUUGAGAAAAAUUAUGAAAUUUUGAUAUAAUUUUUCUUGAAGAAUAAGGAGUCCAUGAAAAAAAACGGUGCACAAUUUUGAGUUCGGAUGAGGGAGAUAUGGCUAAAACAGGCCUAAGUGCUCCGAAUUUAGACUUGCUCCCAUGCAUUCUGCCUAAACUGAAACUUUGGGGACCGGUCUAGCUCGAUGAACCGGUUAAACCGGACGCCAACCGGUCGAACCGGUUGAGAAAAAUUAUGAAAUUUUGAAAAAAAAUUUCUGAAGAAUAAGGAGUCCAUGAAAAAAAAUGGUGCAUGAUUCUGAGGUUGGAUGAGGGAGAUAUGGCCAAAACAAGCCCGAGUGCUCCGAAUUCGAACUUGCUCCCAUGCAUUCUGCCAAAACUGAAACUUUGGGGACUGGUAGAAUUUUUCCUAAAGAAUAAGGAGUCCAUGAAAAAAAACGGUACACAAUUCUGAUGUCGAAUGAGAGAGAUAUGGCCAAAACAAGCCUAAGUGCUCUGAAUUCAAACUUGCUCCCAUGAAUUCUGCCAAAUUAAGAUAAGUGUUCAUUAAAUCUAAAAUUCACAAAUAUUUUUCUUCAAAAGAUUGAUAUUUCUUUAAAAAAAAAAAAAAAAAAAUCUGUUAAUAAAAAAAAGGUAUUAUUUUCCAAAUUGAAAAUGAGAUUCUAGAUUUAAAUAAAUGAUAUUGGAUAAAAAUGGAAUGAACGUUUUUUUCUCUUUAGAAAUAGUUGCUGAAUAUAAUAAAACCUAAAAAAGAGUUGGGAUAUAAGGAACCGCCAUAUCUUCAACUGAAUUAGUCCGUUAAUCUUUUGGGCCCAGCCCAGGAAACAACUAUAUGCCAACCGAAAAAUCUCAACCAACGGCUAGUUUUGUAAUUUCAAAUAGGAUCUUUCCCAAAAAAGAAGUAAGAUUUCUUAUGGAAUAGGUGAUAAAGAAACAAUAAUGACAUCCAUCCACAUCAAUUAAAGACAAUGAUCAUUUUUUUUUUCUUUUUUAACCUGACCAUCCAAUGGAUAUAAAAAUACAAAAAUGAAUUUUCUAAUAGAAUAAGCAUUUAACAAAAAAUAAAAAAUAAAAAAAUUACAUGAAUGAACAAGUGACUUAAGAGUCUGAUUGUCUCGAAUACUUGGAGAGUUUUACAUGAAGGGUUGGAUCUUUCUUCUUCUUCUUCUUGAAAUGUUUUGAGGCCGCUUUCAGCACCUUGCUCCAUCCCUGUUACAUUAAUUUCACUAUAAUUUAAUAAAAUCCAAAAAAGGAAAAAAAAAAUUGUUGAUGACAUUAUAGAUUCCCCUUUAGAGGUGGCUUCUUUUCCCCAAAUUUUCCCAUAAAUUCCAAGCUUUUUCCAUGUGAGACAAAGAAUGAGGAAAGGGCCCUCUUUCAACAUUUUCUUUCCCCCUUUUCUCCUUAUCCAAACAGAUCCAACACGGAGGCCAAUUUUCCCUAUUGGUUUCCCAGUUUCCUCAAAUGGGUAUAUCCAUUUGAGCUUCAACAACCCAAAAAUGGCUGGAAAAUUUUUCAAAAAAAUAAAAACAAAAAUGGAAAAUAAAAGAGUGGUUACCUUUGUGGAAGGAGGAGUGGGAGAGAAGUGAUCAGGGGGCUUGAUGAAACUCCUCCUCCUCUUCUUCUGCUUCUUCUUAAACAUAGUGAAGAUGUUGUUCUUAAGAUUAGCGGUGACCUUCUUGAGAGUGGUUUUAUCCAAACCCAACCUGUAAGACAACUUCGGAGGUGGCGUUCCCAAAUCCCAGUCCAAAGCAAGAGAUUUUUGAGGGCGAGGCACCAAUGGAGACCAGAUUGAGCUCUGUGAGUAGUCAAAAUCAAAGGCAGAGGUGUCUGGGAAUUUGCCGAGAAGCUCUUCGCACAUGGAUGAUUCCACAUACUCCACCACUUUUAUCAGCCUCCCUUCUUCUUCUUCCUCUUCUUCUUCUGGUACUGCUACUGCUACUGCUACUGCUAAUGCUGAAGACAUUGAGGAAUUGUUUUCUGUGAAUAAAGAAGCUCAAUCACUUUGCCGUUUUUUUCUUUUCAGUUGCUUCGAUUUCUGUAAGGAAAAGUGGAGAAGAUGAUUGUAUAGGAUGAAUGUGGGAAAAAGUUACCGUUGCAAAAGUCUAUUGCUUCCAAAAGGCCUUGUCUUUUCCUCUUCCCGUUUUGCCCUUCACUUGUUUUCGUUACUCUGUCUUGGUGGUCAGAUAGGGCCCAAGGGCUUCAAAGGUAAUUUCAAGGUAACGGUCCGGUUCUGUCCUACUCUUAACGUGACAUCCGUUGCCGUGGAUGUUGAAAUUUAUUAUUGUUUUUCCAAUUACAAUUGUUCAAUUUAAUGAUCGUUUGAUUAGAAUUUUAGAAGAAAGAUAACAAUUUUUAGGGUACCCAACAAAGAACAAAAUUCAUGGAUACUUUUGUAGUACCAAACGAUAAUUUAUAGGUACCGUAUCCAAAAAUCACCACCACUCAGAUUCUAGCUUUUUCUUUAUAUACAUAUUCGAUAAUUAAGAUAAGAAAUUAGAUGGGUUGAUACUUAGGGCCUUAACAUUCCCAACUUUUAUACUUUGUUUUAGUUAGAAAAAAUAUUGUUAAGAAAAAUAAUGUUUUUAUAUAUGAUAUAUUAUGAAAUUUGUAUAAAAUGAAAAAUAAAUCAAAUAAGUUUGAAAAAAUAUGUAUAAAAAUAAUUUAUUAAUUUGUUUGAUUCCAACAAAAGAGAUAAAUUAUUAAGAAAAAUAAUUUUCUUAUUUCAAAGAAAUAAAAAAAAAUAGUUUAUUAAAUUUAUAUUAUUUAAUCUUUAUAUAAAAGAAAAUGAGUUUAAAGAAGUACAUAAGAAUAAUUUACCAACUUUAAAUCUUUUUUUUUUCCUUUCAUUUUCUUUUCUUUUCCAUUUCUAUUUUGUUUCUUUAGCAUUUUUCCACAAAUGUUCCAACAACUAAGUAUAAUUUUUUUUUAAAAAAAAGAAAUUGUUAUAUUUCUAUUUUUCUUUAAAAAAAAAUGUUUUCUCAUAAUUUUUUCUCUAAUUUUCAAAAUCCAUGUAUUGGGUUAAUUCUUCUUUCCAAACAUAAAUGUGAGAUUAUUUAAUAUCUUGUACUUAAGUUAAAAAAUAUGUACUUAACUUUAAUUAAGAAUUAUGUAAGAAAAUAAUUAUGCUUCAAAUAUUUUCGCAUUUUGAUUUGUUACAUGGCAUGUAAACCAUUUAAAAAUAAAACAAAAGAUAGAAAGAUUCAAUCAUCUCCCAAAAAAGAUGAGUCAAAGCAAAUGGUUAAUUAGUUUUAGGCUUUCAACUAACUCUAGUUACAUCCAUGUCUAUGUAUAAAACUCAAGAAGACUAGAAGUUAACUGAGUUGUUGUUACUAAUACAAAGAAAGCUCUUUGUAAUUAUUUUUCUUAGUUCAUCAAUCAAACAUGGUAUUAGAGCCAGAACGACUUACGUCUAUGGCUUAAGUUGCUGCAAUGAAUACCAAUCUCUCUUCAUCAAGCAUCUCCUGCACAAGUGGAACAACAUUGAUGGUGGUCCCCUCACUGAUGUUCUCAUCUACCAUUCCUCAACUAUCUUUGAAACUCACAAGAACAACUAUGGAUUCUAGCGUUCACAAAUUCUUCCAACUGUUCGAGCUCUUGAUCUUUAAAGAUAUUUGCUUGGAACAACGGUGUGUCUCUUUUGUUUCAUUUCAAAUGGAGAUGAUAAUUCUUCAAUAAUCAACUCAGAAUUUUUAAUCUGGAACAAAACAGACUAGUUCAUCAUGAGUUGGAUUUUUUAUUCUCUUUUAGAGUCGAUGUUUGGCCAUAUUGUUUGAUGAAAAAUUGUUACUGAAGAGUGGAGUACUUUCAAUUGAUUGUUUUUCAUCAACUCCAAGUUUCAGGUGCAACAUCUUCAAAAAUAAAUUGUAAGAAGUUUCAAAAGGCUCCCUGAGUAUUAUUGAUUAUUUUUUGCAAAUGAAAGAAAUUGCAGAUACUUUAUAAUUGUAUCUAAUAAAUUCAUCGAUGAUGAAUUGUUGAUGCACAUUUUUGGUGGUUUAAAUCAUGAAUUUGAUGUUAUAAUUGUCAAUCUUUAGUCAAGGAAAGAUUAUGUUUCUCUUGAAGAAGCUUAAUUCCUCCUUCAAAAACUUAACUCUGUUUCAAAUAUCCAUAUUGGUCCCUCUGCAAGUUUUGCUGCCAAACAAGGCCACAAAAUAAACAAUUAUCAAUUCUCUAAGGCUCCUAACAAUAGUUCUUUUCAUGGUGGUUGUGGUGGUCCAAGAAGAGAAAGCCAAAAUAAGCCUAUCUGUCAGUUAUGUGACAAAGUUGGUCAUAUUGCACUGAAAUGUUAUCAUCAUUUCAACAUUAGCUUCAAAAGACCACAACAAUAACCACAAUAUGAAAAUUAUGCUUCGCCACAAGGCACUCAUUUAAAGACAAUGCUCGAGCUUACUUUGCCAUGUUAGCCAUUGUUAAUGACCAUAAUUGGUACAUGGAUAUAGGAGCCACAAAUCACAUUACUGGUGAUCUCAAUAAAUUGACUCUCAAGAUAGGCUACAAAAAUAAGGAAAAACUUGUUGGAAAUGGUAAUUCUCUAAAGAUUUGUCAUAUUGGUUCUUCAACUAUAUCAUCUAAUUUUUCAUCACAACCAUUAUAUCUUCAUGAUAUCUUAAUGUGCCUACAAUUAUAAAAAAAUUAUUAAGCAUAUCUAAAUUCACCAAGGACAACAUUGUUGUUGAAUUUUAUGAUGAUUGUUGUCUUGUUAAGGACAAGAACACGAGGAAGAUUUUGAUGCAGGGCAACCUUAAAAGAGGGCUUUAUCAACUUGAUGUUCUAGUGCUCUUAGGAAGUUUAAAAUUUGUCUCAAAUUUUGGUUCUAGUUUUCCUUCAAUUUCUCUAGCACAAGUCAAAUCUAAUGAGGCUUGUAUUCAAAUUGUGAACACUUAGCAUAGCAUGCUUAGUCAUCCUCAUGCUCAAGUGUUAGCACGGGGAUGCUCAAGUGUCUUUAAGAACUGAGUACCUUUAAUUCUAUGAUGUCUGUCAAUAUGGAAAAGCUUGUCAGUAUAGGGACCUUCACCUAUUUUUUCUAUAGAAGGCUAUCAAUAUUACAUUCACUUUCUGGAUGAUUUUACUCACUAUGCAUGGAUAUUUCCAUUAAUGAAGUUAAAAUAUAAAACCAAAGGUAUUUUUCUACAAUUUCAAAUCUUGGUAGAAAGACAAUUCAAUAGAAAAUUAAAAUGUCUUCAAACUGAUUAAGAAGGUGAAUAUAGGCCUUUUUUUGCCUAUUCUAGCUCAACAAGGUGUAGUUUUCAAACAUCCAUGUCCUCAUACUCAUUAGAAAAAUGGAAGAGCAAAAUUAAAACAUAGACAUAUAGUUUAGCCUGGAUGAACACUCUUGGCACAAGCACACAUGCGUCUAUAUUUUUGGUAGGAUGUUUUUGUGAUUGUAGUGUUUUUUAUCAAUAGAUUACCUACCCAAGUUCUUAAUUAUACUUCUCAUUUUCAAUCUCUUUAUCACAGAAAACCAAAUUAUAAGGUUCUAAGGGUUUUUGGUUGUGUUUGCUUUCCUUAUCUAAGGCCCUAUAAUAAACACAAGUUUGCCUUUCAUACAACCAAGUGUGUCUUCCUUGGUUAUAACUUGGUGCAUAAAGGGUUUUGUUGUCUGAGUUCUCCAGGUUAGAUUUACACAACCAUGAGUGUCUUAUUUGAUGAAGAGCGUUUCCCUUUUGCUAUUGGUUUUCAAGUUAAAAGGUCUAGUGCUUCUAAUUUUGUUUUUGUUGCCACUAAUGAAACCAAUAUCUUUGGUAUGUGGCAUGUUCCCUCACCAAAUGAUUUUUUAACUUCUACUACAUCUAUUUUACCUUAAACAAUAGUUUCAUCAUCAUCUUUGGCUAGCGCACUUGUUGAAAAUAGAGCAUUACAACUUGUUGAAACUAAUACUGUUGAGGAUCCCAAUAUAUUACAAUAUGAGAAUCAAGUUAAUAAUGAGAAUCAAACUAUUAAGUCUAAUUCUUCAUCUAUUUAGAAUACUCAUCCCAUGCAAACUAGAUCCAAGUCUAGAAUUUUCAAACCAAAGGUCUUCUUUGCCAAACAGAAAAUAAAUACUUUAGUUACUGGACCUUUAAGUGUGGAAUAAGCUCUAUUGGAUCCAAAUUGGAAAAAGACAAUGGAUGAUGAGUAUAAUGCCCUUUUAUCAAAUAAUGCAUGGAGCUUAAUACCUUAUACAAAUGACAUAAAACUUGUGGACAAAAAAUGGAUUUUUUAAGUAAAAUAUAAUCCUAAUGGUUCUAUACAAAGAUAUAAGGCCCAACUUAUUGCUAAGAGUUUUCAACAAAUAGCAGGGCUUGAUUACUUUGAUACUUUUAGUCUUGUUAUCAAGUGAUCAACCAUUCUUGUAGUGCCUACUAUUGUUGUUACAAAAGGUUGGGAUAUUCAACAGAUUGAUAUUAGCAAUGCAUUUUUAAAUGGAGACCUAUAAGAAAUUGUAUACAUGUUUCAACCAAUUGGUUUUAUUGAUCAACAUGCUUCAUACCAUGUUUGCAAGCUACACAAGGGCUUAUAUGGUCUAAAACAAGUGCCAAGGGCUUAAUUUAACAAGCUUAAAACUGUUAUAUUGCAUUGGGGUUCUGAAAACUCAAAAUCUGAUACCAGUCUCUUCAUACUUAUCUGCAAGCAAAAUACCACUCUUGUUGGUCUAACCAAUGAUGAUAUUGAUUUGAUUUAGCAAGUAAUGAAGGAUUUACAUGAGAAGUUUGCAAUUAAGACUUUAAGUUUCAUGAAUUAUUUUCUUAGAUUUGAGACAUACAGAAAUCAAUCUGGUCUUUACUUAACCCAAACAAAAUAUACUUUGGAUAUUUUGGAGAAAGCUAAGAUGGCAAGAGUUAAUCCAAAUUCAACACCUUUUUUCAGUUGGGGUUAAUAAUUGCUUGGUUUUUCAUCGUUUAUUGGAUCAAAACAAAAUUUAUAACCUAAUUCACUAUUCUAGAGUAGCUUGUACCUGAUCAAAAAGUGGUUUUUGUACAAACUACUAUAGUAUAAUGGUUUUUAGGUGUCGUCCACUAGGAUGGAUUAUUCUCGGUAAUUAAGGCUUGAAUAAGAGGAUAAGAAAUGAUUGUGAUCAAGUGAAAUUGAUUUAAAAAUUCAUAGUGAAAAAUUAAUGUAACAAUGGUCUCAAAUUGAAAAGAAAAAUGAAAUGCAAAAUAGAAGAAAAUUAAUAGGAGAUGAAAUUCUUGGAGUUAGGAUUUUCUAGAAAAUAAUUUCCAUGGUGAAUAGAUGUUGAGAUUUAAUUUUCAUCAAGUUAGAUUGAAAACCUAAAUUUUCAUCUAAACCAAUUUUUGAUUUAGCUUUAGGUCUAGAUCUAAUUUCUCUUCAAAUUAGGUCAUUUAAUCCAAGAGAUCAAUUCAAUUCAUCUUAAAUUAUCUUCCAAUGAUUCACACAAUGCAACUAUUCAAUAUCAUCAAAUCCAGCUUUAAGAAUUUAAUGAAUCUAUCUAGUUUGCAUUGUAGAAGUCAUCCAAGACAAUUUGAAGAGAAAAAUCCUCAAAAUUCAAUUAAUCAAUCAAUUGGAUCAAAUCACAUUUGCAAUUCAAGCUCAUUUCUCUAAUUCACCAUAGAUCUUGCCUUUAGAUCCUCAUUCCUCUGAGAAAAAUGAGAUUUAGCCACUCAUGCUUGGAGAUUUGGUCUCACAAGACAUGUGUUGGCUAGUAAGAAAAUGAAAGAAAAUGAAGGAAAUUAAAGAAUUCUCUAGAGAGAUAAAAUCUGAAAAAUUCUACAAAUUAGAAAUAUCUAAAAAGCUCCUCAAAUGAGAAAAUCAAGUUUCUAUUUAUAGGCCAAGGUUAAGUGGACACUUGGCAUCAUCUAAGAGGUCUCCCGGAGGCUUCUUCACCAAGAAAUCUGGAGUUUAGUAAUAAAAUGGUCAUUUAACAAGAGAUUUAGCAAUGUCACACAAGAUCUAGCAAUUUCGCACGAGAUCUAGCAAUUUCGCAUGAGAGCCAACAAUUUCGCAUGAUUGUGUGAAGUCAAAAAUACAUCAGCACCAAUUUUCGCAUGGUCAUGCGAAAUCAACUUUGAGAUUUCCCUUUGAUUUGUAGCAAAAAAUACCUUUUGGUCCAUUUCAUAUGACUGUGCGAAAUUUUCGCAUGGUCAUGCGAAAUGGAAAUACAUAAUUUUUCAACUUUUUUUUGUCAUUUCUUCCAUUUCUUUCUUUUGAAUCCACUUCAAUCACCUCCAAAUCAAUUCCAAAUCCCAGUCCAAACUAAUUACAUUACUUUUGUCAUUAUGCAUUUGGAUCUUCAUCAACUUUAUUUAUUCUCUUCAAUUUGAUUGAUCUCUUUUGUCACCAAUUUAUCGAAAUCAUACCUUGAAAUGAGUCCAAAACUUCAUAAAACUUGUUAGUAACUCUUGCAAGGGCAAUAACAUGUUAAUUGAGUGUUUUAGGCAUAAUUAUUACUCAAAAGAUGUGAAACUCAUGAAAAUUAUUAUCUAAGAUAUGCUCUUUUGAGUAGUAAUCAUUCUCCCCAACCAACGCAUUGCUAGUCCCUUAGUAAUGGUAUGACAAAAAGGAAGAAAAACAAUACCAAACAAAAGAAAUCAUAAGUCACAUAAGCAAAUCAUUUGAAAAAAAAAAUCUUUAAAAUUUCCAUAGCAUAAAUGAUUGAUAAACAAGCACACCCUACUAUCCAUAGGUAUCAACAAAAUCCCAACUUAUUUACUAUCUCUAAUAGAAAGAAUAUCAUGCAAAUCAAGGUAUCAAAAACAUAUCCAUCUUCAUUCCCCAAACAAUUUUUCCAAACAAGUCUUGAGUGUAAUUAAGCUAGCCCUCGAAUAUAGUACUCAAAACUAAUCCUCCCCCCAACCAAUCUCAAUUUAUCUCAAACAACAAAAAUCACUCUCUCAUAGGUUAAGAACGCACUUAUAUUUAUUUUAUUAUUAUUAUUUUUUUCAAAGGACUUAUUGUAGGAGUGUUAUGCUAAAGGUAUCUCCAAGUAUAUGGUCCAUGUAGCGGGGAUUCAUUAAUGACUCCCAACCAUAAUGCAUAGGGCACCAAGUUUAUAAGACUAUUUAACUAGCCAUUAACUCCUCGGACUUCACCUCGGACUCCUCAAAUUAGGAUCCAAUACCUUAGCACCUACAAUUGAACUCAUACUCCACCUAUUCACCCAUGUAACGAGCAUUGAGGUCGGUGGCUCCCAACCAAAAUGGCUUAGGGCACUGGGCUUCAAAGACCUUUGGGUCAUAUACCCCUCGGACCUUGCUCAGGUUUCAAGGCAAGCAUAACUCAACCUUUUUAUUCAUCAACUUUUUUUUUUCAAAUUAGGCACAUUGGCUUCUUUUUAAGGUGUCUCAACUCAAUUAAAGAGUAAUCAAUGUUACAAGAUAAUUAAGUCCAAGUCUUAAGGUUAGACUAGUUUUUCAUCUUAUAUUUGGGGUCUAGAGUGCACAAUAUGUGUUAAAACUCAAAUCGAAAUGACCCUUUGGAAAAUAAAGACUUCAAAGUCAAAUCAACUUUAAUUUACAUAACAAAUUUUUUAAGAUCAAGCAAAUAAGCUAGUAUUCUAAAUCAACUUUUUCAAGUUAGGUUUGAAUCAUCUAAAAAAAAAAAUUCAUCAAAUAAGUCACAAAUGUGAUUUAUGAAAAAAAAAUCUAAAAAAACUAACAAAACUAACAACAUAUUUCCUUCUCUUACUUUCUAACCCUUCCCCCAACCAAACAUGUACAUUGUCCUCAAUGUGUAAUGAAAAUAUACAAAGAAAGGAAGGGAAGAUACCUCAAUCUCUCAUGAAUUUCAGCUUCAAUAGCUAAAACAAAAAUAAAAUCACACAUGAGAAUUGUUGGAUAUGAAUGGCAUAAGAGAAGAAAAUAUGAAAACAAAUUUAUUAAAAACCAAAAAACUAUGUUAGAGACACAAUGUGUGGAGUAAAAUCAAGGUAUAGAUGAUGAUCAUGUCCAAAGAAAACAUGAUUUCAAUGAUAAGUCAAUGAUUCACAUGGAGUUUUUUAAAAUUUCUCACAAGUGUCUAAACUAGACAAGAAGGUGAAAUAUGUUGCAAUUACUCUCUUCUUUUAAAAGAAUUUGGCACAAUCAUGUGAAAAUUUGCAUGUACAUACGAAUUGGUCAAGAGAGUUCUAUCUUAUUAUUGCCUUUAGCAGAAUUUUUGCAUGGUCAUGCGAAAGUUUACAUAAUUAUGCGAAUUAGUCCAGAGGCUUAAAACUGUUGCAAUCAUCCACAUCAGUUUCGCACAGUCAUGCGAAAAUUUUGCAUGAUCAUGCGAAAUGAGACAUAGACUCAUUUUUUUGGAUUUUCAAAGCUAUAAAAACUCCCCUGUUUAUUGCAUGAAUUCUCUUGUUUUUGCGUGAACAUGCAAAAUGGUGAUGAACCAUUAAAACUCUUUUUUCCUUUGCCUCAUGCAUUCUAUCCAUCCGAAAAGUCCUUCAAAAUACAAAUCAAAGAGUUGAGAUGGAUUUAUUUAAUGGAAACUAAAAGAAAAAUAAUAAAAAAUCAAAAUUCAAAGGAAAGUAGAGAAAUGAGAAACCAUUGGGCUAGCUAGCCAUUGACAUGACUAAGCCUAUUAACCUUUGCAUCAAUACUCAAUUUGGAUAUGACUUGCAAACAAUGAAUGGACCAACUCCUUGAUACUUAAGUUUUCUCAUAAAAACAUGUGGCUUGAAAUAGCCUUCUUUGAACUUGUUCUUUUGAAUAAGUUGGCCAUACCAUUCCUUGAGCUUUUUUUUUUUCAUGGUCUUUAAAUUAUUGUGCACACCAUGCUUCAUGGUUUUCACUUUCUUCAAGCUGAAAGACCAUUUCAUUAACUUCAAAAGUUCAAUUUCUUCAUUGAUCCUCCAAAUUUCAAUCUGUUCAUUAGAAAUUACUUCACCAAGUUUUGAAAAAUUAUCUUCAACAUUUUCUUUCACUAGAUUUUCCAUAGGUAAUUCAAUCAAAUAAGCCUUUAUAAGCCCCCUUUCCUCUUUAGUACCAUACUUCUUACAUGAAUGAAAAAUGUUCAACUCAAUUGUCAUGUUCCCAAAGGUAAGUUGCAUCACCCCACUUCGACAAUUAAUCAAUACAUUUGUUGUGGCAAUGAAAGGUCGACCAAGUAUAAUAGGAACAUGGUUGAGUCCACUAAUUCCUUGUUCCGUAUCAAACACCACAAAAUCAACUAGAUAAUAGAAAUUAUCAAUUUGGAUCAACACAUCUUCAAUAAUUCCUCUUGGAAACUUAACCGAUCUAUCCGCCAAUGAAAGUGUGAUGGAAGUAGACUUUAGUUCUGGAAGCCCUAAUUGCAUAUAUAUUGAGUAGGAAAGAAGAUUCACACUUGCACCCAAGACUAAAAGUGCUAUUUUCACAAAAGUGUUGCCAAUAUUCAACAAGAUAGUUGGACAUCUUGGAUCCUUAUACUUGAUUGGAGUCUUGCAUUGGAUGAUUGCACUAACUUGUUCAGUCAAGAAAGCUUUCUUUUUCAAAUGCAUCAUUCUCUUUAUGGUACACAAAUCCUUAAGACACUUGGCAUAGGCUGGAACUUGUCUAAUCAUGUCAAGGAGUGGUAUAUAGACUUUUACUUGCUUCAAAACUUCAAAAAUUUCUGAAGCAUUAUUUACCAUCUUCCUUGAUUGAAGAGCCAUGGGAAAAUGUGGAGAUAAGAACAUAUCCUUGUUCAUUUUAGCUUCACUCUUCUCCUCCUUUUCUCUUUCAAAAUUUUCAGUCUUUGUUCUUUUACUCUUCUUAUCAUUUUCAGUCUUCACUUCCUUCUCUUUUGGUUUUGGCAUAGGUUGAUCAACUUGCUUAACACCUCUUAAGGUAAUGGUUGCUUUGACUUCAUCAUACUUAGUAUAACUUUCACUUGUCUUUCCAAUUUUAUGGACUUGACUUGGAUUUUGUUGGGGUUGUGAAGAGAAUUUUCGUUUUUCUUGCACCUUAUGCAUGUUUUUGAGUUUAGAAAUAGCAAGCUGCAUAUUAUCAAUCUUUUGUGUGAGAUUGGUUUGCAAGCUAUCAAAUUUCUGAUUGAAAGAUGUCUCCACAUGAUCUAUCAUUUGAUUUACUUGAGUAGUGAUAUUCUUUUGAUCACUAAUAAAAUCUUCUAAAAUUUUACUCAAGUUUACAAUAGCUUGCUUAGCCAAAGAAACUCGUUGUGAAGAGUCUUCCAUGAAUUGUUGGCUUUGUGAGUAUUGACUUGAAGAAAAAUACUCUUGUCCACAAUUCCAUGACAUGUUUGGAUGAUUAUCAACAAGUCUUUCCCCCAUAGCUGGUAUUGUAGGACAAUCACUCACUUCAUGUUCUAUAGAUUGACAACUAGAACAUUGCUCCAUGUAAAUUGUAUUAUCAUAUAUUGCAUUCACCUCGUGAAAUCCCUUAGCUUCAAGUUCCUCUAGCCUUUUUGUCAAAGCUAUCAUUUUAGCUUGUAGAUCAACAUAUUUAUUCAACAUAUACAUUCCUCCAUUUGAAUUGCUUUGAGACUUGGACUUGUGUGAAUCCCUUUCAUGUGGCUCAUCCCAUGACCUUGAUAUUUCAGCCACAUAAUUCAAAAAUUCAAAGGCUUCAUCGGGACUUUUGCUCAUAAAGUCACCUCUACACAUGGUUUCUAGCAAUUGCUUCAUAGUUGGCGACAUGCCUUCAUAGAAGUAACUCACCAACAUCCCUGUCUCAAAACCAUGAUGAGGACAAGCAUUGACUACUUCCAUAUAUCUUUCCCAACAAGCACAAAAUUUUUCAUUGUCCAGUGCCACAAAGUUAGUAAUUUGCCUUUUCAAGCCACUUGUGCGAUGUAUGGGAAAAAAAAUUCUUCAAGAAGGUUGUUUAUAGUUCCAACCAUGACCUUAUGCUUUGGGGCCUCAAUGAGUUAAACCACAACUUAGCCUUAUCCUUUAAUGUGAAUGGAAAAAGCUUUAAUCUCAUAAGCUCUAUGAAUGUAUUUCCCUCAUGAAAUGUAUGACAUACUUCUUCAAAAUCCUUUAUAUGAGUAUAAGGAUUCUCAUUCUCCAUUCCAUGAAACUGAGGGAGAAGUGGUACCAAGUGAGUUUUUUUUUUAUUUUUUAUUUUUAUCACAAUAGGCUCAUUAGGAAGAACUAUACAUGAUCUCACGCCUAUCCUUUGAGGAUUCAUAAAUUCUCUCAUUGAUCUAGACAUGUGAGAAUUGCCAUUGCUUGGUCCUUGUUGAGUUUGUUGAUUUUCCCCUUGAUUUUCCAUUUCCCCAACAAUUGGAUCACAAACUAAAGAUGAUUAGCAAUGUAAGUCCUUUGUAAUCUCUCCCUUGAGUUUUAUUCUAAAUGUAGCAUGCAAUGGAGAGCCUACAAAACAAGCUAAAAAAAAAAACCAAAACAAACCAAGAAGAACAAAAAGAGAAAUAAAAGAUAAAAAUGGAAUUAAAAAAAAAUGGAGAAUCGGUAAAGAAAACUUCAACAAUCUUGUGAUGUGGAUCACAGGGGCUAAUCCUCACGAAAAAAUUUGCCUCAAUAACCUUAGCACCAUCCCCAGCACCAGCAUCAUUUUUGAUCGCUUGGUUUUUCGUCGUUUAUUGGAUCAAAACAAAAUUUAUAACCUAAUUCACUAUUCUAGAGUAGCUUGUACCCCAUCAAAAAGUGGUUUUUGUACAAACUACUGUAGUGUAAUGGUUUCUAGGUGUCGUUCACUAGGAUGGAUUAUUCUCGGUAAGAAUGAGAGGAUAAGAAAUGAUUGUGAUCAAGUGAAAUUAAUUUAAAAAUUCAUAGUGAAAAACUAAUGUAACAAUGGUCUCAAAUUGAAAAGAAAAAUGAAAUGAAAAAUAGAAGAAAAUUAAUAGGAGAUGAAAUUCUCGGAGUUAAGAUUUUCUAGAAAACAAUUUCCAUGGUGAAUAGAUGUUGAGAUCUAAUUUUCAUCAAGUUAGAUUGAAAACCUAAAUUUUCAUUUAAACCGAUUUUUGAUUUAGCUUUAGGUCUAGAUCUAAUUUCUCUUCAAAUUAGGUCAUUUAAUCCAAGAGAUCAAUUCAAUUCAUCUUAAAUUAUCUUCCAAUGAUUCACACAAUGCAACUAUUCAAUCUUAUCAAAUCCAGCUUUAAGAAUUUAAUGAAUCUACCUAGUUUGCAUUGUAGAAGUCAUCCAAGACAAUUUGAAGAGAAAAAUCCCCAAAAUUCAAUUAAUCAAUCAAUUGGAUCAAAUCACAUUUGCAAUUCAAGCUCAUUUCUCUAAUUCACCAUAGACCUUGCCUUUAGAUCCUCCUUUCUCUGAGAAAAACGAGAUUUAACCACUCAUGCUUGGAGAUUUGGUCUCAUAAGACAUGUUUGGCUAGUAAGAAAAUGAAAGAAAAUGAGAGAAAAUGAAGGAAAGUAGAGAAUUAUCUAGAGAGAUAAAAUUUGAAAAAUUCUACAAAUUAGAAAUAUCCAAAAAGCUCCUCAAAUGAGAAAAUCAAGUUUCUAUUUAUAGGUCAAGGUCAAGUGGACACUUGGCAUCAUUUAUGAGGUCUUUCGAAGGCUUCUUCACCAAGAAAUCUAGAGUUUAGUAAUAAAAUGGUCAUUUCGCACGAGAUCCAACAAUUUCGCAUGAUUGUACGAAGUAAAAAAUGCAUCAACACCAAUUUUCGCCUUCAUGGAGCAUUUCGCAUGUUUUGCAUGGUCAUGCGAAAUCAGCUUUGAGAUUUCCCUUUAAUUUACAACAAAAAUGUCUUCUGGUCCAUUUCACAUGACUGUGUGAAAUUUUCGCAUGAUCAUGCGAAAUGGAAAUACAUAAUUUUUCAACUCUUUUUUGUCAUUUCUUCCAUUUCUUUCUUUUGAAUCCACCUCAAUCACCUCCAAAUCAACUCCAAAUCCCGGUCCAAACCAAUUGCAUUACUUCUUUCAUUAUGUAUUUGGAUCUUCAUCAACUUUAUUUGUUCUCUUCAAUUUGAUUCAUCUCUUGUGUCACCAAUUUAUCAAAAUCAUACCUUGAAAUGACUCCAAAACUUCAUAAAACUUGUUAGUAACUCUUGCAAGGGCAACAACAUGUUAAUUGAGUGUUUUAAGCAUAAUUACUACUCAAAAGAUGUGAAACUCGUGAGAAUUAGUAUCUAAAAUAUACUUUUUUGAGCAGUAAUUAGUUAAGUUACACUUAAAUGAUAACAAAUUAUUUGAGUAACCCUUCCUAUAUUGAAGUAUCAUUGGGGGGCUUCAAUAUUUGACUAUGACUCAACCUAAUAUAUCCUUUACUGUAAACAAACUUAGUCAAUUUCUUUAUGCACCUACAAAUCAACAAUGGCAAGCCUAUAAAAGAGUACUGAGGUAUUUAAGAGGCACAAUUGGACAUGGCUUGAAGUUUCAACUAAAAAAAGCUUUGGUCCUUGAAGGAUUUACCGAUGCAAAUUAGGUUAGUAACAUUGAUGACAAGAGAUCUACAAGUGGUUAUUGUAUUUUUCUUGGAGGAAAUUUGAUUUAAUGGAGUUCUUGAAAGAAAAAAGUUGUAGCAUGUUGGUUAUGUAUUGAGAGUGAGUAUCAAGUUUUAGCUCAAGCUGCUACUGAAAUAGUUUGGCUACAAAUUAAGCUUGUUUGUUGAACUUGGACUCAAAACUAUGCAUAGUCCUAUAUUGUGGUGUAACAACAUUGAAGUAAGAUCCUUAGCUUCAAAUCUUGUGUUUCAUGCAAAAAAAAAAAAAAAAACACAUAGAGAUUGACAUUCAUUUUGUGAGACAAAAAGUUAUUGCAAAAGAGCUAGAUAUAAGGUAUGUGCCAACUGAAGAACAAAUUGUAGAUCUAUUGACUAAGCCCUUAACCACUACUCGGUUUGAACUACUUCAUGACAAACUCAUCUUUGCCAAGGCAUAACAUUGCUUGAGGAAGUGAGUUGAAGCAAGUGGUUAAUUAGUUUCAACUAACUCUGUAAUUAGUUCGCAGGACUAACUACUUUCUAUUACAGAAAGUUCUCUAUGCUUCCAGAAUUCUCUAGUUACAUCCAUGUCUAUGUAUAAAACUUAAGAAUACUAUAAUUGUUUUUCUUAGUUCAUCAAUCAAACUAGACAUAGUUAUGCUGAAAAAGAUAAUUAUCUCACUUGCAAACAUAUCUGGGUGGAAUUAAAAACAGUUAAUUUAUAUUGUAAUGAUCAUUGAUAUUAAUUAAGAAGAAUAUUCGGCUCUUAAUUUGAGAAUGUAUCAAUUUGGAAAUUCCAACAAUUUGUUUAAUAGUUGCAAAUGAUAAAUUAUAAUUUAGGAAUAAAAAAAUAUUAAUUGUAUAUUUUUAGUUUUUUUCCGUUUUCCACUUGACACAAAUAUUGCAAUUUUUUAUUAAAUUAGUUUGUUUAGAACAUUAUUUCAAGAACAAAAUUAAGAAAAGAUAAUUUGAUAUGAAAUAAAAGUCCGAAAUAAAUUAUUUGUUAUUUGAUAGAAAACUUGAUAGUAGUAAAAUAUGUUUAUAUAUAUAAAAAAUUUUCUUACUGUAGACCCCUGUUAAGGUGAAGGCCUGGGGGAGAAUUGGGAGGGGUUUUUUUUUUUCAUUUUUUCACUGCAUUUUUUGGAGAGUUGGGGGGGGGGGGGGGGGGGCGGGGGGCCUCCUCUAGGCAUGGGACGUGUCAGGUUGGUAGUUGAGGAGGCCAUGCUGCUGAUGUGAUGAACAGGGUGAUGAGGAAGAAGACAGAAACCAGCUGAGGGGCAAGAGGAUAGCAGGGAGCAAGGGUGAGGAGGAAGGAACUUGAAGCCUAGCUAGUCUUGAGAGAGUCCACUUACAGGUACGAACCUCAUGUCUUUCACCUUCCAUUAUUCUCCUAUCCUUCCUGACGUUUUUUUUAGUUCUAGUCCUAAACCAUAAUUUGUUUACUUUGUUUACUUUGGUUAAAUUUAGUCCUCUGCAUACAUGCUUUGUUCUUGGUUUUUUUUUUUUUUUCUUUGUUUCGUUUUCUCCCACCCCUUGGAGCUGGUUGCAACUGACGAACCCCUAAAGAGGAGCACUGAAUCAGUGCCAAUCCAAAGCGUUUCUUACGCUAUGAAACCGAAGAACUCCUCCUGCUUAUCUGUAACUCCGAUGAAAUGGACUUUGACGAUGUCGUUUCUGUUAUCCAUGACGAUGAGGAGCUUCAACCUGGACAACCCUAUUUCGCGCUGCCAUUGGGCAAGUUGAAGCAACCGCUUCAGGCGGAGGAGAUGGCCGCUUUGGCUGUCAAGGCGAGGUCCGCCCUCAUGAGGAGUGGCGGAGACCAAUGCCAGUGUCGCCAAAAGUCUCCAUUGCCGGCCAUGUUUUCUGGCGAGAAGGACUCGAAGUCGUCCGGGAGAGUAGCUCCCGGCGGUGGUGUCGAAGGCGGAGGAGGCAGUGAGACGGAGGAGUACGUGGAUGCGCCGUGAAGAGGACGCACGUAGGCUGCCGUUCUCUGGCGCUUAUUCCGACGUGGUGGCGUCGCCAUUGCCGCCGCGGGAAGGUGGUGAUCGUGCUGAAGCCAGGCGCGGGGGGGCGUGCUGUGAAGAAGAUGAAGUUUGGGCUUGGGCUUGAGUUGGGGCACUAGGCCCAAUUUUGUGAUGGAGAUAGGUUUUGGGCUUACCUAUGUUGGUUUUUGGUUUUGGGCUUACCUAUGUUGGUUUUUGGUUUUGGGCUUGCCUAUGAUGGCUUUGGUUUUGGGCUUAAGUUGGAGCCCAGGCCCAAGUUUGCUGAUGGAAGGCCCCAUUGCUCCUUAUGCUAGCCACUCUCAUGGCCCAAGUCCAUGAUGAGUGAGCCCAUUUAGCUACUUCAUGUCCUAACAAGUUUUAAAUCUUUAAUCUUAGUAAAUUAUUAACUUAUUCAUGCAUUUUCAUUUUACUUUUUUUAUCUUAUUUUAUCUUCACUAAUUUAGUUAGCUCAAACUUAAAGACAACUUAAAGACAAAUUAUUAAUUAUAUUUUUAUCUCGAAAUUUAUACUAUUCAAUUUCACUAGCUUAAACAUUAUGAUUAUUAAUUAUUAUUAUUAUUUCGCAUGUAUCUAUUUAUCAUAUUUCAAAAAUCUCAUUUUAUUAAAGUUAAAAUUCUAAUCCUUCAAAAUCCUAUGUCUUAAUUUAAUUCUUCGAAUAUUUGUUUAAAUCUCAUUUUCAUCCAUUAGAAUUAUUUAUCUCAUAUUUAUCUAGCUAUUUAAAGUCUAAUCUUUUAAAAAUCCUAUGUUUUAAUUUAAUUCUUCAAUAAUCAGUUCAAAUUUCAUUUUCAUCCAUUAGAAUUAUUUAUCUCAUAUUUAUCUAGCUAUUUAAAAUCUAAAUCCUUUAAAAAUCUAAUGUCUUAAUUUAAUUCUUCAAUAAUUAGUUCAAAUCUCAUUUUCAUCCAUUAGAAUUAUUUACCUCAUAUUUACCUAGUUAUUUAUAGUCUAAUCCUUAAAAAAUCCUAUGUCUUAAUUUAAUUCUUCAAUAAUUAGUUCAAAUCUCAUUUUCAUCCAUUAGAAUUAUUUAUCUCAUAUUUAUCUAGCUAUUUAAAAUCUAAAUCUCUCAAGGAAAUCGUAUGUCUUAAUUUAAUUCUUCGAAUAUUUGUUUAAAUCUCAUUUUCAUUCAUUAGAAUUAUUUAUCCUACAUUAUCUAGCUAUUUAAAGUCUAAAUCUUUCAAGGAAAUCUUACGUCUUAAUCUAAUUCUUCAAUGAUUAGUUCAAAUCUCAUUUUCAUCCAUUAGAAUCGUUCGUCCCAUAUUUAUCCAGCCAUCUAAAGUCUAAAUCUUUCAAGGAAAUCAUGUCUUAAUUUAAUUCUUCAAUAAUUCGCUUAAAUCUUGUUUUCAUCAAUUAGAAUUAUUAUCAUAUAUUUACCUAAUUAUUCAAAGUCUAACCCUUCAAAAAUCUCAUGUCUUAAUUCAAUUUUUCAACAGUCCAUUCAAACCUUAUUCGUCUAAAUGUUAUCUUCCUUAAGUAGAAUUAUUAUCAUAUACCUAUUUAUUUAUUUAAAGUCCAAUUCUUCAAAAACCCAACGUCAUAAUUUAAUUUUCAACCCUAAAAAUUCCAUUAUUCUUUUUAUUAGUUUAAAUGUUAUUUUCAUUAAUUAGCAUUAUUAUCCUAUAUUAGUUUAUUUAUUUAAAAUCCAAUCCGUCAAAGAUCCAAUGCCCUAAUUUCAUUUUCCAAGUCCUAAAAAUUCCACUAUUCGUCUAAAUGUCAUUUUCGUUAAUUAGGAAUUAUUGUCUCAUAUUUAGUUAUUCAAAGUCUAAUCCUUCAAAAAUCCAAUGUCAUAAUUUAAUUUUCAAUCCUAAAAAUUUCAUUAUUCGUCUAAAUGUUAUUUUCGUCAGUUAGAAACUUCAUACUUGUUUAUCUCUUUUAAAAAUCUCAAUAAUUGAACUUAAUUUUCAACCCUAAAAGUUCCACUAUCCUUUUUUAUUCGUUUAAAUGUUAUUUUCGUCAAUUAGUAUUAUUACCCUAUGUUAGUUUAUUUAUUUAAAAUCUAAUUCUUCAAAAACCUCAUGUCUUAAUUUAAUUUUUCAAUCCUAAAAAUUCUAUAAUUUGUUUAAAUGUUAUCCUCAUCAAUUAGAAUCAUUAUCCCAUAUCUGUUUAAAGUCCAAUCUUUCGAAAACCCCAUGCCCUAAAUUUGACUUUCAAUCCCAGAAAUUCCAUCAUUCGCCUAAAUGUUAUCUUCAGUAAUUAGAAUUCUUAUCACCUAUCUAUUUAUUUGUUUAAGGUCCAACUCUUCAAAAAUUCAACACCUUAAUUUAAUUUUUAAUCUUAAAGAUUCCACUACUCAUUUUCUAUUCGUUUAAAAUAUUGUUUCCGUUAAGUAGCAUUAUUAUUCCAUAUUAUCUAUUUAAUCUAAUUGUUAAAGUUUAAUUCAUCGGAACCCGACUUCCAAAUCUAAUUUCCAACCUCAAAAGUUCUGCCGUCCAAAUAUCGUCGUUUAAUGAUUAUUCUCAUUAUUAAUGUUAUCCCAUCCACUUACUUAUUCAAUUACUCAUAUACCAAAGAUCUCAUCCCUGAACAAAUUCUUAAGUUCUCAAACUCUAAGUUCACAUCUUCAAAUCUCUAAAAUUCCAUCUUUUGCAAUUAUUUACCUAAUCUUUAUUGCUUCACCACUAUUAUUAUUCCAUUCCUUUACUUAUUCACUCAUCCACUUACCUACUCGUUUAAAAUCUCGAACUCUCAAAUCAUUUCCAAAAUUCCAAUUUCUUUAAAAUUUAAUUUCUAAAAAUUCUCAUUCUUACAUUUAAUUCCUAAAAAUCCAAUUUUCAAAUAAUCUCCAAGACUAAUUUUCAAAUGAAUUUCAAAAAAUCUAGUUUUCCCUUGAACAAUUUUAGUUUCUGUUUGGUAAUGCAAGUGAUAUGUUUUAUGCUCUUUAUUAUACACUGACCCCAUUUUUAUGAUAGCGCAUUGCUCGAUCGUGGCCCAGGUACGCAUCCAUUCCAUUUCUAGUCAUUUUAUAUGCACGUUUUGAUUCCCAUAUAUGCAUGAUCGAUUCGAGUAUCCAUUGAUUUUCCUAUUGAUUGCCACGUCAGCUUCAUUUUAUUAGUAGAGACCCGACUUUAGGGACUUAGAGGGGUGCUAUAGUUUUUACCGUACCUUCCCGAUAAGUAACCUAACCCCCGAACCCGAUCCGGUUUUUUUGUAGAUCACCUUUUCCAAAAUAAGGAGUCGCACUUAGAGUUUUCUUUCUUAUUUUGUUUACCCUUUUAAAAUAGAACAAAAAUAAGUGGCGACUCCAAGUCAUUUUCUAAUAAAUAAAAUUGUUUUUCAAAUAAAAUCAAGUUCGUCAUCGAGUGGAAAACGCGUGAGCCGAAAUGCGAGGUCCACACUUACUUUUUCCUUAUUUCAUACCUAAGGUAGAUGCCUUACAAAAUAAUUAUUUGAUAAAAAAAAAUUGAUUAUUUUGAAAACAAUGUAAUCAAUUUUCACUUUUACUAACUGAUUAGAGUGUUUUACAGAAAAUAUAGGGAUGGAAAAUAGAUAGUUCAAAAUAGAUCAAAUCUCAUAUUCUUAUCUUUAUUCUAAUAAAAAUUUUAUACAAAAUUGGGUGGAGUACAAAAAAAUAAUUAUGAGAAUUUCUCAUAUUUUGUCUGUCUUGUACUAUUAUUAUUAUUUCUAAAAAACCUAAAUAUUAAUUAUAUUAAAACUAAAAAUAAUAGGCAUAAGAUAUAAAAAAUAAAAGGAAAAUAUGAAAAAUAAAAUAUUUUUUUUAAAAAAAAUUAAUUAUAUAUAGAAUAGGGAUAAGAAAUAAGAAUAAGGAAAUAUUGAACCGAGUUUUCUUUUUCCUUUUUUAAAUAAAAAAUAAAAAAAUCUCAAACCAGUUCUAAUAGGGGUAAGGUGGGUAAGUACCUAAAAAACCCACUUCAGCCUCGUUUCAACACAAAAACGAAUAGUUUUGCUAAACUAGGUGGAGGAAGAUCAUGGACUUACGUAUAGAUUAUUUUUUAAUAAAUAAAUAAUUUAUUAUCCUUUGAAGCUUAAAAAAAUAAAAAUAGUUUUUUAACCUAUAAGACAUGUUAAAUAAACUUUUGAUAAAGAAAAUUUUCAUGAUAAUUUGUUUUGAAAAUGAAUUGUUUUUCGGAACAAAUUUGAGAUUUUUUUAUUGUUUUUUGAAAAAGAUUUUAAUUAAUAAUUUAAAAUAAAAAAUAAUUUAAACAAAUAGUUUCAUAGAAAAUAAAGUUAGAAACUAUUUUUCAUAUUUAAGUUCCAAAUAUAUUUUUAUUUCUAAAAAAAUGAAUUUUUUUUUUAAGAAUCAUUCUCAAAAACUAUUAUUUGAGAAUUGUUUUUAAAAUAUUACUAAACAAGCCCUUACAAUUUUUAAUUUUUCCAUCCUAUAUAUAAUGUUAAUCAUAAUUAAAGUAUAACUUGUCUAAGCCUAAUUAGAUUUUUGGAGAAGUGUAGGUUAUAUGUGCCAAGUGUUACACUUGGAAUCAGUUUUUAGAUCCAUUGUCCACUUAUAGAAAAUGGUUUUAUUUUUUUUAGAACAUCAAAAUAAUAUUCUAACUCAAUAGAAAAUAUAUUUUUAAAGAAAAAAUUAUUCGAACAAGUUUCAAUUUUUUUUCUUUUUAUAAAAUAUCCUAAACAUAAUUGAAAGAUGAGAAUACUUUGUACAUUAUUUUCGUAAAAAGUAAGUCUAAAUUUUUUUUUUAUACCUAUGUUUCUAAACAAAAUUUCGUUUUGAUCGAAAAAUAAUUUAUAACAACUAUUCUAAAAAGAAAUGUAUUGUACUCAUAAACAUUGCUAUAUAUGCAUGUUCUAAAUUCAUAUUUAAUUUGAAAGAAAAACUAAUUUUCUCACCAUUAUUUUAAUUAUCACCAUAUCCUCUUCUUCGAACUUGAAAUCAAGUUGAAUUGAUGAUUAUUAAAAAACAGGAGUGUCUGUGAUAUUUUAUAUGGGACAAUUGUGUUUUGGACCCAACUAGGCUCAAAAAUUAAGAUUUGACCCAUAAAAGUUGCAUAAUUGAUGGGAAUGAUAUAAAAUGUGAAAAGACCAAUAUACUCUUCAAAACUAUUUUGAGUAUUUUCUACCACAAUGUUUUAUAAUAUUUUUUACCUUUAUUUUUUUUAAUAAUUAUUUUGAAAUUUUAUUAUUUUUAGAAAACUAUUUUUUUUAAAUAUAUAUUCUAAAAAUAUAUCAUUUAAAAAUAAUAAUUUUGACAUAUUUUUAGUUAUUUUUUACAUACAUAAUUUUAAAAAUAUAUAUUUUUCAUAUUUGUAGACCCCAUUUUGGGGCUCAUUUGUUGUAGUUUAUCUUGCCAGUUGGAGGGCUCUUAAGGAGCCACGUGUUGCCUCAAGAGAGGGUGUUAAAUAAUCAUAUUAGUGGGUAGAGGAUGCAAUGGAGAAAAGACAAGUGUUGAAGGAAUAUUUUGGGGGGAGUGUAUUCUAUUAGAUAGGGACAGUGAGGCAGUUAGAGAGGGGGAAGAGAUUUUGUUGUUGGUUACAGAGAGGUUUUAGGAUAGCUUAGAGGGCAAGACAUCCAGAGGAGGGGGGGAGGAGGGAAGAGCAAGAGAACUUGAGGAGAAAGAUAGCUAAAAAAGAAAAACAGAGAGUUAUAGGAAGGAAGAGCGUUGUAGGGUUGAUAACUUGAGGAGCAAAUUGGUUUGGGAGGAAGGACUGAGAGAAACAAGCUGGGUAUUCCGGAGACAGUGGGUGUGAGACUGUGAGAGAACAUCUGGAGGAGAAAAUUAGUUGGAGGUUGCUUGAAGGAGGAAAAGAAAACUUGAAAGAAUUUUUUCCAGGUACAUUUGUUGUAGCCUCUUGGAUUGCUUUUACUCAUCAUUUUUUUUUUUUUAAUCUUUCAUUCUCUCUAGUUGUCUCUGAUUUUCUGGGCAUCGGUCAAUUGUUUGGGCAUUAGUAUGAUGUUGUAUUACACUUCUCUCAUAUUUGUUUAUUUGAAUAUGGCUCAUUCCCAUAGUAGGAGUUUGUUGAUGCUCUCAUUUUGAUAUUUGUUAUGAACUAUCCUACUGCACCACUGGUCGGCGAAUCCCUGGAUUUCAACAUGAAAAGGGAUCCCACUUAAUAUUCUGCUCACUCUAUUUACUUGGUUCUGGGUAAGCUGUAUCCUGUUUUGCACACUUCUUUACUUCCGGCACCUCAAUUCAUAUCCCUUUUUAUGGCUUAUAUCUUCAAAUUUGCUCUGGACGAUUGGUUGUGUGUUUUGAUCUGUGCUUGAGGAGAGAGGGUUGUGUGUUGGCUUACUACUCUAGAUCCGUGACCCCAGUGGACGAGAUGUAUACAUGUGUUAUAUUAGCUCUUAUUUUGGCUGCUGGGUAUGCCACUGAUGCAUUUGGGAUCCAAGUUCUAUGUAAUUGGUUUUUCCAUGGGUGGACAGGUGAUUUGGAGUUGCCUCAAGUAUAUCCCUCAUAGGCUGGUAGGUGCAACACUAAUAGCUCUAGUGGUCAACUACUGGUGGCCUAGUUUUCCUACAAACUUAUCUAAAGAAGCCUACUACCAAUAGUUUCGGUAGGAUUAGUGGGCGCUUCGUGUUGCUCACUACACACCGUGGCUUACUUACCGGUGGAACACUCAAAAGUGGUUUUCUGCUUGUAGUGUUGCAGAACACAACACUAAUAUUCUUUCUCGCCCAGACAAAGAGCUCAUGCCUAAGCUUUCAAAGAUAAAGGAAUAUAUGGCGUAGGUGAGACAACAAGGAGAAUUUGAGUCUAUCCACCGUGACUUGAUGAUUAGAUUUGGAACUUGGGAAUUUGAUCCCAUGGAUCUGAAGAACCCAUUCCCAAACAAUGAAGGUUCUAUCCACCUAUGGCAUGGAGAUGAAGAUGCAAUUGUGCCUGUUUCACUGCAAUACUACAUUACCCAACAACUCCCAUGGAUCAUAUUUGUAGAUAUCCAUCUGUUUGAUCAGCUCAAUGGGCAGAGACCUCUGCUGAAUCUUCUUCUUUAGGUAGAACCUCACAAGCUCCUCAUUUAUGGGAUGAAACCUAAAGCCAUGCAGCAUAACAUCAUCCAUUUUAUCAGCAUCAUUCCUCUCAUCCAUCAUCCAUUUUCUUCCCUGAUUUCCUCAAACCUGAUUAGGAAUUAGAAUCAAUGAACUCUCUAAGCUGAUAUGGUAGUGAGCUUUUUGGAAAACUAACACCAACCCAUCAAUGGAAAUUACAAUUCACUUUAUUCAAAGCCAUUAUAUGCCUUAUGAUAAGAAGCUUGACUACGCAGCUUGAGCCAGGUUUUAUGGUGGUUGUAAGGGGGAGUGUUUAUCAGUGAAUAUCACAAUGACUUGGUGAUAAGAAUAGCUAAAGGAAAGCUCUGUGAAGAACAACUAGUUACGAGAGAGAGAUAUUCAAAGAAGAGGUUAGAUUCAAGGAGAAACGGAGGAAAGAGUCCCAAGUUUCCUUCCUUAAAGCCUGAAAGUAAAAAUCUAGUGGAUGAAUCUUUGAAAGCUAAUGAAAAGAAAGAAGAAAAAUCCAAGAAAGGUGAUGGUGAUAAGGUGAGAAAGGGAAUGGAGAAGGGGUCUAAGAAAAAUGAGGUGAAAUCUUAGAAAGGGCCGUUAAGAGUUGGACUGGACAUGUGCUAAAAAAAUGGGGAUGUUAUGUGUGCGCUUGAACUAUAUGGUUUGGCUCUAAGGAAAUGAAUUGAAUUAGGGCAAUAUCACUAUAUUGUUCUUUUGUAUCUUUGUUCUUUAGCAGCACUUGGUGUUAUUUAACCUGCAAAAAGUGGAACUGGUAGCCGGAGUUUGGACAUGCUGAGCCCUUCUAGUGAAGCUCAUGGUGAGGUUUCCGAAGAUUUGGCAGAAUUUGGGGACACGAGCAAGAAGAAUUCUGAAGCAUUUGAAGUAGCAAAAGAUGAUUUGGAUGGUAGUUUCACUGAAAUGGACAAGUUAUCUCUAGUCUUUAAUUGCUUUAAUAAGUCAAAUAGUCAACUUUUGGAAGGUCAAAAGCAUUUAAGAAAGGGUGUUGAUGACUCCACAAAUAUAAAAGAAGAUAAUGAAAUUUGGGUAAGUGAAGAUUUCAAGAAGUAUGCACUCCGAAGUGGAUUUCAAGAAGUCCCAAUGAAUGAAGCAACCUUGACAUCGUUGGUGAGAAUGGCAAUGUCCAUGGGUAAUGGUGACAUGGCUUUUGAUAUGGUAAAGCAAACGAAACCACUGGGGAUAAAUCCUAGACUACGGUCUUAUGGUUCUGAACUUUUUACUUUCUGCAACAAUGGAGAUAUUGAGAAAGCAUUUGGUGUUGAAGAACGCAUGUUGGAGCAUGGUGUCUAUCUUGAAAAGCCAAGUUUUAUACCGAUUUUACUAGAACAAGAGCAACCUGAUGAACAAAUGUAUUCCCUUGCAGCCAUGCCAUCGUCCUUGACUGCACAAAAAUUUCUUCCAAAUGCAGUCCCCGUUGGUCAUUUCCUUGGAUUGAUGCACAUACCAUCUUCUAUUCAACUAGUAAACCAACAACUUGCACUAAAUUUGCCUACAACUGCCUGCCUUGGUGAAAAAUCACUUCCAUGUCACGAUGCCAAUGAUGCAGGGAGCUGCUAGGUUUCCUUCCUAGAUAGGCACCAAUGUCAAGGGGAUGGAAUGAUCCAUUUUUUGAGGCUGAUCGGCGAUAAAUAGCCAAACAAGCAACUGCCUUUAAGCGAGUACAUCCAAUAUUGCAUUUGCUUGCUAGUUCACUGCCAUCAACCCAAGUUGCUAGGUUGCUUACAAAUUAAUUCACAACUAGUGCACCGACUGCACCACAACAGACAUUUGCAUCAACUUCAUCUGGUAAUGGGUUCUCACUUUUUUGGUAUUUCAUCUUCUGCUCCAUCUAUCAUCCACCUACAUCCAAACUUCUGCCAAGUCACCUUUGUUGACCUCACAUGUAGACUGUACAAGUCUAUGGUUUGAGUUUGAGGCAAAGUUUUUCCGAAUUUGAUGAUUCAGAUUCAAAGGAAGGUUUCCUAACCGAUUCAUAGGAUGGUAGAGUGAACACAGUAGCACUCUGGGUUUCAUUCCUACAUGGUUAUCCCUCACCAUCUCUCUCACUUAUGCACAUAUGCAUGGCCACCUUUGGGUCACGUGUCACUCUUCCAUUUCUUCAUCCUUGCUUUUAAAAAAAAUAGUUUCCGAAACCCUAGUUUGCCAAUAAUUUUCCAAAUUCUAGUUUUUCAAAUAAUUUCAAUUCUUCAAAUUUUCAUUCUUAGAAUUUUUAGGUCCCAAAAGUCCCGUUUUUCAAUAAAAAUUUGCUGUCAUUUUCUUUGGUGGGGGCAAUUUUCACAUUUUCUUUUAUUUUUAAAAUGUUUUGAAAUAAACGUGGAUUUAAUUUCGUAAUUCCGAAUAAUGGAAAUUCAUAGGAUUAAUUCAUGCAAAAAUAAAUCGGGCUUUGGUGGGGGCAAUUUUCAUAUUUUCUUUGAUUUUAAAAUAAGCAUGAAUUUAUUUUUGUAAUUCCAAGUGAUGGAAUUUACAGAAUUGAUUCAUGCAAAAAUAAAUCAGGCUUUGGUGGGGGCCCAAUAUAUGUGAUUUUCUCAUUGAUUGAUUGCUAUACAUGACAGACUUAUUUCACUCUAUGACAUGCAUGCGAUUAUGUUGUGUUUGUUUACUAAUCUUUGUUUUCCAUGAAGAAAAUCAGCUCAUCACUCAGGUACAUUCUUGGCCUCUCUUGUUCAUUCGAUUAUUUUGUUUUGAUUGAUAUUCAUUCGGUAUCCAUAUUUGAUCAAUCAAUUGCCAUACUUGCUUCAUCUCAUCAGUAGAGACUCGUUUUUAGAGACUUAGAGGGGUGCUACGGUCUUUAUCGUACCUUCUCAAUAAGUAAGCUGACUCCCAAGCCCAGAUUUGGUUUUUCAUAGACCACCUUUUCCAAAAUAAAGAGUCACACUUAGGGUUUUCUUUCUUAUUUUGUUUACCCUUUUUAAAAAAUAAAUAAAUAAGUGACGACUCCAAGUCAUUUUAUAAAAAUAAAUCAUUUUUAAAUAAAAAGCAAGUUCUCCAUCAAGUGAAGACGCAUGAGCAGAAAUGCGAGGUCUACAAAAUGGCGACUCCACUAGGGAUCACUAAAGGGUCAAGCUUGAACUUAAGAUGAAGCAAAUGUGGUGUUUGAUUGGUCGAUCAAUAGGUACCCAUCUCUCUUUGUGCUUUUGUUUGCUUGACUACUGAUUGCACAUUGAGAGUUUUUUAUAUCAUUAUCCUGGAUACAUGUUUGGUUAUUGUGCUCAUUUGGGACAUUGACAUGUUGAUUAUGUUGAUUGAUUAUCUUGCUUGAGGAUUCUGAUGUAGCGAUUUUUCUAUGCUUCAUUGCUAUAUCUGUUUGGGACAUUGACAUGCUGAUUAUGUUGAUUGAUUAUUUUGCCUGUCUUAGCAUAGUGACUUUGAUUUUGCCAUGAUUGUUCUGCUCACCUCACAUGUAUAGACUUACUGUUGUAUAUCAUUUGACUUGAUGUGUUGAUUCUCUAGCUUGUAUAUUAUCUUGAUCAUCUUUGAGCAUGUUAUCUUUAUCACUAUUCAUCUUGAUUAUCAUAACUUGUAUGUGGACAUAAGUGAUAUAUAUGUACUUUGCUUGACUGUAUGGUGCAUGACUGCCCUCCUCUAUGUGAUUGCAGGUCGCUUAUUCAUGUGGGCCGCAUAUCUAUUCCCUUAUCUUCAACCCUCUGGUUUCAGUCAUCUCCUUCGUCUCGGCUCUUACUUUUGCAAGUGUGAGGCCUUGUGUGUACUUGUUUCUCUUACUGAGCUAGAGAUUAGGAGUAGGGACUAGCGAUGGGUUAUAUUGAUGGUUGGGAGCAUUCUGGAAGAGACCGACAUAUUGAUACUGAUUGAAGUCCUGAUCAUUGAAGACCUGUAUAGCCUAGAGCUAGGUUUCAUGGAUAUUUGUGCGAUCAAUAUGUUUCCUCUUUUGCUUUAGCUUCAUAGGAUUUUCGGAUGCACCCAUACCGCUCACUGUGCACUCUAGUUGACUAUUAAGUGUUGAGAGUUUCGCCAUAGGGAACUCCCUAGGAUGUCGAGGUAGUGCAUGUGUGGAGGUAAUGACCGCUUUGCAUGGAAGCGCCCUGUCUCUUCGGAGACGUGCAGAGGGUUGCGUACCGCCGGAAGGUAUGAUCGCUUCUACUAAAGAUCUUUUAAAGUCCACCCACAUCCUCUUAGAGCCACCUUGACCUUAUAGGUUAAGCCGUAGAUCCUUCGAUUAGGACUCAUUUCCUACACAUGGAUGCAUCUAAGGGACUUCAGAGCCUCUUUGGUCACGAUUUGGAUUCAGUACUCCCUCUUUUAGUCUCUAGUUGAAAAUGCACUGAGAUUAGUGCGAGUUUGAGUUAUAGUCAGACAGUCCGUCUACACUUUGAUGUUUUGCUCAUUUCAAUUCAGAUUAGCAUUUCUUCCGUGUUUUCCCUUGCCAUACCCUUAUUCCGUUUCUCAUGUUCCAGGAUCAACACUUUGUUCUCAGUCUAGAUUUACCAUCUUCUGUCAGAGUAGAGAGGAGAUUAGUUCGAUUUUCAGAGAGAUCAGACAUGGAUCAGCAGUUUGUCACAGUUGAUCAGUUAACGACCGUCAUGGCUUCUAUUCAAAAGGCCUUGGCCAGUCUCAGGCAGGAGAUAGGCAGUCAGCAGAGUAGACUACUCGUAGUUCAUACCGAGACGCCUUAUGACUCAUUGCCACCUCCACCACCACCUGUUUCGAUAGUGCCACAAGCCUCAUCUUAUCUAUUACAUGGUCAUUCUGAGAUUGCCCCGCCUGUAGUAGUACAGACCACAGUCAUUGAUGAUACUCAUGCACGUAUGGACCGUAUUGAGCAGCAUAUUGGAUAGUUGAGGGUAUCUGACAGUUCAACUAUUUGGGAUGAUCUUGAGGGUAUGCUAGUGGCCAGUUUACUGGCCAAGUUUAGGAUGUCCGACAUUGAGAGGUACACGAGCAUUGGUUGUCUUCACAUUCACCUGUAACUUUACAGCACGGUGAUGAGGGCUCAUGGGUUAGAUGAGUCACAUAUGAUCACCUUAUUCCCACUAUCUUUGAGUGGAGCGGCCCAGCGUUGGAUCGCAUCUUUGGAGUCCUCACGGCACAGGACAUGAGAUGACUUGGCCCAGGAGUUUUUGCUGCAGUUUUCAUUUAAUACUGUCAUAGAUGUGUCGAGAAGAGAGCUUAAGGUUCUGAGACAGAGAUCAGAUGAGUCUGUUUCUUCAUUCAUAUCCCGCUGGCGCGAGAAGAUAGCUGAGAUUAUGGAUACAGAUGGUUUUGAGGAGUCUAUAAUCUAGGAUCGCUAGACAUGUGGUCGGAGUGCCUUUCACAGACUUUGGCUAUCUGGUUUUGGCUCUAUAUGAUGUAGAGGAUGGUAUUUCGAGAGGAUUAUAGACAGAUUCUACCCAUAUUGAUGUUAAGGAAAAGAAACCAUCUGGAUAACAGAGAUCAGCUGAUGUGAGUGCUAUCAGUUCUACCAGUCAGAGGCCUCCCAGGCAUCAUCAGCCAGUUCCACAGCUUAUUAGGACUCACCUUUCUUAUGCACCUCAACAGUAUAGGCCAUGAGCACCUCAUCAAUCUUAUGAUCAGACUUACAUGCCACCCACCCUAGCACUACCUCAUUAUGCCGUGCAGGGCAUAAAGAGACCUCCUGCUUUAUAUCAUGCUCCAAUGCAGCCACUAUGCAACAUAGUUUGCCAUGAGACCCACAACAUCCUAUCUCAGGCCUAGAACUCAACAGACUUCUACUCUUUUUUCUUUGAGAACUCAGAGAUAGUUUUCACAGUUAGAUAUGUCGUUGAGCUAGGCUCUUUGGAAGCUCACAGGGGUCGGGUUGUUGAUGGCUCUCACUCCUAGGCCAUUGCUUCAGCUUGUCUCGCCUCAGUUUAGAAUGGAUCUACACUGUGCAUAUCAUCAAGGGCCAAGGCAUGAAACUAACCAUUGUACUGCUCUGAGACAUGCCAUUCAGGAUCCGAUUUAUUAGGGUUUGGUUCACUUGGAUCAGCCAAGUGUAACCACAAACCCAUUACCGGCCCACACUACACAUGCAGUUCCCUCUCCGAUCAAUGGCACACAUUUCCUUGACUUCGCUGAGCUUGACGAUCACAUCCACAUGUUGAGUUGGGAUGAGUCAAAGCCUGAGCCCAUAGUAUCAUAUGAGAUUUAUGAGAUAGACGAAGUGACCUUGAGCCCUCGGAUGCCCACACUAUUCAGACUAGUUCCUGAGGCGACAUCAGUACAGACAACCACUGUCGAGCCAUUGACUUUCCCACAUUACAACGUUCAGACGCCAUUCGUCUUGGUUCUAGAUGUUGAGGUGGUUCAGACUUGGUAUGUUAAUGUUUCUCAUACUCCCGAUGUACAGUAUAUUCUUUGUGGAGACAUGGUAUUAUGACAGCUGCUAGACUCUUGGAUGGGACAUCCGCUCCUGAGGAGGUCAGAAGAGAGGAUGAUGAGAUUCUGAGGCAAUUACAAAGCACACAGGCUCGUAUUUCUAUUUGGAAUUUGUUGGCAUCUUCCAACACUCAUAAAGAUGCAUUGACUAUAGCCUUGAGCCAGAUCAAAGUCGAGACUACCACUACUCCGGAGAGGUUGAUUCACAUGAUGAGGGCUGGUAGAGCCACUUGCAUAGUGUUUACUGUUGAUGACUUGCCUCCAAAGGGUUCGGACCAUACACGUCCACUGUAUAUCUCAAUCGGUUGUUCAGGCCACCGAGUCCCAUUUAUCCUUUUGGACAAUGGCUUAACCCUGAACAUUUGUCUUCUAGCCACUGCCAUCGCCCUUGGCUAUGCACCCUCUAACUUUGGUCCCUCCACUUAGACAGUCUAAGCAUAUGAUAGCACUAGGAGGGAGGUUAUGGGCACUUUGGAGAUUGAGUUGUUGAUAGGUCCGACCAUAUUUCCCCAUUUGUUCCAAGUUUUGAGGAUUCUUACAUCCUUUAACCUGUUAUUGGGUCGACCUUGGAUCCAUAGAGCUGGGGUCAUUCCUUCUUUCCUUCAUCAGAAGGUAAAGUUCAUUCAUGAUGGCCAGGUUGUCACUGUGCAGUCUGUCGGAGAUAUGUUUAUUUCUUCUGAACCAGUGCUUCAGAUCAGCCACAGUGAUGACGACCUAUUUCUGACUAGGUUCACAUUCAAUGAGGAGCAGACCCUGGAGAUGGAAGAUUUUUGCCAAGACUUCGUGGCUAUAUCGUUUGACUAGCAUGGUAGCAUAGUGGUACUCGACAUGAUGAAAAACAUGUCUUAUUUACCUAGCAUGGGGUUGGAGCGACGUCAGCACUGGCCCAACGAGUUUAUGGCUAUCCUAGAUCACGAUGUACCGUUCGGACUCGAGUUCUUUCUUACUAAGGUUGAUUAUCGAUAUAUGGCACGAUUGCGCAAGAAGAGGGUGAGGGCCCGAUUGACUGAUACACCCUUUGACUAUCUUGUUUACUCAUACACCAUGAGUUUGGCGGACUACUUUAUGAGGGCAUUGAAGCUACAGAAGCCUUCAGAUGGGAUCAUUGGGGGAUUUAGCACUGUUUAGGAGGCCAAGCUUCAACGUCUUGUCCAUAAGCUAUAGUUGAGUGAUGGAGCUCCAGGCAUUUCGGCGUCUGCAUUGGUCACCCUAUCAUCUUCAGAUCGUAUGAGCCUUAUAAAGCUCUAUUUCCCAGAUGAGAUCAAUGAGCACGGGACCUUUGUUGAGAUCGGAGAUGUAGUGGAUGGAGUUGUUCCACAUGACGAGUACAUUGAUGAGAUGCUCGUGCUGAGUAUGAGCCAGAUCAAUGAGAUAGUUCAGUCUGUUGCUGAUUUGUUUGAGGGCACUAUUGGCCCAGUUAAGGGAGCGUCUGACUUUGUGGAUCCACAUCUUUCAUUUGAUAUUUUAUCAGGAUUUGUCUCCCAUUUUGACGAUGUUCAUGACUCUUCAUUUAUGGAUUUGAGCAUUUUCGAGUAUAUGCUUGUCUUUUGUGAUAUUACUUUAUCCGCACCCUCUUUACCCACAUCACAAUAUUUGAUUUAGAUAAUGAGAUUGUACAGCAUGAUUCAGAUGAUGACUCAUCUUUUGCUUCUGAUUCAGGCCCCAUUUAUCAAAGAGUUUCACAUGUUAUAGGAGAUACUGAGGUUUUUGAUUUCGGUAUAGCAGAUCAGCCUAGGGAGCUGAGGAUUGGAGUGGAUUUAUCUACAGAUGAGAAAGAUAGCCUCAUCCAGCUGUUUAGAUCAUAUUUGGACGUUUUCGCAUGGUCUUAUGAGGACAUGUCAGGCCUUAAUCCAUCUAUCAUCCAACAGCGUUUUCCGUUUUUACCCCAUGUUAGAUCGGUUAAGCAAAAGUUGAGACGAUUACACCCUCCCUAGAGUUUAUAGGUGAAGGAGGAGAUUCAGAAGCAACUCAAUGUAGGAUUUUUAUCAGUGGUCGAGUAUCCCGAGUGGCUGGCCAAUGUCGUCCCUGUUCUAAAAAAAGACGACUAAGUGAAAGUUUAUGUUGAUUUUCGAGAUCUUAACAAGGCUAGUCCUAAGGAUGAUUUUCCUCUCCCACACAUUGACAUGCUAGUUGACAAUACGACAGGCCAUUCGAUGUUGUCCUUUAUGGAUGGUUUUUUUAGGUACAGUUAGAUUCUAAUGGCUCCCGAGGACAUGGAGAAGACGUCCUUCAUUACCGAGUGGGGUACUUAUUGCUAUAGAGUCAUGUCAUUCAGGUUAAAGAAUGCAAGAGCUACCUAUCAGAGAGCAUCGACCACCCUCUUCCAUGACAUGAUGCAUCGGGAUGUCGAGGUUUAUGUAGAGAUCAAAGGCUUCUUGGGUAGACUCCAGUACAUCAGCAAAUUCAUUGCCAGAUUGACAAACAUUUGUGAGCCCAUUUUCUGACUCUUAAGGAAGAGUCAACCUACUGUUUGGGAUGAUAAGUGCCAGUGCGCUUUUGAGAGGAUUAGAGAGUACUUGUUGUCACCUCCAGUCUUGGUGUCUCCUACAUCGGGCCAUCCUUUACUCCUAUAUCUGUCAAUCUCAUAUGUAGCCUUGGGAUGUAUGUUAGCUCAGCUCGAUGAUUCAAGAAAUGAGCAAGUCGUUUAUUAUAUGAGUAAGAGGAUACUAGAUUAUGAGAUGAGAUAUGUCAUGAUUGAACGCUACUAUUUGGCAUUGGUUUGGGCCACUCGCAAACUGAGACAUUACAUGACCAAGUAUCCAGUGCAUUUGAUAUCUUGUCUAGAUCCCUUGAGAUAUUUGUUUGACAAACCCGCUUUGGUCGGUCGCCUCAUUAGAUGGUUGGUACUUCUGAUUGAGUUUGACAUCCAUUAUGUCACUCAAAAGUCCAUCAGAUGGAGCAUUGUUGCAGAUCACCUAGCCUCAUUACCAGUUUCUGAUGGUAGAGCUAUUGAUGAUGAUUUCCCAGAUAAGGAUGUUGCUGUUGUGACCAGUCUGUCAGGUUGACGCAUGUACUUUGAUGGUACAACCAACCAUACUAGAUACAGGAGUGGUGUUUUAUUGAUACCCCAUCAUGGUGAUCACAUCCCUAAAUCUGUUCGUUUGGCAUUCUCGAAUCAACAUCCUGCCACAAAUAAUAUUGUUGAGGAUGAAGCCUGCAUCUUAGGAUUAGAGACAACUCUUGAGCUCGGUAUUAGACAGAUGGAGGUGUUUGGUGACUCCAACCUGAUAUUGAAAUAGAUUUAGGGCGAGUAGAAGACUAGAGAUGUGAAGCUUAGGCCUUACCACACAUACUUGGAGCUAUUAGUUGGGAGAUUUGAUGAUUUGAGAUAUACACAUCUACCUAGAGCACAGAACCAGUUCGUUGAUGCCCUGGCUACUCUAGCUUCCAUGAUUGAUAUUCUUACUGAUGCCAUUAUUCGCUCUUUACUGAUUGAGUCGAGAUUUGUUCUUGCAUAUUGUUGUCUGAUUGACGAGACAGAGUUAGAUGAUGGCUUACCUUGGUACCAUGACAUAUAUCACUUUUUGAGACUUGGAGCCUAUCCUGAGGCCUCCAUGGCCAAGGAUAAGAGAGCAUUGAGACAGUUAGUUGCUCGAUUUGUGGUGUGUGGGGAGACAUUAUACAGACGAUCAGUUGAUGGGAUGUUAUUAUUAUGCUUAGACCACGCAUCUGCAAAUCAAGUGAUGAGAGGGGUUCAUGCGGGAGUCUAUGGACCACAUAUGGGAGGGCAUAUGUUAGCUCAUAAGAUCAUGAGGACUGGCUAUUUCUAGUUGACCAUGGAGACAGAUUGCUGCCAGUUUGUCCAGAGACAUCUCGAGUGUCAGAUAUAUGGAGACCUCAUUCACGUGUCACCCUUAGAGUUACAUGCAUUGACUUCACCAUGGCCAUUUUCAGUAUGGGGUAUAGACAUCAUUGGGAAGAUUUCACCAAAGUCUUCUAAUGGUCAUGAGUUCAUCUUGGUCGCCAUUGAUUACUUCACCAAGUGGGUGGAGGCCGCCUCAUAUACGAGAUUGACAUCAAUUAGGGUUGCUAGUUUCAUCAAAUCACACAUUAUCUAUCGAUAUAGAGUCUCUCAUGAGCUGAUUUCAGAUAGAGGUGUACAUUUCAGGGCAGAGGUUGACACCUUGCUGCAAAGAUAUGGUAUCCAGCAUCAUACGUCAUUUGCAUACAGGUCGCAGACGAACGGGGUAGUAGAGGCCGCGAAUAAGAAUAUUAAGAAAAUCUUGCAAAAGAUGGUUGAGACUUCUCGGGAUUGGUCAGAAAAUCUCCACUUUGCAUUGUGGGCUUAUCGAACUUCUUUUCGCACCUCUACAAGAGCCACACCCUACUCCUUGGUGUAUGGUAUGGAAGCAGUGCAACCAGUUGAGAUUGAGAUGGGUUCAUUGAGGAUAACACUAGAGCAGCAUAUUUCAUAGGUAUAUUGGGCUCAGGUCCGAUUAGACCAGCUUAAUCUCAUAGAUGAGAGAAGAUUGAAGGCAGCAGACCAUGUUCAUGCAUAUUAGAGGAAGAUGGCCCGCACUUUCAAGAAAGAGGUCAAGCCUAGACCAUUACAGAUAGGUGAUUUAGUCUUGAAAGUCAUCAGAGGAUUGAUCAGAGAUCCUAGAGGAAAGUUCAGACCCAGUUGGAGCAAACCUUAUUUCAUUAGAGAGUUGACCCUAGAGGGCGCUGCAUGGUUGAUGGAUUUAAAUGGAAGCCAAUUCUCAGAGCUGACCAACGUGGAUCAACUAAAGAGAUACUAUGCUUGAGACCAUGGUUGCAUGAUGGGUGGCCAUCAUUUCGGUUAGCCAUACACCCUUUUACCAUUUUGAUAUAUAGACCGUUGCUAACCCAUUGAGCCUUGCAUGUGCAUUAUAACUUUUCUUUCUUAUUGCCUUGCUCACUUUUUGCACUGGGAUAAGAGCCCUUUAGUGUAUGUAUGCUCGGUUUAGGAGUUUCAUGAGCCUUGGACCUAUGGGCGCAUUUUUCUCAUUAUCUUUUCCUAACACUGUAUCACUACAUUUCAUCUCAUCUCAUUGGUUGUGUUCUUCAUCUUUUUCUUUGUUAUAUUAACUGCUUAUUCUGCAUCAUCACCUUCCAUCCCGAGUGGUAAUCCUUCUCAGUUCAUUACAUAAGAGGUAGUCAUGUCAUUCCCACUAUCUAUUUCACGGACAUUGAUCUAAGGAUCAUUAGUUUGAGCAGGUCAUCUUCUUAGAGAGAGUUUACGCUACUUUAACAUUUGAGAGUAUGAUUAUCCAUUUUUGACCUCAUCUUUGGAGCCUCUUUGUUUGCGUUUAGAGCAUGCACAUUUGUAUAUAUGUAAAAAAAAAUGAAAAAUAAUAAGCGCAUGCGUGUAGUAUUCUCCAUCAUUGAGCAUGUAUAUUGAUGUUCGAGGGUCAUUUUAUUGAGUAUGUUUUUACUGGAGUUCGUAUGCGAGCUUCCUGAGACCCUCCAUUUUAUGUAUUCAUUUUGUCGUAUAUUUUGAGAGUGAGAUGAGUGACUUUCUCUUAGGAGUUCUGGGUCAUUGGCUUUUCCAUCAUUACGUUCAUUGUUGAUGUGGCUUCCCUUCAUAUUUGAUUUGAGCGGAUCAUCACUACUUUUCAUGUUCUGCAUUUCACCAUUAUCCUCACUUUUGCUUUCGAUUCAUCAUCUUCAUUUUACCAUUUGUUCCUUCCUUACAACGACCCAUUCCAAGUUUGGUACUUCCUUUGCAUCAUCAUUACACAUCUCAGUAUCAGUUCGAUUUUCUGCAUUGCCUCAUUAUUAUCAUUAUAGCCACAUUGGGCAUCCUUAGGUCUAUGGCUCACGAGAUUUUCUAUACAUGUUGCAUUUUAUAUAUGAGGGCAUGGGUUUUCGAUCAUUGGGUAUUUGGGCCUAGUUUCCCUUCAUUUCUAUCACCUUAUCACCCUAGCCUACAUUACGUCCUGUGUUUUAAGACCACCCUGAGGCCAUGGGAUCAGAUUUCGUCUUCGACAACCCCCUCUUUGAUAGGUGCUUGAGAUUUGAUUGAUAUUUGGAUAUCGUCAUGCUUCUUCUUUUAGGAGACACCUCUUUGAUGUUUGGAUCUGAUUUAGCUGUGGAUUUGGAUUACUGGGAUCACAUGUUUGAUGAUGGAUGAUUUGACGUCACCUGAUUUUCUGAUCUAUCAUACGUUCGAGGCCAUACCGGGGCAUAUUCCGUUUCGGAUAAGAUUUACAUAUCUUCAUGGAGUUGCAUGCUCAUCCCCACUUAUGAGAUACACGCCGAGACGAUGACAUGUUUGUUAUCUUAUCAUGAUCCUCUAGUGAAGCCUUUCUUAAGCCAUUCAGUUAGACCCACACUUUUCGAUCUUUAGAUGUCAUCAUACUUCUUCUUCCGGGAGACGGAUUUUGACCUGUGGAUUUGAUUCAAUUGCGGAUUUAGAUUACUGGGAUCACGCAUUUGAUGAUGGAUGCUUCGAGGUCAUUCAAUUUUCUAACCUACCAAAUAUCUGAUUCCAUACUGGGGCAUAUUUCCUUUUCGAUUGAGAUCUGUAGGUCUCCAUGGAUUCGCAUGAUCAUUCCCAGUUACGAGAUACACAAUGUGCUAAGGAUUCGUUUUCAUUUUUUUCUUGAUUCUCCAUUGAAGCCUUCCUUUAGUCAUUCGGUUAAGCUCAUACUUUCUGAUAUUGUCAUGAAUUUUAGAUGGAUUUAUCUCAGGUGUGUAGAUUUCCACAUCAUCAUUUUAGGGGAGUAAAUGUCAGAUCUUUUAUACAUCUCCAUUGAGUUAUUCUCGAGUCAUCAUGACGAACUGGAUGCGCUAGUUGCUAUAUUGGGGCAUAUUUCCACCUUUUAGCUAUAGAGAUGAUUGUUUUAUCACAGGCCUAAUACAGUCUUCAAUACUCGGUCGAUGGAUACUUAUUUGCAUUAAUGGUCACUGUUUCGAUGAUUUUUUAAUUGAAAUGAGCUUUCAGCGGAGUGCGACAUUUGGGUUUUGAUCGUCCCACUAUCCAUGACUCUUCAGUAGAUUGUUAUGUUGAGAUUGUGGUAGUUACCCUAGCGAACUAUUCUCUUGAGACCCCCUAGUGGAUCAUUCAUUUGAGAUGAUGAUGGAUUUCCCCAAUAGAGCAUUUUGAGUUAGAGGAGUUUGACUUAUUGUGACACUUUAUCAGACCUUGUGACCUAGUCAGAUGGGUUUUGAGACUAUAUUUAUAGUCAAUUUGACCAUUCCGACUCGCUAGCGGAGCAUCUUUUGAGACUCAUGGAGUCUCUUUUAGACCCUUCUAGUGGAUUGAGAGUUGUGGCAGCACACUACACUGGGGCAUAUUUCCCUCUCAUCGUCUCCUCGCAUUUUUAGCUCGACGUUCAAAGCCACCAUGUCUUCUCAGUUAUAACGUUCAGAUUCGUCUCUCUCAGCUGGACAUUCAUAGAUAUCAGUUCACAGUUGGGCGUUCAGAGCCACCAUCUCAUUACAGUUUGGCGUUUAGAGCCGUUGUUUCCACUUGGCAUUCAGAGUCGUUGUUUCCACUUGGCAUUCAUAGCCAUUGUUUUAGCUUGGCAUUUAGAGUCACCCCAUCAUCUCCUCAUAGGUCUUAGCGUUCAGAGCCACUACCUCUUUCUUAGUUUCGGCGUUCAGAGCCACCAUCUCUUCUCAAUUUUGGCAUUCAAAGCCACCAUCCCUUCUCAUUUUUGGUGUUUAGAGCUGUUUUUUGUUUAUAGUUCGACAUUCAUAGCCAUCGUACCUCUUUUUCAAUUUGGCAUUCAGAGCUGCAUCUUCAUUUUGGCGUUCAAAGCCACCGAGACUUUUUAGUUUGGCAUUCAGAACCACCAUCUUUUUUUCGAUUUGGCAUUCAGAGCCGCAUCUUCAUUUUGGUGUCUAGAGCCGUUGUUUGCUUCUAGUUCAUCAUUCAUAGCCAUCAUACCUCUUUUUCAGUUUGGUGUUUAGAGCCGCAUAUUCAUUUUGGCGUUUAGAGCCGUUGUUUGUUUCUUGUUUGACAUUCAGAGUCAUCAUCUCUUCUUUCCGUUCGACGUUCAGAGUUGCAUCUUCAUCUCGACAUUCAAAACCAUAUCUUCAGUUUGGCGUUCAAAGCCGUUGUUUGUCUUUGGUUCGACGUCCAGAGCCGUAUUUUCUGUUUGGCGUUCAGAGUCGUUGUUCAUUUUAGUUCGGCAUUCAGAGCCACACCUUCAGUUCAGCGUUUAGAACAGUAUUUUAUGUUUGGCGUCCAGAGUCAUUGUUCAUUUUCAGUUUGGCGUUCAAGGCCGUCGUUUUUUUUUUUUAGUUCGACGUUCAGAGUCAUCAUGUCUUUCUUCUAUUCACUAUUCAGAGUCACAUCUUCAUCUUGGUGUUUAGAGUCACGUUUCCAGUUAGGCUUUUAAACCCGCAUCUUCUGUUUGGCGUUCAGAGCCAUGUCAUCAGUUUAGCAUUUAGAGCCAUUAUUCAUUAUUGACAUUCAGAUCCGUUGUUUCGUUUGGCAUUCAGUGCCACCAUCUUUCUUUAGUUUUGGCGUUCAAAGCCAUUAUGCAUACUCAUUGAGGCAUUUGAUACCACCAUCAUUCUUUAGUUUUGGCGUUUAGAGCCAUUGUGUAUACUCGUUUAGGCUUUUAGAGUCACCAUUCUUUCCUCCAUUUUGGCAUUCAAAGUCAUUUUCCUUACCUUGUUACUUUGUCCUUAUUGCUUGUUCAUCAUGCUCUUCUAGACUUCCCAUUCCACUACACAUGACAUAGUCAUUUGAGUUCGAGACACAUAUUUCGGCCAUGUUGUUGGGCACCCUACACUUAGCAUUCUUAUGUAGUUCACAUAGGGUAGUCCCAUUUGACGCAUUCUUUCUUGUACUCUAGGGUGGUUCGACCGCUACUCAUCUUUGACAUUGACUUUCGAGUCACUUUUGGAGAUGUCUUAGAGGGAGUCUAGGUCAUUGGUACAACUUUAGAGGCGCUUUGAGAUAUACUUUUCUCAUAUGAUUAGAGUUUUUUUGUUCAUCUGUUGGCCUGAGUGAGUUCAUGUUUUUCUAGUGUCCCUUUAGGGGUCUCCUUGAUUCUUCGGUAGAGUUCAUUUCAUUCCACCCACUAUUCACAUUUUAUUUUCACUACAGUGUUCAUAUUCCUUACACUUGUGAGCUUUACCGAAGAAGGGCAUAUUUGUAUACCCCGAUUUUGGGGCUCAUUUGUAGCAGUUUAUCUUUCCAGGUAGAGGGCUCUUAAGGAGCCACGUGUUGCCUCAAGAGAGGCUAUUAAAUAAUCAUAUUAGUGAGUAGAGAAUGCAAUGGGGAAAAGACAAGUGUUGAGGGAAUGUUCUAGGGAGAGCAUAUUCUUUUAGAUAGGGACAAUGAGGCUAUUAGAGAGGGAGAGGUGAUUUGGUUGUUGCUUACAGAGAUGUUUUAGGAUAAAGGGAGAAGGGGGAGAAGGGAAGAGAACCUGAGGAGAAAGAUAGUUAAAACAGAAAGGCAAUGAGCUAUAGGAAGAAAGAAGGUUGCAAGGUUGAUAGCUUGAGGAGCAAACUGGUUUGGGAGGAAGGACUGAGAGAAACAAGUCGGGUAUUCUAGAGAUAGUGGGUAUAAGAGGAUAGCUAGACGUUGCUUGAGGAAGGAAAAGAAAACUUGAAAGAAUUUUUUCUAGGUUCGUUUGUUGUAGCUUCUUGGAUUGCUUUUACUCAUCACUCUGUUUUCUUAUAUCUUUCAUUCUCUCUGGUUGUCUCUGGAUUUCUAAGCAUCGAUCAAUUGUUUGGGCAUGGGUAUGAUGUUGUAUUACACUUUUCUCAUAUUUGUUUAUCUGAAUAUGGCUCACUCUCAUAGUAGGAGUUUGUUGAUGCUUUCAUUUUGAUAUUUGUUAUGAACUAUCUUACUGCACCACUGGUCGACGAACCCUUGGAUUUCAAUAUGAAAAGGGAUCCCAUUUAAUGUUCUACUCACUCUGUUUACUUGGUUCUGGGUAAGUUGUAUCCUGUUUUGCACACUUCUUUACUCCCGGUACCUCAAUUCAUAUCCCCUUUUAUGGCUUAUAUAUCUUCGGAUUUGCUCUAAACGAUUGGUUGUGUGUUUUGAUCUGUGCUUGAGGAGAGAGGGUUGUGUGUUGGCUUACUACUCCAGAUCCGUGACCCCAAUAGAUGAGAUGUAUACAUGUGUUAUAUUAGCUGCUAUUUUGGCUAUUGGGUUUGCCACUAAUGCAUUUGGGAUCCAAGUUCUAUGUAAUUGGUUUUUCCAUGGGUGGACAGGUGAUUUGGAGUUGCCUCAAGUAUAUCCUUCACAAGUUGGCAAGUGCAACACUGAUAGCUCCAAUGGUCAACUACUUUUGGCCUAGUUUUCCUCCAAACUUAUCUAAAGAAGCCUACUACCAAUAGUUUUGACAGGAUCAGUGGGCGCUUCGUGUUGCUCACUACACACCAUGGCUUACCUACUGGUGGAACACUCAAAAGUGGUUUCCUGCUUGUAGUGUUGCAGAACACACCACUGAUAUUAUUUCUCACCAAGACAAAAAGCUCAUGCUUAAGCUUUCAAAGAAAAUGGAAUAUAUGGCACAUGUGAGACAACAAGAAGAAUUUGAGUCUACCCAUCGUGACUUGAUGAUAGGAUUUAGAACUUGGGAAUUUGAUCCCAUGGAUCUGAAGAACCCAUUCCCAAAUAAUGAAGGUUCUGUCCACCUAUGGCAUGGAGAUGAAUAUGCAAUUAUGCUUGUUUCACUGCAACGCUACAUUGCCCAACAACUCCCAUGGAUCAUAUUUGUAGAUAUCCAUCUGCUUGAAUAGCUCAAUGGGUAGAGACCUCUGUUGAAUCUUCCUCUUUAGGUAGAACCUCACAAGCUCCUCAUCUAUGGGAUGAAACCUGAAGCCAUGCAGCAUGACAUCAUCCAUUUUAUCAGCAUCAUUCCUCUCAUCCAUCAUCCCUCUUUUUCCCUGAUUUCCUCAAACUCGACUAGGAAUUAGAAUCAAUGAACUCUCUAAGGUGAUAUGGUAGUGAGCUUUUUGGAAAACUAACACCAACCCAUCAAUGGAAAUUACAAUUCACUUAAUUCAAAGCCACUAUAUGCCUCUUGAUAAGGAGCUUGACUGUGCAGCUUGAGCCGGGUUUUAUGGUGGUUGUAGUGUUUAUCAGCAAAUAUCACGAUGACUUGGUGAUGAGAACAGUUGAAGGAAAGCUUUGUGAAGAACAUCUAGUUACAAGAGAGAAGUAUUCAAAGAAGAGGUUAGAUUCAAGAAAAAACGAAGGAAUGAGUCCCAAGUUUCCUUCCUUGAAGCUUGAAAGUAAAAAUCUAGUGGACGAAUCUUUGAAAGCUAAUGAAAAUGAAGAAAAAAAAUCCAAGAAAGGUGAUGGUGAUAAGGUGAGAGAGGGGAUGGAGAAAGGAUCUAAGAAAAAUGAGGUGGAUUCUCAGAAAGGGUUGUUAAGAGUUGGACUAGACAUGUGCUAAAAAAAAUGGGGAUGUUAUGGGUGCGCUUGAUCUGUAUGAUUUGGCUAUAAGGAAAGGAAUUGAAUUAGGGCAGUAUCACUACAUUGUUCUUUUGUAUCUUUGUUCUUUAGCAGCACUUGGUGUUAUUCGACUUGCAAAAAGUGGAAUUGGUAGCCGGAGUUUGGACAUGUUGAGCCCUUCUAGUGAAGUUUGUGGUGGGGUUUCUGAGGAUUUGGUAGAAUUUGGGGACACGAGCAAGAAGAAUUCUGAAGCAUUUGAAGUAGAAAAAGAUGAUUUGGAUGGUAGUUUCAUUAAAAUGGACAAGUUAUCCUAGGUCUUUAAUUGCUUUAAUCAGUCAAAUAGUCAACUUUUGGAAGGUCAAAAGCAUUUAAGAAAGAGUGCUGAUGACUCCACAAAUAUAAAAGAAGAUAAUGAAAUUUGGGUAAGUGAAGAUUUCAAGAAGUAUGCACUCCGGAGUCGAUUUGAAAUCUAUGAGAAGAUGUGUUUGGAAAGGGUCCCAAUGAAUGAAGCAAACCUUGACAUCGGUGGUGAGAAUGACAAUAUCCAUGGGUAAUGGUGACAUCGCUUUUGAUAUGGUAAAGCAAACGAAACCACUAGGGAUAAAUCCUAGAUUGUGGUCUUAUGGUUCUGUACUUUCUGCUUUCUGUAACAAUGGAGAUAUUAAGAAAGCAUUUGGUGCUGAAGAACGCAUGUUGGAGCAUGGUGUCUAUCCUAAAAAGCCAAGUUAUAUGCCAAGUUUACUAUAACAAAAGCAACCUGAUGAACAGAUGUCUUCCCUUGUAGCCAUGCCAUCGUCCUUGGCUGCACAGAAAUUUCUUCCAAAUGUAGUCUCUGUUGGUCUUUUCCUAGGAUCGAUGCACAUACCAUCUUUUGUUCAACUAGCAAACCAAUAACCUGCACUGCAUUUGCCUACAACUAUCGGCCUUGGUGAAAAAUCACCCCCAUGUCACAAUGCCAAUGAUGCAGGGAGUUGCUAGGUUUCGUUCCCAGAUGGGCACCAAUGUCAAGGGGAUAGAAUGAUCCAUUUUUUUAGGCUGACCGGCGAUAAAUAGCCAAACAAGCAGCUGCCUCUAAGCGAGUACAUCCAGCAUUGCAUUUGCUUGCCAAUUCACUUCCAUCAGCCCAAGUUGUUGGGUUGCUUACAAAUUCAUUCACAAUUGGUGCACUGACUGCACCAUAAUAGACAUUUGCUCAACUUCAUCUGGUAGUGGGUUCUCACUUUUUUGGUAUUUCAUCUUCUGCUCCAUAUGUCAUCCGCCUGCAUCCAAACUUCUACCAAGUCACCUUUGUUGACCCCACAUGUAGACUAUACAAGUCUAUGGUUUGAGUUUGAGGCAAAUUUUUUUCGAAUUUGAUGAUUCUGAUUCAGAGGAAGGUCUCCUAACCGAUUCAUAGGAUGGCAAAGUUGACACAGUAGCACUUCGAGUUUCAUUCCUGCAUGGUUAUCCCUCACCAUCUCUCCCACUUAUGCACAUAUGCAUGGCCACUUUUGGGCCACGUGUCACUCUUCCAUUUCUUCAUCCUUGCUUUUUUAAAAAAUAGUUUCUCAAACCCCAGUUUGCCAAUAAUUUUCCAAAUUCUAGUUUUUCAAAUAAUUUUAAUUCUUCAAAUUUUAAUUCUUAGAAUUUUUAGGUCCCAAAAGUCCCGUUUUUCAAUAUAAAUUUGUUGCCAUUUUCUUUGAUGGGGGAAAUUUUCACAUUUUCUUUUAUUUUUAAAAUGUUUUGAAAUAAACAUGGAUUUAAUUCCGAAUAAUGGAUAUUCAUGGGAUUAAUUCAUGCAAAAAUAAGUCGGGCUUUGGAGGAGGCAAUUUUCACAUUUUCUUUUAUUUUAAAAAUAUUUUAAAAUAAGCAUGAAUUUCUUUUUUUUUUUUUUUAAUUCCAAGUGAUGGAAUUUAUGGAAUUGAUUCAUGCAAAAAUAAAUCAGGCUUUGGUGGGGGUCCAAUUUAUGUGAUUUUCUCAUUGAUUGAUUGCUAUGCAUGAUUGACUUAUUCCACUCUAUGACAUGCAUAUGAUUAUGCUGUGUUUGUUUACUAAUCCUUAUUUUCCAUGAAGAAAAUCAACUCAUCACUCAGGUACACUCUUUCCCUCUCUUGUUCAUUCCGUUAUUAUGUUUUGAUUGAUAUUCAUUCGGUAUCCAUAUUUGAUCAAUCAAUUGUCAUACUUGCUUCAUCUCAUAAGUAGAGACCCGUUUUUAGGGACUUAGAGGGGUGCUACGGUCUUUACCGUACUUUCCUAAUAAGUAACCUAACCCCCGAGCCUAGAUUUGUUUUUUCACAGACCACCUUUUCCAAAAUAAAGAGUCACACUUAAGGUUUUCUUUCUUAUUUUGUUUACCCUUUAAAUAUAAAACAAAAAUAAGUGGCGACUCCAAGUCAUUUUCUAAAAAAUAAAUCAUUUUUAAAUAAAAAAUGAGUUCGUCAUCGAGUGAAAAUGCAUAAGCAAAAAUGCGGGGUCCACAAAAUGGUGACUCCACUAGGGAUCACUAGAAGGAUUUAAUUCCGAAUAAUGGAAAUCCAUGGGAUUAAUUCAUGCAAAAAUUAAUCGGGCUUUGGUGGGGACAAUUUUCACAUUUUCUUUGAUUUUAAAAAUAUUUUAAAAUAAGCAUGAAUUUAUUUUUGUAAUUCCAAGUGAUGGAAUUUACGGAAUUGAUUCAUGCAAAAAUAAAUCAGGCUUUGGUGGGGGCCCAAUAUAUGUGAUUUUCUCAUUGAUUGAUUGCUAUCAUGAUUGACUUAUUCCACUCUAUGACAUGCAUGCGAUUAUGUUGUGUUUGUUUACUAAUUUUUGUUUUCUAUGAAGAAAAUCAGCUCAUCACUCAGAUACACUCUUUGCCUCUCUUGUUCAUUCGGUUAUUUUGUUUUGAUUAAUAUUCAUUCGGUAUCCAUAUUUGAUCAUACUGUUUGCAGGGACUUAGAGGGGUGCUACGGUCUUUAUCGUAUUUUCCCAAUAAGUAAACUGAUCCCCGAGCCUGGAUUUGGUUUUUCAAAUAUCACCUUUUCCAAAAUAAAGAGUCACACUUAUGGUUUUCUUUCUUAUUUUGUUUAUCCUUUAAAAAUAAAACAAAAAUAAGUGGCGACUCCAAGUCAUUUUCUAAAAAAUAAAUUAUUUUUAAAUAAAAAGUGAGUUCACCAUCAAGUGGAAACGCAUGAGCAGAAAUGUAGGGUCCAUAAACAUGUUUGAUUUUUAAAUAAUAAUAAUAAUAAUAAUAAUAAUAAUUAUUAUUAUUAUUAUUGGAAAAUGGUGUAUUUUUUUCCAAAUCACUAAAUUAAAUUAAAUUUUAUUGAGAUUUACAAAAGGAAUAAAAUUUAAAUUAAUGUUUUUCUACUCUUUUUUUUUUUUUCAUAGUCAAUAAAAGUCAUUUUUGGAAAUAUAAAAAAUUCAUAUCCUUGUUCUCAAUUUUCACACUUUAUCUAAGUCUUGGGCUUAAAUGGUGAAUUAGGUCUCAUUUUCACACCAAAACUUAAUUUUUUGGUCCAAAUAGGUCAAAAACACCAUUUUUCCCAUAUUAUAUUGGGAAGCACAGUCUGCUUUAAUUAAAUUUUCUUAGGACAAUGAUUCUUAAGAGUAUGGCUCAAUCUUUGACUGAGAUGUGUUUGUUUACUAAUUUUUGUUUUCCAUGAAGAAAAUCAGUUCAUCACUCAAGUACUCUUUGCCUCUCUUGUUCAUUCGAUUAUUUUGUUUUGAUUGAUAUUCAUUCGGUAUCCAUAUUUGAUUAGACUGUUUGCAAGGACUUAGAGAGGUGUUACGGUCUUUACCGUACUUUCCCAAUAAGUAACCUGAUCCCCGAGCCCGGAUUUGGUUUUUCAAAUACCACCUUUUCCAAAAUAAAGAGUCACACUUAGAGUUUUCUUUUUUAUUUUGUUUACCCUUUAAAAAUAAAACAAAAAUAAGUAGUGACUCCAAGUCAUUUUCUAAAAAAUAAAUUAUUUUUAAAUAAAAAGUGAGUUCGCCAUCAAGUGGAACCGCAUGAGUAGAAAUGUAGGGUCCAUAAAGAUGUUUGAUUUUUAAAUAAUAAUAAUAAUAAUAAUUUUUUUUUUUUUUUUUUUGGAAAAUGGUGUAUUUUUUUCCAAAUCACUAAAUUAAAUUAAAUUUUAUUGAGAUUUUCAAAAGGAAUAAAAUUUAAAUUAAUGUUUUUCUACUCUUUUUUUUUUUUAUAGUCAAUAAAAGUCAUUUUUGGAAAUAUAAAAAAUUCAUAUCCUUGUUCUUAAUUUUCACACUUUAUCUAAGUCUUGGGCUUAAAUGAUGAAUUAGGUCUCAUUUUCACACCAAAACUUAAUUUUUUGGUCCAAAUAGGUCAAAAACACCAUUUUCCCAUUUUAUAUUGGGAAACAUAGUCUGCUUUAAUUAAAUUUUCUUAGGACAACGAUUCUUAAGAGUAUUUCUCAAUCUUUGACUGAGAUGUGUUUGUUUACUAAUCUUUGUUUUCCAUGAAGAAAAUCAGCUCAUCACUCAGAUACACUCUUUGCCUCUCUUGUUCAUUUGAUUAUUUUGUUUUGAUUGAUAUUCAUUCGGUAUCCAUAUUUGAUCAGACUGUUUGCAGGGACUUAGAGGGGCAUUAUGGUCUUUACCGUACUUUCCCAAUAAGUAACCUGAUCCUCGAGCCCGGAUUUGGUUUUUCAAAUACCACCUUGUCCAAAAUAAAGAGUCACACUUAGAGUUUUCUUUUUUAUUUUGUUUACCCUUUAAAAAUAAAACAAAAAUAAGUGGCGACUCCAAGUCAUUUUCUAAAAAAUAACUUAUUUUUAAAUAAAAAGUGAGUUCGCCAUCAAGUGGAAACGCAUGAGCAAAAAUGUAGGGUCCAUAAAGAUGUUUGACUUUUAAAUAAUAAUAAUAAUAAUAAAUUUUUUUUUUGGAAAAUGGUGUAUUUUUUUCCAAAAUCACUAAAUUAAAUUAAAUUUUAUUGAGAUUUACAAAAGGAAUAAAAUUUAAAUUAAUGUUUUUCCACUCUCUUUUUUUUCAUAGUCAAGAAAAGUCAUUUUCGGAAAUAUAAAAAAUUCAUAUCCUUAUUCUCAAUUUUCACACUUUAUUUAAGUCUUGGGUUUAAAUGGUGAAUUAGGUUUCAUUUUCACACCAAAACUUAAGUUUUUGUUCCAAAUAGGUCAAAAACACCAUUUUCCCAUUUUAUAUUGGGAAGCACAGUAUGCUUUAAUUAAAUUUUCUUAGGACAAUGAUUCUUAAGAGUAUGGCUCAAUCUUUGACUGAGCUUGAACAAAAUCCUUCAACUUGCAGCCACACUGAGUUCCUAAUUCCGAUAGGAUUGGCAUGCAUGGAAACAUGAGCAAGUAGUGAAGUAAACCACGUACGGGUCUUCUUCAAUAUGGAGAGAAAUGUUUUAUUAAUUUCUUGGAACCCUUUCCCACAAGUAACUUAAAGGGAGUAGCUAAAAUAUUAGUUCAAUUUUUUUUUUGUCUGAUGCUGUUUUAGAAUAAUGGCCUUUACACCAGGCUAGGGUAAGGAAUAUUUUUGCACUAUCAUUCUUCUGAGGAAGUUCUAUAGAUAUGGUAGGAUGUGGAUGUAUAAAGAUACGUGGGACCUGACUUUCAGCAGAGAUUCAUGCACAAGGAUAGCCUUCUUUGAGUAGAAAGCAAGCAAAUUAAACAAAGUACAGGAAAAUCCAUUUCUUCAUUUUUCUCUUCUGCCAAGCAAGCAUAUAUUCCCAACAAAAACAACCCCUACACACCUCUCUAAAAUAUCUUCAUUCGUCAGUUGAAAUGCAACAAUUUAUUAUAAACUAGAGGCCAAGGAAUCAUCUUUAACUCGUAUCAAACUGUUUGCAGUACCCACUUUAUGGCCACCCCACUUUUGCCCCGUUUUCCUUUUCCCUAUUAUGGCCUCUACUGUCUCAAGCAGCUGCUUUUAUGGCUAUCUCCCAAGUGUAUUUAUGGAGGGUCGCUGAAGCAGACAACAUUCUCAGUUGAAGUUGGUGCUGCUUUGUUGCUAUGGACCCAAGAAAACACUCUACUAGAAUGUUCAAUAUAGUUGUGUUCAUCUUCAUUUCAGUCACCACCCUGAUUAUAAGUACCCCAUGUGGUAAUUAAACAUAUUUUCCUUUCAAUUUUAGUGCAUGUUUAAUUUACUAAUUAAUGUUGAUGAGUAUGUUAUAAGUUUUGUUUCUUCUGGUGCAGAUGCAAGAAGUUCAGCACAAAUGUUGGAGGUUGAAGGUGAGGAGUUUGGUGAAAGUUCAGUCACUGGGGGGAGGAAGAUGCAACAAGUAGCAGUAAACUUGGAGAAUACUGACUCAUACAUAAGCUCUCCAUUUUCUCUACCACCUUUUGAUUCAUUGUCACCACUUCCCUCACCAGAGACAGCCCCUCCCUUUUGUGUUUGCCCACCAUUUUCCCCACAGCCACCUUCCAUACCCACUACUCCACCCAUAUUCCAAGGCCCUCCUACACAUUCCCCAGUUCCAAAUCCUCCUGAAUAUGAGCUGCCUAGUCCCCCCAAGCAUGCGCCAAGCUCACCGAAGCGCGCUCCGAGCCCGCCAGUCUUUAAGCCUCCGGUGGUUCUACCACCACCAUCUACACCGCCUCCACUACAUAAGGCACCCCAGUAUGCUGUUUGGUGUGUCGCAAAGCCGACGGUGCCUGAUCCCAUAAUUCAGGAGGCCAUGGACUAUGCCUGCGGAAAAGGUGCAGACUGUGAAGCAAUUAAGCCCGACGGGUUAUGCUUCCAACCCAAUACAUUGUUUGCGCAUGCUUCAUAUGCUUUCAAUAGUUACUGGCAGAGGACUAAGGUGGCUGGUGGCACCUGCGACUUUGGAGGAACUGCAAUGCUUGUUACAGUUAAUCCAAGUAAGUUCAACUACUGCCUUCAUCUUAUGAGUACUAGCCUUAAGUCCCAACAAUUCCAUUCAAUACUCAUGAUUUUCUUGGGUAGACAUGAUUCUAAGUUGGGUCAGCUAUGGAACCAAAAGGCGUCUCCUCUGUGUCACACCAAAAACACAAGAUCAAUCGAGUAGUCCUAUAUAUAUGUGUCUUAAUUAUUAUUAUUUUUUACUUUAAUCUUAUUUGUUCCUAAUUAACUUAAUUUGGUCUAUAUUUUGUAUCAUUAUUUAAUGGAUCAAAUUUCACUAUACACUUUAAACGACCCAAAUAAAAAGUUAGAAUGAUAUAACAUUUUUUUUCUUUCGACUUUUUUGGAUUAGCAAGUUAAAUUUGAGGGUCCAACUGUAACAUCAGAGAGGUACCCAUCCAAAAGCGUAGUCAGUCAUAUCAUAUCAUAUCAUACUGUAUUUAAGUCUUAUUGUUAUGUAUCUGGAUCUCACUCAAUCAUAUUUAAUCACAUUCUUUAUGUCUUAAUCUCAUUAUUUGUACCUUCAUUUAAUAAUUUAAAUUAUUUUACUUACUUUUAAUGAUAAAAAUUAAGAGUUAAAUUGGGGUGACUUUUUUUUCGAAGCACAAGCCCAGCUCAUACAAUUUUAAGUAUGUAGUUUGAUUUGAGUCUGAUCUUUGAUAUAUAAUGCCUUGUUGCAGGUUUUGAUGAAUGCCAUUUUGUCUACAAUUGAUGAGUAGUGGUGAAGACAAUGCCUGAUUCCAGAGGGUAUAUGAAUAAUGCAAUAAAAUAGGUGUGUGGGUGGUUGUCAUGGUUUUUGCAGCCAAACAUGUAAAAGUAUUUUGAUAGAUGGAUUCAGUUUGGAUUUUGGAAUAUAGGAUCCCUACGCAACAUCUACUUAUUCUCUUGCCUUAAUUUUGUAAUCUAAAUUAUUACAUAAUACAUGAUGUUGAUGGUUAAGCUGGAUCUUAAUACAAUAAUUUAUUUAUUUUUUUGAGAAUUUAUUUGGACCUAUGUUAUAUACCAUCACCUUAUUUUAUCAAUUUUUUUUAAAAUAUAAAAUAAUAUAUUGGUGAAAUUACCCUCUUACCAGUUUGUUCAACGUGCCUACAACUACCCAAAAUUCUAACCUUAUUUUCACUUCAAGUUUAGUUCAUUUUCCUUGGGAAGAGGGCAAAAAGGUCAUUUCACAUAACUUUUAAUAUUAGAAAAUUAAAAACAAAUUCUCCUCGAUUAACCUUUCUAAACCCCAUGAAAUGACCUAAAAUAAUAAAUAAUGCUCUCUUUCACCCAUUUUGGUUAUUAAAAAAGGAAAAAAUAUAUAUUAAAGAAACAAUUCAAUUUUAUUAUGAAAAAUAAUAAAAAUAAAUAUAAUUAAAAUUAAUUAUAAAUUUAUGUAUUAUUAUUUAAUUUUCACAUAAAAAAAAUAAAAAAAAUGAAAUGAAUUUGAGAUAAUAUAUAAAAAUAAUUCUUUUACGUACCAGUAAGUUUGAUAAUUUACAUUUAUUAUUGGAUUUAUAAUUAUAAUUAUUAUGAUUAAUAGUCAAAGGUUCUUUUAAUCAAAUUUUAGUUAUUAUGAAAUAAGAUUAAGGUGCUAAUGAUUUAAAUCAAAUUAAGGUUUUUUAUAACAAUUUGUAAUAUAGUAUUUAUUGGUACACUUAGGCUUAAAAAGUUGAUUUUAUUAAGAAAAUGAAUAAAUCUUUGUUUUAAUUCAAAGUCUUCAAUUAUAAAUGAGUUUACAUAUUCCUUCUCUUAAUAUUUUUAAUUUAUGAUUACACUGCUUCUCUUAUUUAUUUAUUUAUUGUUUAAAAAAAAUUAACACCCAAUUUACGCAUGGGGGUGAUUUACUUAAUCAAAUUAAUUGUUUGUCAUAAUUAUUAUUAUUUUGGGAAAUAAUCAUGUGAUUGUAUAUGCACUCUAUCUUUAUACAAGAAAUUAGAUUUUUCAUAUCAUGAUCCCAUUUUGUGGCAUCUAAAUUCUAUAUUUUUUUAUAUUGUUAUUUAAUAAUUUAGAUUAAUUAGUUAUGCAUGUUAAGAAAUUGAAUUAAAGACGUUGAAUAUGAUAUAAAAAGCCACAAUACAAUAUUUCUUGUCCCACAAAUUUAAUAGAAAUCUUUUCUUUCCAUGAACUUUUUAAGAAAAUACACCCAUUUGCUAAGUUGAUAAUUUAGUCAAAUAGGUGCAUCAUGGGCCCAUUGAACUUAGUCCUUCUACUACAGCUAAUGAUAUUGGUUUUUAGUAGAGGUGCAGAGAAUCAAGCCGAACCAAACAAAAAUGCUCGGCAGGUGGAGAUGGGAUCGAUGUUACCAUUUUUUUCUAAAGACAAUUGAUUGGAGUCUUGCAGAGGGAGACAUAACCAUUUUACUAUGUGUCUCAAGCUUGGCUGUAUCCUACAAUCUUUUAUUUUAGUCAAUUCUUCCAAAUUUCCAAAUCUGAGUGCUGCGAGAUGUGGUUUGAGUUUGAAAACUAGAGGGUCUUUGACCGAUUCAGACCUAGUUUGUCGCAGUGGUACUCAGCCGAUGGCGCAAAAAGGUCAAGAUAUUUCUUUCUUUCUUGUCCUCUUUGCCUCGAGAUUCAGGCUUUCCUUCCUACCAGGGUACGAACCGAGGAAAAGGAGAAUUUGCUGAAGCGUGACUGGGCCUAAAAUAUGUCAAAUGUGGAAGAAAAUGUAAAUAGGAGGUGAUUGAAAGGUAGACAAAUUUUAAGCACAUUUGUUUAAAUCUUUUUUCGUCUACUCUUACUUUUAUUUUUAUUUUUCUUUUAUAAAAAAAAUCAUCAAAGGGAAAAAGAAACCAAAGCAUUGUAAAGGGUAAGGCAGAAAUAAAUUAUGAAAAUAAAUAUGUAAAUUACGAAAAGAUGAUACAAAUUCAAGAAUUUUUAUUAAAUUAAUAUUGAAUUAUCAAUUUUCUUAAAAAUUAAAGUUUUUGAAAAUUUAAAAAAAAUUAAUAAUAAAACAAUUAAAAGUGAAUAAAAAGAAAGAAAAGAAAAAUGAGUAGUUAAACAAUUAAAAAUGAAUAAAGAGAGAGGAUGGUUAGUGUAGAGACAUCAUGUAAUAAAAUCAUAAGAAUGGUGUCCUGCCUACAUAGAUCACAUGCCACAACCAUGCAAGGAUUGAUCACCAUUAUCAUAAUAUGACUUUGUAUAACACAUGAUCCACCCAUCAAUUAUAUAAUGAUCAAAUAAGAUAUCAAAAACAACUCUUCCUUCCAUUUCGUUUUGUAAUUAACCUGAUCGUCGGAGAUGGAUCGACCUAAUAAAUCCAUUCAUUUUUCAUCUUUCCUGUUGAUCCUCAUAAGGAAGACAAGUGGGUUUUAAAGUUUUGCUAAAAGUUAAAUCCCACCAUUCCAAGGUGUAAGCUGGUCAGUCAAAUUUGGCAUCCAAAGCUCAUAUUUACGUUGUAUUCAACUUCACGUAAAGAAAUAUUUCUUACUAAGGAUUGUUCUAGCAUUAAUAAACGUGUUCUUAAAUGAUAAGGGCGAGUGAGUUUAGAGUUUAGAGUUUAGAGUAGGUAAUGGGUAGUGUCGUGCUGUCAUGCAUUAUUAAUCAUCAACUUGAUUGGAUGGUGGUCAAAUUUAUCUGAUUUAACUUUCUUAAAUUGUGAGUGUUGCUUUCUUUAUGUAUUUUUCUGGUAGGCUGGUGUGCUUCUAGUUCUACCCAAUUCAUGUGGUCCUAACUUUUUCCCUCAAAAUUGGCUUUAAUAUCGCGGUGUCAAGUUGUCAACAAAAGGCAACCGAUAACGCGGAAUAUAGUACACAAAAUAAUAGAGACACUUUGGCACUAAACCCUAUACAAGAAAGGACGAACGUAAUUAAUUAGCCUAUUUUAAUUUUUUUUUAAUGUUUGGAUAUAAUGAAUUUUUAUAUUAAUGUAAAAGCUUUCUGAAACUUAUGCUAAAUAAGAUAGUAGUUUUUUUUAAAACGGUUUAUAAAAUUGAGAUGUUAAAAAAUAAUUAUUACUUUAAAUUUAUUUUUAUUUUAAAAAUAUAAAAUGUGAAGUCUAUCUUAAUUAAUGGAAGAUGAUGCUGGAAACUAAUAAACACAAAGUAAGUUUAAUCUGCAAGGAAGAGUACAUUUAGCCCUUUGGUUGUACAGGACUUAUAUAAAUUAAUUAAGUUCCAUUGUUGAAGGAGGAUGGCUCCAAGUGUAGGAAGAGUGUAAAUACUUUAUUUAUUUAUUUAUUUAUUUUUUUGGGGAAGAGUCCUAUUGGGAAUUAUUUUUAUUUUAUUUUACCUUAUUUUAUUCCAUUAGUCUUAUAUUUUUGGAAAGAGUCUUAUUGAGAUUGUGCUAGUGGAGUCUCGUUCCUUUUAUAAGUAGAAUCAUCUUCUAUUUUGAGUUUUAUUCUAAUUACAAGUAGAUUCCCGUUGGGAUUGUGUUAGUGACCUAUAAAAGCAGGUCACACCCAUCACUCUCUAUAUAUGAAUACCAAUUUUUUAGGGAAUUUAAAAAAAAAAAAGUUUUUCAGAGAGUAUUUUCAUACAUCUAUCUGAAGGAAUUUUUUCAAAACCCGAGUUGUACACAUCUCGCUUACAGAGUGCACCUAAGGCGAGAUAUGACUUUUGAAUCUUAGAGGUAGACCACUGGUACCCUAAUGCACUGAGUUAUUCUUCAAGGAUGGUGGAUCUAUUUCAAUGACAAAGUUUGUCACGCCUCAACCAAUAAGUUUUUCUUCUUAUUCAUUUUGUUAUUUGUUUGUGUCUUUUGGACUAGUCUUUUGUUUCCAUACCCUUAAAUCCAAUAAUCUUGAAAUAAAUCCAAAUGGAAGCUUCCCUAGUUCACACCCGUCCUAACACCUCUAAAAUUGAUCCAUUCAACAAGACAUUCUUUAAGAGAUGACAAGAAAGGGUUUUCUCUGCAAUUGAUGUAGUGAACUUGGAACACAUUUUGACAAUUUCAAAACUAGAAGAUAGUUCUCAUCUGUUACCAACCUGGGAAAUAAGAAAUAAAUAAGUUAGGCAUGCUAUUCUGAGUACCCUUUCUAAUGAACUUUUUUAUAUUUAUUGUUAAUUUAAAGUUGCAAAAGAAAUUUGGGAUGCAAUGAAUAAAAAAUAUAUUUUGGAAGAUGCAGAAACUCAGAAAUGUGCCAUAGGGAAUUUUAGAAAUUUCCAAAUGACCGAGGAUAGAGAUGUAUCAUCUCAAAUCCAUGACUACCACUUGUUGAUUAAUGACUUAGCUAUUGAAGGCAUUAAAUUACCCAAAUCUUUUGUGGUUGGUUAUUGAGUAGAGACUCUUCUAGAGUCUUGGAAAUACUAUAAAAAUAACAUGAAACAUAAAAGGAAACAAAUGUCCUUAGAGGAUGUAAUAAUCCAUAUUAGGAUUGAGAAACAAAACCGAAAUAGGGACAAUAUUGAGAAAGCUAAGGAAAUGUCUUCUAAAGCUAAUGUAGUAGAAGAAAAAUCUAAACCUAAAAACAACAGGUCCAGGAAACAAAACUCUAGGACCAAGCCCAUUGCAUCAAACAAGGUCCAGAACUCAACUAUUAAAAAACGAGGUAAUUGCUUUGUCUGUGGCAAGUCUAGACACUAUGCAAUUCAAUGUCACCAUAGGAAGAGAACUGAGAAGUUCAAUUCAAAGGCAAUCUAGCAGUGGCAAAGGUGAUCACAACAGUAAUCUCUUCUGAGGUGAGCAUGGUCACCAAUAUGAAGGACUGGGUGGUAGACUCUAGGGCUACUAAGCACAUCUGUGGGAAUAGAAGUGCAUUUACUUCCUAUACCACUGUAAAUGAAGGAGAGAAACAAGUGUUCAUGGGUGAUUCUAGAUCUACUCUAGUGAUUGGCAAAGGAAAAGUUCUCCUCAAGCUAACCUUUGGAAAAGUGCUUGCCCUCAGUGAUGUUCUUCAUGUGCCAAAUAUCCGUUGGAACUUGAUGUCAGUAUCUCUGCUUGGAAAAGCAGGAGUGAGGAUCUUGUUUGACUCUGAUAAAAUAGUUUUAACCAAGAAUGAUGAAUUUGUGGGAAAGGGCUAUUGUAUUUAGGGUUUAUUUAUGUUGAAUGUUUAUGAUAUUAUCAAUAAUAAUGCAUCUUCUUCUUCUGCUUACAUAGUUGAUUCUUGUGAUAUUUGGCAUGGUAGACUAGGACAUGUGAACUUUUCAUAUAUGAAGAAAAUGGUUGAAUUGAGUUUAAUCCCUAAACUGUCCUUAGAAAACCAUAGAAAAUGUGAAUCUUGUGUAGAAUCUAAAACCACAAAAAAAUCUUGCAAAUCAGUUGAAAGAUAAUCAGAUCUACUAAGUUUAAUACACAGUGACUUAGGAGACCUAAAAAAUACAAUGACUAGAGGUGGUAAACGAUUCUACAUAACUUUCAUAGAUGACUACUCAAGGUAUACAAGGGUAUAUCUUUCGAGAAAUUAAAAAUGAACCAAGAGAUGUUUUCAUCAAGUACAAAAAUGAAGUGGAAAAUCAACUAAAUAAGAAAAUUAAAAGGCUUAGAACUAAUAGGGGAAGAGAGGAUGAGUCCAACCCCUUCAAUUAUUUUUGUGAAGAUCAUGGGAUCAUUCACAAAACUACUCCUCCUUAUUCCCCUGAGUCUAAUGGAGUAGCAGAAAGGAAAAAUAAGACCUUAAAAGAAAUGAUGAAUGCAAUGUUGGUAAGUUCAGGAGCACUCUUGAACUUGUGGGGGGAAGCUAUCCUAUUCGCAUGUCAUAUUCAAAAUAGAAUGCCUUACAAGAAAACUAGUAAAACUCCUUAUCAGAUGUGGAAGGGUUAUGCACCUAAUAUAGCAUACCUGAAAGUAUGGGGGUGUUUAGCUAAAGUUCUUCUCCCUGAACCUAAAAAAGUUCAUUGGCUAUGCUGAGAAUAGUGUGGCAUGUAGGUUUCUUGUUACUAAGUCAUAAAACAGUCUUGUAGAUGUCAAUACUAUAAUAGAAACAAAGAAUGUAGAUUUUUUUGAAAACAUCUUUCCUAUGAUACUAAAUAGUGAACAACAAGUUCAGAAAACAAGUAGAGACGAGUCUAUUGAACCUUCUGAAUUUAAACCUAGAAGGAGUAAAAGAGAUAGGAAAGAAACAAACCUUGGAGAUGGUUUCUACACCUUCCUAAUAGAUGAUGACCCUAGAUUCUACAAAAAAAAGCUAUAACUUCUCCUGAUGCACCAUUUUGGAAGGAGGUCAUUAAUAGUGAAAUCGAAUUAAUCAUGUACAACCAUACAUGGGAGUUAGUAGAUUUACCUCAUGGUGCAAAGAGCAUUGGUUGUAAGUGGAUCUUUAAAAGAAAGUUGAAACAAAAUGGGUCUAUAGAGAAGUAUAAAGCUCGUUUAGUUGCCAAAGACUUUAAAUAAAGAAAAGAUGUAGAUUACUUUGACACAUUUGCCCUUGUGACUAGAAUAGCAUCAAUUAAAGUAUUGAUUGCUCUAGCUUCCAUUCAUAAUUUAGUGAUACACCAAAUAGAUGUCAAGACUACAUUCUUGAAUGGGGAUUUGGAAGAAGAAAUUUAUAUGGAACAACCUAAGGGUUGUGUAGUUCCAAGAAAGGAGAAAAAGGUGUGUAAGUUGGUUAAAUCACUAUAUGGGUUAAAACAAGCUCCCAAACAGUGUCACAACAAGUUUGAUCAUGUGUUAGUAACUAAUGGAUAUUCCAUUAAUGAUGUUGAUAAGUGUAUCUAUAGCAAGUAUGAGGAUAACACAUGUGUAGUCAUAUGUCUUUAUGUUGAUGACAUGUUGAUCUUUGGAACUAGCCUAGAGGUUGUGUGUGGGACCAAGAAAUUCUUAGGUUCUAAGUUUGAUAUUAAAAACCUAGGAGAGGCAGAGGUGAUUUUAAGAAUGAAAAUAACUAAAACACCUAAUGAGUUUAAACUUUCUCAAGAGCACUAUGUUGAAAAGAUCCUAAGGAAGUUUGAACACUUUGAUUGUAAACCAGUGUCAACUCCUUAUGAUCCCAGCUCACAGCUAAAGAAAAAUAGAGAACAUAGUGUUGCCCAAAUAGAGUAUGCUCGGAUCAUAAAGAGCCUAAUGUACUUAAUGAACUGUAUCAAACCUGACAUUGCUUAUGCAGUAGGUAGAUUGAGUCGGUACACCCAAAGUCCUAAUUAGGACCAUUAGAUUGUUGUUCGUAUAGUCCUUAAGUAUUUGAAAGGCACCAUUAACUAUGGUUUGUGCUUUAGUGGACUUCCAAGUGUCCUUGAAGGAUUUAGUGAUGCAAAUUGGAUCUCGAAUUUAGAUGAGAUGAAAUCCACUAGUUGAUAUGUUUUCAUCCUUGGUGGAAGUAUAGUUUCUUGGAAGUCUGCCAAGCAAACUUGCAUUACUCGAUCUACUAUGGAGGCUGAGUUUAUUACCUUAGAGAAAGCAAGUUUUGAGGUUGAAUGGCUUAGAAACCUCUUAGCAGAUAUCCCUUUAUGGAUGAAACCAACCCUGUUUGUGUCUAUGCGUUGUGAUAGCCAAGUUGCAAUUGCUAAUGUUAAGAGUAAAAUAUUUAAUGGGAAGAACAAACAUAUACGUUGAAGGCAUAAUAUUGUACGGCAGUUGCUUGAAACAAGGGUUAUAUCCUAGAAUUUGUGAGGUCGGAGUUGAAUUUGGCCAAUCCUUUGACCAAACCACGAAAUAAGAAACUAGUGGAAGAAACAUCGAGGGGGAUAGGGCUUAUCCCUAUUAUAGAAGUCAAGAGUGGUGGUAACCCAACCUAUUACAAUGGAAAUUUCAUAAAGUAGGUUCAUAUGGGUAAUAACAAAUCACUUGUUGACUUGAGGUGCUUUAUCAACUCUAAUUGUAUGAGAGUUCAUCCUUAUGGUGUAAAUAGAGCGUAUACUGCAUUGAUUAAGGUUGAGUAUUUACUCUUAAUGAAUACCAUAUUCCUUAUGGGUGGUAUGUUUAAAUGCAAAACAUACUUGAUGGAUUCACCUAUAUGAGAGUGGAGGUGGGGCCGCUUCCUAUGAGAACUUAGGCAGGUUCUCUAAAGCUCUCAUGAAUAUCUAGGUAAGGCGCAUGACCUAUUUGUGCCAACCGGUUUUGUACAGCUCGUAGUUUAGUUAAGAAAACCAUGUGAAUAAAAUUCCCUUGAGUUACAUCAAGAAACACCGGUUCAUAGAAAUUUAUUUUCACCGUGUUUUGUGAUUCAAUACUUAUUUGUCCUCAGACUGGUUCAUAGCCUUUGGGCACCAUUAUUGAUGCAUUGGAUUUUUUUUUUCCUCAAAAAAAAAUUGCGUUUACACUUUGUGGGGUAUUUUAUUCUAUGAGUCUUAUAUUUUUUGGAAGAGUCCUAUUGGGAUUGUGAUAAUGGAGUCUCAUUCCUUUUAUAAGUAGAAUCCCCUUCCACUUUGAGUCUUGUUCUGAUUACAAGUCGAUUCUUAUUGGGAUUGUGUUAGUGGCCUAUAAAAGUAGGUCACCCCUUACUUUCUAUAUAUGAAUACCAAUUUUUCAGAGAAUUUUUAAAAAGAGUUUUUCAAAGAGUAUUUUUAUACAUCUAUCUAAAGGAAUUUUUUCAAAACCCGAGUUGUACACAUCUCAUUUACAGAGUGCACCCAAUGCGAGAUCUGACUGUUGAAUCCUAGAAGUAGACCACUGGUACUUUAGUAUACCGAGUUAUUUUUCAAGGAGGGUGGAUCUAUUUCAAGGACAAUGUUUGUUACGCCUCAGGCGAUAAAUUUUUCUUCUUAUUCAUUUUGUUCUUUGUUUGUCUUCUUCUUAUUCAUUUUGUUCUUUGUUUGUCUUUUGGGUUAGUCUUUUGUUUCCAUACCCUUAAAUCCAACACCAAGACCAUACAUAAAUGAAGGGGAAGAGGAAGAGAAAGCAAAACUUUCAUCUGAGAUCUGCAUGUGUCGGGCGGUGGAGGGUGCAUGGUACAUGGUUUGAGCUACAUGCCAUUGCAUGUGGUCCUUGAAGAAAUCAUGUUAACACAACCACAUAAAAUAAUUCAAUUCUAGAAAUGCAUCUGUAACCAGGGAAAUCUAUACUGGCAUCUGUGCAUAAACUUAUGCGAGAAAUAUGGUACCAAGUCUCUGCAGAUUUAUACGUGGCCGACAUCGUGGAUGUCCUGUGAACUAGAUGCGGAUUACUAGUCUAUUCAAGGGAUGGACCUCCCCUACAAAAAAUCUAUGUGAGGUUUGUCGUCUCAUGCAGUUUUAAACGUAGGAAAAUGAAGUUAGUAAGAGAGUCACAUGUGGUUUUUUGGUCCUUUAGCUCAAUCACGGGCUCAACAGUCGCUACAAGUUAAAACAUCCUCAUUCAGAAACCGCGUCUCCCUGAUUCUCGUCCGGAAAAGUUGAAAUUCGAAGCAAAAGUACUUAUCUGCAGCCCAACUUGAAGCUAGAGGCAUUGAAGUUCGAUGCUACAUAUUCAGAGUGAUUUGUGGUGCUCCUUAAGUCAAUUGGGUCAUGACAAAUGAUCCAAUCGACUACGGAGAAAAUAGGGCGAUUUGUGGGGUCAUGUCUCUUCCCCACACAGUUGGAUACACUAUAAAGAAGGCUAGUGACUAACAUGGAUUUUCAUCCACAGGCACUUGCUGGGUUUUGCGUUAUGGGGAAGCAUGGUCUGGCUACCUGGUUGGUCAUCCUUCUCAACUUCGCUACACUUCUCACUUCUCUUGCUUGUUCCUACUGCCCAUCCCCAACUCCUCCUAAACCACCCAAGGUAAAGCACCCCCUUCCGCCUCUUCCACCUAAACAUCCUCCACAUGUCAAGCCACCGCAUACACCUAUGCCACCCAAGCCUCCUGCUGUAAAACCACCAUAUGUACCUAAUCCUCCAGUUGUGGAGCCGCCUUAUGUGCCCAAGCCUCCUGUUCUAAAUCCGCCUCAUGUGCCCAAACCUCCUAUUGUAAGGCCUCCUGUUGUAAAACCACCUUAUGUGCCCAAGCCACCAGUGGUUCAGCCCCCACCGCCACCAGUGGUUCAUCCCCCACCGCCACCAACACCGUGCCCACCACCACCACCCCCCAAGGGGAGGCCCCCACCACAAAAGAAGCCUCCUGUUCUAAAUCCGCCUCAUGUGCCCAAACCUCCUAUUGUAAGGCCUCCUGUUGUAAAACCACCUUAUGUGCCCAAGCCACCAGUGGUUCAGCCCCCACCGCCACCAGUGGUUCAUCCCCCACCGCCACCAACACCGUGCCCACCACCACCACCACCACCCAAGGGGAGGCCCCCACCACAACAGACAUGCCCCAUUGACACUCUGAAGCUAGGUGCAUGUGUGGAUUUGUUGGGAGGGCUUGUGCACAUUGGGAUAGGAAGUAGUGCUAAGGACACAUGCUGUCCAGUGCUGCAAGGGCUUGUGGACUUGGACGCUGCCGUCUGUCUUUGCACCGCCAUCAAAGUCAAGCUUCUUAACGUCAAUAUCAUCAUACCCAUUGCUCUUCAAGUCCUUGUUGGCUGUGGCAAGACUCCACCUUCAGGAUUCCAAUGCCCUGCCUAAGGUAAUCCAUCCUUCAAUUUUGUCAUUAAUUUCACAUAAUUCGCCCAUGUCUUCCCAUAUACGAAGAAGUUGACUAGUACUUUUCCUCGUUAAUGAUUGCAGUGGAUGACGUAGUUUGGAAAGUGGAAGAGAAUAACACGUGACGAGUGAGAGGUUGAAGAAAGCCAUUAUAGUAGAAAAUGUGUCUUUAUGUGUUUUUGUAAUCUCUGUUGUACGCAUAUCAAAGGGUUGUAUCAUAUAUAUGCAUAAAUGCAUCAUCUCAUGCAUGUUUUUCCGUUCUGCAGGUGUUAUCAGUUAAAACUUUAACAUACUUCAUACCUUUGAAGUGGAUGGUUCUUUCUCAAUUUGUCUUGUUUUCCACUUUCAUUAAUCUCAACAAGUCGUCCGAAUUUUCAAUUGCGCCACAGCUUCAAUCAUCAGCUCAGCCUAAUCCCAUUUACCCAACUUAUGUUCUCAUCAUUCCUAUUUGGUGGAUCAGUUUUUUAACUCAAAACAUUUUUUUUUCUUUUUUUCUUUUUUGAGUUUCUUUUAAAUACAACUUAAAGACUAAAUAAUGUUUGAUAGGGUUAAUCAUUAAGCUAUUUGUUUUUUUUUUUUAAUAUUUUAUUUUUAUUAAGUGUUAAAAAAAAAUCGAUCACUUUAAUUCUUUAAUCAUGGUGAUUUACUUUUAACAUUAAAAAAAAACUUAAUUUUUUUAUUUAGUAAAAAAAAUAGGAAAUAAGUAAUAAAUCAAUAAAUUAAAGAGUAAAAAAAAAACAAAUUAUCUAAAAUAUGAAAAUAAGUUAUUUUUAACAAAAACAAAAAAUUAGUUAACCAUAGCUCUGGAAGCAUUCCCAUGUUUUGUUUCGUACAUAGAAAAUUUGAGAGGAAAAAAAAAAAAAAAAGAUUAAGGGGUUAUGCUUGUUUCAAGAAAAGGUUAAGGAAAAUAAAAGAAAAAAGAAAAAAUAUAUAAGGAAACAAAAAUAAGUAAAAUUUAUAAUUUUUUUUUUCAAAUGACCAUAAAAAGGUGAAAAGGAAAGAAAAUUAGAUAGUCAAAUAUAUUUUCUAUUUUUAUUUUUAAAAUUAUAAAUUUUUAUAUAAAGCUAGAUAUAAAUUUAUUUUAUAUCUUUAAAAUUCAGUAAUAACAAGCUUUAAAGACUUACUUUUUCAACAUAAAUAUUAUGAAAUUUUUAUGAUUUCAAAAAAAAAAACCUAACAUGAAGUGCAUCUAAACCAACAUCAGGUAAUGUAUUUUAACAAACUUUUCUUGUCUCUACCCAAGGAUUAUGAAAAUGAAAAUCUUUUAGCUUUUGUUUUCAUGGCAUCCAACAAUAAGUAAAAUAAGUAAAUUAUAUCCUAAGGUUGUGUUUAGUUCCCAAAAAAUUUAAGGAAAAAUAUGAAAAAAAAAAAAAAAAGUAGAAUAGAAGAAAAAGUAAAGAAGAAUAAAAAUAAAUUUAAAUUUAAUAAAUUAUUUGUAUACGUUUGUUAAAACCCAUUUUACUCCUUACUCUUUAUUAUAGUAAAAUUGAAUAAUUUUAAAUUAAUUUUAAUUAUAUUUUAUAUUAUUUUAGAGGUAAAUCAAAUAUGAAAAAACCAUUUUUUUUAACAUUUUUUUUUCUGGUAUUUUUAGGAAAUGAAAUAUAACCUAAAACUAUUUAGAAAAAUUAUAUUUUAAAAUUGUUUUUAAAAUCAUUUUUCAAAUACUGGAUGAAUUUUCAAAAAAUUACUUUAAUCCAAAUUUUAGGUAAUUAAAAAAUAUUUUUUAUUUUGUAGAGAUAAGUAUUCAUUUAAGGUCAAAAGCAAACGGAGUGAUGAUAAAUGUAACGUAGAACUUUCCUUAUAAUAUUCUGAUAAAGACUACUUAUUCUGCAUUUGAUAAGAGAGUGACUGAUGUUACCGUAUCCACUAAAGCUCCGUGAUCUUUUGUACACUUCCCCAUCCACCAAGCAAAGGAUAACGUUUGUCUGGUCGCAUCAGACUAUCGGUGCAUGAAGGCAUUCGUGAUACGGAUUCUAACAAUAUGCGACCCACCGACGGAAAGAGACAGAAAGAGAAGGCUCUGCCUGGUAGUCGAGAAAAUGUGCGAAAAAAGUCAUUUGGUUAUCAAAACCAAAACUAAUCAAAGACACGGAAAAAAAAUUGAGUUGGACAGCUAUUAAAAAAAUAGAGGAUUUCAAUUUUUCCUUAUUUUCCCGGGAGCUAAAUCCAGAGAAAAUUAAGAAUGUUCCACUUUUUCUUUCUUUUCCUUUCCUCAAGUUUCUGGACAGCCAAACAAAUGACUUCUAUACAGCAGAAACACGACAAGCAGCACUGAUUGACAGAUAAAAAGAGACAAGGGUGAAAGGAAAUUUUCUAGGGAAAGUAUCUGCGCAAGAAUAUGUUGUUAUGUGCUGUCACAAGAUAUUUAAAAGUAUUGGAGAACUAUGUGAGUCGUUGCCUUAUUUAGGUACUGGUGUAUAUUUGGCAAGAAUAUAUUUAGGUACUGGUGUAUAUUUGGCAAGAAUAUAUUUAGGCUGAUUUAGUGUGAUUACGAUUGUAAUAUGUGAUCCUUGUAAUUCCUUUAUAUACUGAUGUACUCUGCACCAAUGAAUUAUGAUGAAAUAUACUUUUCUUCUCAAUCAUAUUUUCUUCUUGGUAUCAGAGCGAAAAUUUGAUCCUUUGUUCUGCUUUUUAUUAACAUGGCAGGCAACAACAGUGGUGAAGGCUUUGUCAAAGAUCUGAUUACGGCUCCUUCUGGUUUUGUUGCUGAUGGUGAAUCAAACACAUCUCAAAGGUUGUGUUCGGUGUUGCUGAAUGAAUUUAACUAUUUACCUUGGUCAAGAGCUGUUACAAUUACUCUUGGUGGAAGAUCCAAGUUAGGAUUUAUCAAUGGAAAGGAGAAGGCUCCUGUUUUUUAUUCACCCGAAUAUGAGAUUUGGUUAUCAAAGGACCAGCUUGUCAUGUCUUGGAUUCUUAAUUCCAUGGAGCGCAAUAUAGCUGAGAUUUUCAGUUAUUCUGAAUCUUCUCUAGAUCUCUGGGAAGCCCUUCGAGACAUGUAUGGAAAUCAGAACAAUUCGGCACGAAUUUUUCAAAUUCAACAAGAAGUUAAUGCUCUUCGACAAGAUGGAAGGCCAUUCGUGAGUUUGCUUGGCAAUUUUAAGAGUCUGUGGAGCGAAUUGGAGGUCUACAGGCCUCAUACUGUUGAUCCAGUUGUUCUAAAGAAAAGAACAGAAGAAGACAGAGUUUUUCAGGUGCUGGCUAGUCUCGGUUCGGAGUUUGAGGAUCUCAGAUGUCAUAUUCUAAUGAGUCCAGAAUUGCCCUCCUUGAAGAGUGUCUGUUCAACUAUUCAACGUGAAGAAGUCCGUAGAAAGGUGAUGAUUCGUGAAACUGUGACUAAUUCCUCAGACACACGAGCCUACAUUGCUCAUAAAAAUUAUGAAGGUAAAUCNNNNNNNNNNNNNNNNNNNNNNNNNNNNNNNNNNNNNNNNNNNNNNNNNNNNNNNNNNNNNNNNNNNNNNNNNNNNNNNNNNNNNNNNNNNNNNNNNNNNNNNNNNNNNNNNNNNNNNNNNNNNNNNNNNNNNNNNNNNNNNNNNNNNNNNNNNNNNNNNNNNNNNNNNNNNNNNNNNNNNNNNNNNNNNNNNNNNNNNNNNNNNNNNNNNNNNNNNNNNNNNNNNNNNNNNNNNNNNNNNNNNNNNNNNNNNNNNNNNNNNNNNNNNNNNNNNNNNNNNNNNNNNNNNNNNNNNNNNNNNNNNNNNNNNNNNNNNNNNNNNNNNNNNNNNNNNNNNNNNNNNNNNNNNNNNNNNNNNNNNNNNNNNNNNNNNNNNNNNNNNNNNNNNNNNNNNNNNNNNNNNNNNNNNNNNNNNNNNNNNNNNNNNNNNNNNNNNNNNNNNNNNNNNNNNNNNNNNNNNNNNNNNNNNNNNNNNNNNNNNNNNNNNNNNNNNNNNNNNNNNNNNNNNNNNNNNNNNNNNNNNNNNNNNNNNNNNNNNNNNNNNNNNNNNNNNNNNNNNNNNNNNNNNNNNNNNNNNNNNNNNNNNNNNNNNNNNNNNNNNNNNNNNNNNNNNNNNNNNNNNNNNNNNNNNNNNNNNNNNNNNNNNNNNNNNNNNNNNNNNNNNNNNNNNNNNNNNNNNNNNNNNNNNNNNNNNNNNNNNNNNNNNNNNNNNNNNNNNNNNNNNNNNNNNNNNNNNNNNNNNNNNNNNNNNNNNNNNNNNNNNNNNNNNNNNNNNNNNNNNNNNNNNNNNNNNNNNNNNNNNNNNNNNNNNNNNNNNNNNNNNNNNNNNNNNNNNNNNNNNNNNNNNNNNNNNNNNNNNNNNNNNNNNNNNNNNNNNNNNNNNNNNNNNNNNNNNNNNNNNNNNNNNNNNNNNNNNNNNNNNNNNNNNNNNNNNNNNNNNNNNNNNNNNNNNNNNNNNNNNNNNNNNNNNNNNNNNNNNNNNNNNNNNNNNNNNNNNNNNNNNNNNNNNNNNNNNNNNNNNNNNNNNNNNNNNNNNNNNNNNNNNNNNNNNNNNNNNNNNNNNNNNNNNNNNNNNNNNNNNNNNNNNNNNNNNNNNNNNNNNNNNNNNNNNNNNNNNNNNNNNNNNNNNNNNNNNNNNNNNNNNNNNNNNNNNNNNNNNNNNNNNNNNNNNNNNNNNNNNNNNNNNNNNNNNNNNNNNNNNNNNNNNNNNNNNNNNNNNNNNNNNNNNNNNNNNNNNNNNNNNNNNNNNNNNNNNNNNNNNNNNNNNNNNNNNNNNNNNNNNNNNNNNNNNNNNNNNNNNNNNNNNNNNNNNNNNNNNNNNNNNNNNNNNNNNNNNNNNNNNNNNNNNNNNNNNNNNNNNNNNNNNNNNNNNNNNNNNNNNNNNNNNNNNNNNNNNNNNNNNNNNNNNNNNNNNNNNNNNNNNNNNNNNNNNNNNNNNNNNNNNNNNNNNNNNNNNNNNNNNNNNNNNNNNNNNNNNNNNNNNNNNNNNNNNNNNNNNNNNNNNNNNNNNNNNNNNNNNNNNNNNNNNNNNNNNNNNNNNNNNNNNNNNNNNNNNNNNNNNNNNNNNNNNNNNNNNNNNNNNNNNNNNNNNNNNNNNNNNNNNNNNNNNNNNNNNNNNNNNNNNNNNNNNNNNNNNNNNNNNNNNNNNNNNNNNNNNNNNNNNNNNNNNNNNNNNNNNNNNNNNNNNNNNNNNNNNNNNNNNNNNNNNNNNNNNNNNNNNNNNNNNNNNNNNNNNNNNNNNNNNNNNNNNNNNNNNNNNNNNNNNNNNNNNNNNNNNNNNNNNNNNNNNNNNNNNNNNNNNNNNNNNNNNNNNNNNNNNNNNNNNNNNNNNNNNNNNNNNNNNNNNNNNNNNNNNNNNNNNNNNNNNNNNNNNNNNNNNNNNNNNNNNNNNNNNNNNNNNNNNNNNNNNNNNNNNNNNNNNNNNNNNNNNNNNNNNNNNNNNNNNNNNNNNNNNNNNNNNNNNNNNNNNNNNNNNNNNNNNNNNNNNNNNNNNNNNNNNNNNNNNNNNNNNNNNNNNNNNNNNNNNNNNNNNNNNNNNNNNNNNNNNNNNNNNNNNNNNNNNNNNNNNNNNNNNNNNNNNNNNNNNNNNNNNNNNNNNNNNNNNNNNNNNNNNNNNNNNNNNNNNNNNNNNNNNNNNNNNNNNNNNNNNNNNNNNNNNNNNNNNNNNNNNNNNNNNNNNNNNNNNNNNNNNNNNNNNNNNNNNNNNNNNNNNNNNNNNNNNNNNNNNNNNNNNNNNNNNNNNNNNNNNNNNNNNNNNNNNNNNNNNNNNNNNNNNNNNNNNNNNNNNNNNNNNNNNNNNNNNNNNNNNNNNNNNNNNNNNNNNNNNNNNNNNNNNNNNNNNNNNNNNNNNNNNNNNNNNNNNNNNNNNNNNNNNNNNNNNNNNNNNNNNNNNNNNNNNNNNNNNNNNNNNNNNNNNNNNNNNNNNNNNNNNNNNNNNNNNNNNNNNNNNNNNNNNNNNNNNNNNNNNNNNNNNNNNNNNNNNNNNNNNNNNNNNNNNNNNNNNNNNNNNNNNNNNNNNNNNNNNNNNNNNNNNNNNNNNNNNNNNNNNNNNNNNNNNNNNNNNNNNNNNNNNNNNNNNNNNNNNNNNNNNNNNNNNNNNNNNNNNNNNNNNNNNNNNNNNNNNNNNNNNNNNNNNNNNNNNNNNNNNNNNNNNNNNNNNNNNNNNNNNNNNNNNNNNNNNNNNNNNNNNNNNNNNNNNNNNNNNNNNNNNNNNNNNNNNNNNNNNNNNNNNNNNNNNNNNNNNNNNNNNNNNNNNNNNNNNNNNNNNNNNNNNNNNNNNNNNNNNNNNNNNNNNNNNNNNNNNNNNNNNNNNNNNNNNNNNNNNNNNNNNNNNNNNNNNNNNNNNNNNNNNNNNNNNNNNNNNNNNNNNNNNNNNNNNNNNNNNNNNNNNNNNNNNNNNNNNNNNNNNNNNNNNNNNNNNNNNNNNNNNNNNNNNNNNNNNNNNNNNNNNNNNNNNNNNNNNNNNNNNNNNNNNNNNNNNNNNNNNNNNNNNNNNNNNNNNNNNNNNNNNNNNNNNNNNNNNNNNNNNNNNNNNNNNNNNNNNNNNNNNNNNNNNNNNNNNNNNNNNNNNNNNNNNNNNNNNNNNNNNNNNNNNNNNNNNNNNNNNNNNNNNNNNNNNNNNNNNNNNNNNNNNNNNNNNNNNNNNNNNNNNNNNNNNNNNNNNNNNNNNNNNNNNNNNNNNNNNNNNNNNNNNNNNNNNNNNNNNNNNNNNNNNNNNNNNNNNNNNNNNNNNNNNNNNNNNNNNNNNNNNNNNNNNNNNNNNNNNNNNNNNNNNNNNNNNNNNNNNNNNNNNNNNNNNNNNNNNNNNNNNNNNNNNNNNNNNNNNNNNNNNNNNNNNNNNNNNNNNNNNNNNNNNNNNNNNNNNNNNNNNNNNNNNNNNNNNNNNNNNNNNNNNNNNNNNNNNNNNNNNNNNNNNNNNNNNNNNNNNNNNNNNNNNNNNNNNNNNNNNNNNNNNNNNNNNNNNNNNNNNNNNNNNNNNNNNNNNNNNNNNNNNNNNNNNNNNNNNNNNNNNNNNNNNNNNNNNNNNNNNNNNNNNNNNNNNNNNNNNNNNNNNNNNNNNNNNNNNNNNNNNNNNNNNNNNNNNNNNNNNNNNNNNNNNNNNNNNNNNNNNNNNNNNNNNNNNNNNNNNNNNNNNNNNNNNNNNNNNNNNNNNNNNNNNNNNNNNNNNNNNNNNNNNNNNNNNNNNNNNNNNNNNNNNNNNNNNNNNNNNNNNNNNNNNNNNNNNNNNNNNNNNNNNNNNNNNNNNNNNNNNNNNNNNNNNNNNNNNNNNNNNNNNNNNNNNNNNNNNNNNNNNNNNNNNNNNNNNNNNNNNNNNNNNNNNNNNNNNNNNNNNNNNNNNNNNNNNNNNNNNNNNNNNNNNNNNNNNNNNNNNNNNNNNNNNNNNNNNNNNNNNNNNNNNNNNNNNNNNNNNNNNNNNNNNNNNNNNNNNNNNNNNNNNNNNNNNNNNNNNNNNNNNNNNNNNNNNNNNNNNNNNNNNNNNNNNNNNNNNNNNNNNNNNNNNNNNNNNNNNNNNNNNNNNNNNNNNNNNNNNNNNNNNNNNNNNNNNNNNNNNNNNNNNNNNNNNNNNNNNNNNNNNNNNNNNNNNNNNNNNNNNNNNNNNNNNNNNNNNNNNNNNNNNNNNNNNNNNNNNNNNNNNNNNNNNNNNNNNNNNNNNNNNNNNNNNNNNNNNNNNNNNNNNNNNNNNNNNNNNNNNNNNNNNNNNNNNNNNNNNNNNNNNNNNNNNNNNNNNNNNNNNNNNNNNNNNNNNNNNNNNNNNNNNNNNNNNNNNNNNNNNNNNNNNNNNNNNNNNNNNNNNNNNNNNNNNNNNNNNNNNNNNNNNNNNNNNNNNNNNNNNNNNNNNNNNNNNNNNNNNNNNNNNNNNNNNNNNNNNNNNNNNNNNNNNNNNNNNNNNNNNNNNNNNNNNNNNNNNNNNNNNNNNNNNNNNNNNNNNNNNNNNNNNNNNNNNNNNNNNNNNNNNNNNNNNNNNNNNNNNNNNNNNNNNNNNNNNNNNNNNNNNNNNNNNNNNNNNNNNNNNNNNNNNNNNNNNNNNNNNNNNNNNNNNNNNNNNNNNNNNNNNNNNNNNNNNNNNNNNNNNNNNNNNNNNNNNNNNNNNNNNNNNNNNNNNNNNNNNNNNNNNNNNNNNNNNNNNNNNNNNNNNNNNNNNNNNNNNNNNNNNNNNNNNNNNNNNNNNNNNNNNNNNNNNNNNNNNNNNNNNNNNNNNNNNNNNNNNNNNNNNNNNNNNNNNNNNNNNNNNNNNNNNNNNNNNNNNNNNNNNNNNNNNNNNNNNNNNNNNNNNNNNNNNNNNNNNNNNNNNNNNNNNNNNNNNNNNNNNNNNNNNNNNNNNNNNNNNNNNNNNNNNNNNNNNNNNNNNNNNNNNNNNNNNNNNNNNNNNNNNNNNNNNNNNNNNNNNNNNNNNNNNNNNNNNNNNNNNNNNNNNNNNNNNNNNNNNNNNNNNNNNNNNNNNNNNNNNNNNNNNNNNNNNNNNNNNNNNNNNNNNNNNNNNNNNNNNNNNNNNNNNNNNNNNNNNNNNNNNNNNNNNNNNNNNNNNNNNNNNNNNNNNNNNNNNNNNNNNNNNNNNNNNNNNNNNNNNNNNNNNNNNNNNNNNNNNNNNNNNNNNNNNGCACUGAAGAAGAAACUCCAAGGUAAAUUUCCUGUUAAGGAUCUCGGCCCACUCAAGUAUUUUCUUGGCAUUGAGGUUGCGACUUCUCGCAAAGGCUUAUUUCUUAAUCAGCGAAAAUACACUAUAGAUUUGCUUCGUGAUUCUAAUAUGCUCAAUUCCAAACCCGCCAACACUCCUUUUGAUAGUAAACUCCAACUUGAUAAAUUGGGGGAUCCUCUUGAUUCUCCAAAUUACUAUCAAAAGCUUGUUGGGAAGCUUAUUUAUUUAACAAUCACUAGACCUGACAUUUCCUUCGCUGUGAGUUUGGUUAGUCAGCAUAUGCAUGCACCAACAGUUGUUCACUUGUGUAUAGUGAAAAGGAUUUUGAGAUAUUUGAAGAAAACAAUUGGGCGUGGCAUUGUAAUGAGAAGAAAUGGGCACACUGACAUCAUUGGGUUCUCGGAUUCAGAUUGGGCAGGCAAUACAAUUGAUAGACGAUCCACUACGGGCUAUUGUAUGUUUGUUGGAGGGAAUCUGGUGUCUUGGAAAAGUAAAAAGCAACCUGUUGUAGCACGUUCAAGUGCUGAAGCUGAAUACCGUGCAAUGGCGGCAGCAUCAUGUGAGAUGGUGUGGCUUAAAAACCUGCUGACAGAUCUUGGAUUUUCUCCUACUAGUCCGAUGAAAUUGUUCUGCGACAAUCAAGCAGCUAUGCACAUCACCGCCAAUCCUGUUUUUCAUGAAAGAACAAAACAUAUUGAAGUAGAUUGUCACUUCAUUCGGCAACAAGUUCAGUCCAAGGUGAUCCAAACACACUAUAUCAGAUCCAGUGAUCAGCUUGCAGAUGCCUUCACUAAAGUUCUUUCUUCUACUGUUUUUCAUCGCCUUAUGUUCAAGCUUGGCUCCAUUGAUCCAUUGGCGCCAGCUUGAGGGGGAGUAUUGGAGAACUAUGUGAGUCGUUGCCUUAUUUAGGUAUUGGUGUAUAUUUGGCAAGAAUAUAUUUAGGCUGAUUUAGUGUGAUUACGAUUGUAAUAUGUGAUCCUUGUAAUUCCUUUAUAUACUGAUGUACUCUGCACCAAUGAAUUAUGAUGAAAUAUACUUUUCUUCUCAAUCAUAUUUUCUUCUAAAAGAUUAAGAAAAAGAGAUAAAUUAAAGACAAUGGAAGAAUUAUUUAUGAUGGAAAGUAAAAAUAAAAUAAGAUAAAAUAAAUUAUCAUUUUUAGCACAUAAAUAUGAGAAUAAGCAGUCUUUUCUUUAAUGAGAGUAAUGAAGGAUAAUAAUGUUUAAAAUUUGUAAAAUUUAUUUUAUAAAUAUAAUUUUAAUAAUGGGAUAAUUAUGAAAAUUUAAUUAAUUAAUUAUUGGAUUGUAAAACCUCAAUCAACUUUGUUGCAAUUGAAUUAUCCAAUCAAUCAGCCCACAAGAGUUAAAAGGAGGCAACGUCCAUCAAGAAAAUAAGUGGGUGACUUUUUGCAUUGAUGGUUGUCAAAUAAAAGAAAGUUGAGGAAUAUCCAUGCUCGUACUUGUGUACGUAUACAAUGGAGUUUUUCCUCUAAUGUGUUUUGUUUUUAGGUACGGAAAAUUUCAUCCAAUAUCAUCGACUCAAGAGAUAUUUAUCUGAUUCUUUUUUAUGAUUUGGUCUUAUAUGUGAUUCAAGAACAUCCUGUACAAAAAAUGGUUUUUAAACAAUGAUAAAUAAAUAAUUUUAAAUUAAAAUUUUUUGGACUCCCUUUAAUGUGAGGGAGUGGGCCCCAUCUGCUUGGGGAUCAAGUCAAGUACAUUAAUAAAAAUAAAAAAAAGGAGAUAAAAAAAAAUAAAGAGAAAAGAAGAGAGAGAAAGGGAAAACGUAUCUCACUGCCCAGACUUCAUCAACAAGCCGAUCCUGCUUCAGCUAUGGUGCGAUCGAGUUGAAAUUUAGACGAAAGGUUUGAAACUCAAGUAACUACAAUCUGAAAAGUGAAGAUCAGAUUUUGAACUUGAGAACUGAUGUUACUGCCCAUGAACAAUAACGGUAUUUUUGGUAUACUUUCUCCAAUUUUCUUUGUUUUUGCCAAGAGAGAUUGUAUAAUACAAGGCUAUAUGUGCUCUUAAUGUAUUUGGCAGUCUCUAGAGAUUAUUUUAGAAAAGACAAGUAUAACCCAUUAUUGUUGAUAGUGGAAGUUUGAACUGAACUAGGUCCCGUGGUUUUUCCCUUCGCAUUGGGGGUUUUCCAUGUAAAAAAAUUUCUGGUGUCUGAUUUAUUUUUUUGUUGCAUGAAUUUAUUUAUUUAUUGUUGCUAGUUGAUAUUGCCUAUUUAGUUUUGCAUAAAUAAAUGGUAGAAAAUUUUUUAUGUUUGUUGGAAUAUUGUGAAUUUACCAUAACAAGUGGUAUUAGAGCCAAGUUGAUUAUCAGUGGGAUCUCUUGUGUGAAUUAGAUGGAGGAGGUUGGCAGUGGAAUGAUUAAACUCAUAGCUUCCAAUUAUUCAAUUUGGAAGACUAUGAUGGAAAAUAUUCUAUAUUGCAAAGAGUUGUUUGAGCCCACUGAAUGCAAGAGUUAUAAGUCAGUUACUACAACUGAGGAUGAGUGGAAGAAAUUAAAUAGGAAAACCAUUGGAAAAAUUAGGCAGUGGGUUGAUCAAAGUGUCUUCCAUCAUGUAGCCAAGAAAGUUGAUGCAUAUAACCUUUGGCAGAAAUUAGAGAGUCUCUAUGAAAUAAAGACUGCACAUAACAAAGCCUUUAUGAUAAAAAGGCUUGUGAAUUUAAAGUACAAGGAUGGUAAUAGUGUUAUAGAGCAUCUCAGUAAAUUUAAAGGAUUGUUAAAUGAGUUGUCUACCAUGAAGCUUGAGCUAGAUGAUGAGGUACAAGCAUUACUUUUGUUGAGUUCCUUACCAGACAGUUGGGAAACUUUGGUGGUAUCAUUGAGUAAUUCCGCCCCAAAUGGUGUGAUAACUAUCAACAUGGUAAAAGACAACAUGUUUAAUGAAGAGGCAAGAAGAAUAGAGUUAGGUAUUUCCUUUAAUACAAAAGCACUUGUUACAAAGAGACGGGAGAGAAGCAAAAACAGAAAACCUUCAAAUGAUUAUAAUCGUGACAAGUCAAGAGGAAAGUUAAAGUCCAGAAAAGAGAUAAAGUGUUUUUAUUGUGGCAAGUCAGGGCACAUUAAGAGAGAGUGCAGAAAAUUCAGAAGAGAACAAUUUAAAGGAAAAUGUGAAAAACAGAAAGAUGACAAAGACAUUGCAGCAGUUGCAUCUGAUGGUGAUACGAUCAUUGUUUGUGAUGAUGCGUGUGUAAACCUGGCAUGCUAAGAUUCCACUUGGGUGGUUGAUACAACAGCAUCAUUUCAUAUCACUGCACAUAAAUAUUUCUUCUCUUCCUACACCAGUGACAGUUUUGGUUGGGUUAGAAUGGGAAAUGAAGCAAAAUGUGAAAUUGUUGGCAUGGGAUAUGUAGAGCUAAAAACUAGCAUUGGGUGCAAAUUGGUUCUGAAAUAUGUUAGACAUGUUCCUGAAAUGCGCUUUAGUUUGAUCUCUAUUGGGAAGCUUGAUGAUGAGGGCUACCAUAGUUACCUUGGAGAGGGUAAGUGGAAGCUUACUAAGGGUUCUCUUGUUUUAGCUAGGAGGAAGAAAAGCAAUACUCUCUACAAGACAAAAGCGAGACUAGUCAAAGGAGAUGUGAACAUUGUUGAGAAUGAAGCUUCUACUAAGCUAUGGCAUAAGCAGUUUGGUCACAUAAGUGAAAAAAGACUUCAAGUUCUUGCCAGAAAGAAGCUUCUACUAGUUAAAGGUACGUCAUUAUUACCUUAUACACAUUGUCUAUCUGGAAGGCAAAGUAGAGUUGCAUUUUGUAGAUUUCCUUCACAUGCAAAACUAGAUAUUCUUGAUUUAGUUCAUGUUGAUGUUUGUACUAUGCAAAGUAAUACUCUUGGUGGUGCACUUUAUUUUGUAACUUUUAUUGAUGAUCAUUCAAGAAAGAUGUGGCCAUAUGCUUUGAAAUCCAAAUACCAGGUACUUGAUGUAUUCAAAGAUUUUCAUGUGAAGGUUGAGAGGGAAACUAGUAAGUAGUUAAAAUUUGUUAGAGCAAACAAUGGUGGUGAAUAUAGGGGAUCAUUUGAGCAAUACUUCAGAAGUCAUGACAUCAGGCUUGAGAAGACGGUUCCUAAGACCCCACAACAAAAUGGUGUAGUUGAGAGAAUGAAUAAAAUCAUCUAUAAUAGAAUUAGGUGUAUGCUCUCUCAUGCAAAAUUGCCUAAGUCUUUUUAGGGUGAGGUCAUGAGGACAACCGUUGAUUUGAUUAAUCUGCCUCCAUCAUAUCCUUUAGAGGAUGAUAUUCCAAAGAGGAUUUGGACAGGAAAAUUUGUUUCCUUUGAGCACUUGAGAGUGUUUGGCUACAGGACAUUUGGUCAUGUUCCUAGAGACGAGUGGUCCAAGCUUGACAGCACGACUAAACAGUGUAACUUCCUAGGUUAUUCAAAUGAAGAGUUUGGGUACAAGUUAUGGGAUCCAGCUACCAAAAAGAUUAUAAGAAGCAGAGAUGUUGUCUUCUUUGCAAAUCAAACCAUUGAAGACUUGGAUCGGGUUAAGAAGCCAAAGCCUUUUGAGUGAAGAACAAGUUGAUUUGGGUCCAGUCUCUCCUAACUCAAUGGGACAUAAUGAACACAAGGAAGAUUUUCAAGAAGAACAGGUUGAUACAGUUGCCAGAAAUGAUGAGUCUGCAGUUGAUGAUGUAGAAUAAAAUCCUACAAUUAAGAAUGAUGUCCUAGAACAGUAGCAAGAACAAGCUACUUCAGAGUUGCCUACUGAAACACAGUUAAGAUGAUCUACUAAAAAGUGUCAACCUUCCAAAAGGUAUACUAGUGAUGAGUAUUUGUUGCUUUUUGAUGGGAGAGAGCCAGAAAAUUAUCAAGAGGUUCUGUUGCAUGACGAGAAAAAAAAAGUGGUUGAGAGCUAUGCAUGAAGAGAUGAAAUCCUUGCAUAAGAACAACAGUUAUGAAUUGAUGGAGUUGCCUAAUGGUAAGAGAGCAUUGAAGAAUAAAUGGGUACUAAAAAGGAAGCCUGAACUAAACAGAUCACAACCGAGGUACAAGGCAAGAUUGGUUGUGAAGGGUUUUAGUCAGAAAAAAAGGCAUUGACUUUGAAGGGAUUUUCUCGCCCGUGGUUAAGAUGUCUUCGAUCCAAGUUGUGUUAGGCUUGGAUGCCAGUAUGAAUCUAGAGAUUGAACAGCUUGAUGUGAAGACUACUUUCCUCCAUGGUGACUUAGAUGAGGAAAUAUAUAUGGAGCAACCAGAAGGGUUUACAAGGCAAGGAACACUUAGUGUGUCAAUUGAAGAAGAGCUUGUAUGAUCUCAAGCAGGCUUCGAGACAAUGGUACAAGAAUUUUGAUUCCUUCAUGGUUGAGCAUAGGUAUGAUAAAACUGCUUUUGACCAUUGUGUGUUUGUGAAGAAAUUCUUUGAUGGAGAAUUUAUUAUUCUCUUGUUAUAUGUGGAUGAAUGUUGAUUGUUGGUCGUGAUACUGGUAAAAUUGAUAAACUGAAAAAGGAGUUGAACAAGUCCUUUGAAAUGAAGGAAUUGGGGUCUGGAAGUCGAAUUCUUAAUAUAAAGAUUUCUCGAGAUAGGAUGAAUGGAAAAUUGUGGCUAUCUCAAAAAAACUAUAUUGAGAAGGUUUUAGACAAGUUCAACAUGGGCAAGGUAAAACCAGUGAGUUCUCCACUUAGAAGUCAUCUAAAGCUAAGUUCCAAACAAAAUCUUUUAAGUGAGAAAGAAAAAGAAGAAAUGCGAAAGGUACCCUAUGCAUCAGUCAUGGGUAGCUUGAUGUAUGUCAUGGUGCGCACGAGGCUUGAUAUUGCUCAUGUUGUUGGAGUUGCCAAUAGGUUCCUUUCUAAUCCUGGAAAAGAACAUUGGGUUGUAGUGAAAUGGAUUCUCAAGUAUCUGAGGAGUACUCCUAAGACAUGUUUAUGUUUUGGGACUAACAAACUUGUGCUUGUAGGAUGCAUAGAUGCAUAUAUGGUUGAGGAUGUUGAUUCUAAAAAGUCUACUUCUAGUUAUUUGAUCACUUUUUCGGGAGGUGCAGUGUCAUGGUAAUCAAGGUUGUAGAAAUGUGUUGCUUUGUCCACCAUAGAGGUCGAGUAUAUUGCUAUCACCAAAGCUAGCAAGAAGUUACUAUGGAUGAAGAAGUUCCUACAAGAAUUGGGUUUAUAGUAAGAAAGAUAUCUACUCUAUUGUGAUAGUUAGAAUGUUAUUCAUCUCAGUAAGAAUCCAACUUUUCACUCUAGAUCCAAGCAUAUUGAUGUAAGAUAUCAUUGGAUUCGUGAUGCACUAGAGAUGAAAUUGUUUUGCCUUGAGAAAAUCCAUACUAAUGAGAAUGGAUCAGAUAUGAUGACAAAACCAAUACCUAUAGAAAAGCUACAAUUCUAUAGAAAGCAAGCGGGCUUGGUAGAACCCCUCACAUAGUUGUGAGGUGGAGAUUUGUUGUCCUUCCUCGUAUGUGAGGGAGUGGGCCCCAUAUGCUUGGGGACCAAGUUAGUUGCAUUAAUAAAAAAAAAUUGGAAAAAAAAAAACAAAGAGAAGAGAAGAGAGAGGAAAAACGCAUCUCACUGCCUAGAUUUCAUCAACGAGUCGAUCCUACUUCAUCUGUGGUCUGAUCAAGUUGAAAUUUGGAGGAGAGGUUUGAAACUCAAGUAGCUAUAAUCUGAACAGUGGAGAUCAGAUUUUGAGAUCGAGAACUGAUGUUAUUGCCCAUGAACAUUAACAGCAUUUUUGGUAUACUUUCUCCAAUUUUCUUUGUUUUUGCCAAGAGAGAUUGUAUAAUCCAAGGCUAUAUGUGCUCUUGAUGUAUUUGGCAAUCUCUAGAGAUUAUUCUAGAAAACAUAUGUGUAACUCAUUAUUGUUGAUAGUGGAAGUUUGAACUGGACUAUGUCCCGUGGUUUUUCCCUUCACAUUAGGGGUUUUCCACAUAAAAAAAAAAUUAUGGUGUCUAAUUUAUUUUUUUUGUUGCAUGAGUUUAUUUAUCUAUUGUUGCUAGUUGAUAUUACCUAUUUAGUUUUGUAUAAAGAAAUGGUAGAAAAAUUCUUGUGUUUGUUGGAAUAUUGUGAAUUCACUCUAACAAAAUUUGAGUGAGCCCCAUUAAAAUUUUAAGAUAAAUGAACAUAAUAUAAUAAUAUGAUUGAAGCUAUUUACGAAUGAAUGAGAAAUUAUAUUUAAAAGUAAGAUACGUAUUAGGGAUGAUAAAAGGGUGGGUUCAAGGUGGAUCCUCCUAAUCCCGAUUCAGUCCCAUUUAUUAAAGUAGUUCCCACCCCCAACCUAAGAACAAAUUUAAACGGGAUGAGAUAGGAUUUUAAUGAGAAUUUCUCAUUUCUAUCACACCCUAUCCCACCCCAAUAUAUCUUAUAAAUAAAUAUAAUAUUAUAAUUUUUUAUAACUUAUUUUAUUGAAAAAUAAUUUUUUAAUUAUUUUAUAUAUGUUAAAAAUGGAAACAUGAAAACAUUUAAUUAAAUUAUUUUUUUAAAUUAAUUAUAUAUAUAAUUGAGAGUGGGCAGGAUGCAGUCAAACAAGUAUUACUCAAAUCUAUCUUGAACCCAUCCUAGGUUUUAAAAAAAAGAUCUUAAACCCACCUUAUUGUCAUCCCUAAAAGAAAAAUAUGGUGGAAGAAAGUAAUUUCAUAUGUGAAGAUUAGUCGUUGGAAGAGGACUUCAGAAGAAUUUUGCAAGCUUAGAAAACAAAACAUAGGCUUGGUCUUGCAGUUACAUAUUGGGCCCAAGUACACUGAGUGUGGACUUGGGCUAAGCAGACCCAUAGUGGUAUCUAUUCCAUACAUAGUAACUAGUGUUUCUUCGUCUAUUUAAAGUAUAUUCGAGAUGACAAGCAUUUUAUUCCUUGACAUGUCUCUUAAUAAUUUGAAAAGGUUUUUCUAAUGAAUUUUGAUUAAAUACAAGUAUAUGAUUCAUCAAUUUAAGCAUUUGGAGUUAAAUUUAAAUUUAUUUGCUUACCCGUACUCAUCUAAGUCACCAUAGAAUAUAAGAUUAAAAACAUAUGCAAAAUUUUAUUAAUAUUAAUUUGUUUCAGAGGAGCUCCCUAGGAUGCUAAUGAUGAAUGAGAGCAAAAGCCAAACGAGAAUGAAAUUUUUGUGGAGUACUGAGGCUGCAAAAGAUGGGAUUGUUAAGUUUGGGUAUCUAGGUUUUAAUUACGUCUAUAUGUUUUAAAGUUGUGAUAACUGUGUUGAGAUCAGAUAAUAUUUACAUUAUUGGGAGCUAUACCCUCAUAUAGGCUUUUAUUAGUUUGGUCUCAUAAAAGGUGUUUGUACAUGUAAACGAUUUUUAAAGUAGUAAAAUAUCUAAACAGUUGGGGGAGGAUCAUUACAUUGUAGGUGGGAGAGAGAUUGCCACAGAGCUUGAGAAUUCUUGGAAUUGAAUGGGGCAAAAUGUCCUCAUAUUCACUCUUUCAAAUCGUUACAUUUUAAUAUGCGGCUUCAAACCAUGUUAGAUUUUAAUAUACGGCUUCAAACCAUGGAGAUUGCCUUGUCUUUGGCCGUUCCACUGGAUUUCAGAAAAAUGCUUGAACUUCAUAUUGUCUCAAGGCUAAAUUCGAAGGGGUGUGUUUCUAAUGUCAAGUUCAAUCAUACUUUGCCACUGUAUUUUUAAGUUUAGUUCUAAGGCGUCUGUGGGGAUGAAGACAGUUCCUCUUGUUAUAGCCUGUUUAUCCAUGAAUUUCUUUUAGCUUCUUGUUUGAUUUCCUCCUGAUCAAAUUUAGAUUUCUCAUCCAUUAGGUAUGUAAAGCAUGCAUUGUAUCUUUUGCAUCUCAGCUGUGGUCCAUCUCAUCCGGAUAAUGCUGCAGCAUACACCUAUGUGGCUUUGAUGACUAAAGGCCCCGGACAUGUGCAUUUGGCCUCAGAUUUAUUGACAAAGCUCUGAAAUGGCAAGCAAAAGGUACUCAGCCUGGACCAUUUUCAGGUUCCUUCCCUUUCAUUUAAAGUUCCUUUACUUUCUCUUUUGCUUACAAUAUGGUCUUGUGGUUUCCAUUUUGAUUGUGGGAUAUGAUAUUUUAGCCAAUUCUAUUUGGAUCAUUGUCCUUUUUCUUUUCCAUUUUUUCUCUUUUUAGUGCAUGGAGGGAAUGGAAAUGGAGUAUGUGCUUGGUUUGGCUAUAUCAAACCUUAAAAGAGCAGUUAUAUAUCAAAUACUUGGAGCAAAGUUUAAUUCUAUUGUAGAGUCUGUUAUUUGCAUUCGCUCUGUUCCGUGUCUUGAGCAGUUUAAUUUAGUUUGCGUGGUGGGAAAUGUUUUAGUGAAAGUACCAGAAGCUGAUCUCGAUUGUUAAAGAAAUGAAAUCGAUCAUCUUCAUGGGGACAUACUUGUAUGUUCUUUCAACAUCUACCUCCAGCUUGAUGCCCACUUCUAGUUUUCUGUGCCUUGAGUGGUUCUCAGGGUGGGUUAGAAAAAAUAAUGACUAUAAAGGCUCACUCUUUUAGAAGACAAUUUUACCCUUUAAUAUAUUAUUUAUAAAUAAAUUGAGAUUGUCAAUGAUGUGGGGCUCAUACAUAAUGAUAAGUACAAGUUGAUAAAUGAUGUGGGACUCAUACAUAAUGAUAAGUACAUGUUGAUAAGCAAUCAACGGUACAUUUUUCAACUUAAAAAAAUUGUUAUCACUUUUGAACAAUUAACUAUUUAAAAAUUUGUUAUUUUUUUUUUAAAAUUGAGAUUUUUUAAAGAACCUUGUAAAAAAAAAAAAAUUUAAUAUCUCAUAAAUAAAAACCAUAUCUUAAAGUUAUAAUAUCGUUUUAUAUAUAAAACAUACAAUUAAAAAUUUUGUUAUCAUAAUAUAAUAAAUAAUUAUUUUUUACGAGCACUCAUCAAUUGAAUAAUAUAUAAAUAUUCAAUUGACUAACACUAACAUACACAUAUUAAAUGGAAUAACUCACAAUUAUUCAUUGGGUAAUAUAGCACGUGAAAAAAUUAAAUAAAAAUAAAUUAAAUUAUGUUAUAAUAUAUUAUAAUGAUAGUGUAUUUAUAUUGUAAGUAUAAUGCAUUUAUGUCGUACCUAUAUUUCAUUAUAAAAGUAAUAAUUUUAAAAAUGUUUAUUCAUACCCUAUUGGUAUUAACACAUCGUAUUAAUAUAUUAACAAUAUUUAUUUAGUGUUUUGAAAUUAUUUAAUAAUUUUUGUAUAUAUAUAUAAACUACGUGAAUUCAAAUUAGUAUUUCAUUUUAUUUAAGAAAUUAUUUAUGAUAUAGGUAUGUUGUGAAAUAUGGUAUGAUCAUACAAAAUUACCAUUUUUAUAAAAAAAUUCAUAAAUUUUUUAAUUAGGUUUUAUUAUAAUGUAUUGUAAUGUAAGUGUAUUUAUAUUGUAAUUAUAACAUAUUUUUGUUGUGCUUGUAUUGUAUAAUAAAAGUAAUAAUCUUAAGGAUCAUCUUUUAUACCUUAUUAAUAUUCAAUAUAUCAAAUAUAUUAACACCAUAACACCAUCCACUCGAUGCAUUGAGAAAAAAAAUUUAUAUGAAAAUUAAAUAUAUAAAAAACACUAUGCAAAGGAAAAAAAAUUAUAUAAAUUUUUUUAAAUUAUUUUAUUAUAAAAAUAAAAAAUGAUUAAACAUUUUCUAUCAUUUUCUUAUUACUUUUAGAGAAUCUAAUGAAAAAUUAAACAUUUUACCUUCCUUAAAUUUAAUACAAAAACAUAAUUUAUCAAUUUAAAAUUAUAAUAUAUAUAUAUAUAUAUGAAAAAAUCAUCAUUUUUAUUAUAUAAUUAUAAAACUUAUUUUUUUUCUUCAUUAAAAAUUAGAAUAAAAAUAAAAAAGGUAAAAAAACAAUAAAUGAUAUUUUGAAAAUAUUUUUUAAAAGUAUUUUUGUUUUAAAUAAUAAAUUUAAAUAACAAAUUAUAUAUAAUUGUAAGGGUUAAACCCAAAAUUUUGAUUUAAAAUUUAAAUAUCAAUAAUUACAAUAAAUAUGGGACUCAUGUACCAUAAAUGUACUGACAAAAGUGCUUUAAAUGCUUUGAAUUUUAAAAGUUUUAGUUAAAAGACAGUUUUGGUAUAUUAAGCUUACUAAAGUCCUCCCCAAUAAUUAUUAAAAGAUACCACCAUUUCUAGUAAUUGUUUUGCCCAGCAUACCUUUUGGGUAAUUCUCCCUUUACAUAAUGCUUUAACAAUACUAAGAUGUAUGUGUACAUGAUUGCUUACAAUUUCUGAUCAAUAUAGUGAAAGUUGUGAUAUAGGAUUAGAACUGUCCUGAAUGGUUCUCACCUUCUCUGUACAUAUGAGCAGGAACAUGCCAGCACAGCUAGAGUAUAUGGAUAUGUCUUCUUCCUAAAGAUCAGCUCUUGCUGCCACAUUAUGCUUUUCUAGUUGGAAAUUGUUGGGAAACUUUACAGAAGGUUUAACUGCAUUGCUUUGAAUGUUAGCUUUUCUUCUCUGAAUAAUUCUCUUAUUCAUUCAUAGUACUUUUACUUUAUGAAAACACAUGUGCCUUAAUAUGGUUGCUCGCUUUCAAUGAUUGUGACCAUGUGCCUAACAUACUUGAUGGGUAUGGAAGGUUUUGGGAAUCCGAUAGACUGACAGAAUUAUUCCUGGUAGAUCAUUUAGAUAGAAAUAGAAGUCACUAGCUAGUUCAAAAUUUGAGCAAAGUUCUCAGUCUAAUCCAUUUACAUUCACUAAAUGGAAAAUUGAACUUGAAAUUUUUGGCAUUCUCAUUCAUUUGGAUUAAUUUGGUUUCAAGGAUGCGCAGAAGUUCAAACGACUUCACCUUUUGCUUAACCAUUUUCUACUGGAGAUUUCCCAAAUGAGCCCAACCGUGAUUUACACCACUCUGACAAUACUCUUUUGACCCAUUUUCGGAUUUGGACUUCAAGCUUUUCAUGAUAUACUAUCAUGUCUCAGGUUGGAUUCCCAGAAUUUCUAACAAAAUUAGAAUUGAAGGGGGUUUUCAAAGUACAGCAAGGAAGAUGAGGAAGCCCUGUGCUAGAUCCAGUAGAUAUGGCUAGAGAACACUUUCAGGGUUGCUGCAAAAUUAGGAUGUUUAUUGGCUUUAAAUGGUUGAAAAGAGCUAAGGAGAUGAAGUGUUUAUUGACCCAUUAAUUACCAUUAAUAAUCGAUAACAGAUUACUUUCCAGCUGGGCUGGGUGGGAGGGGGUUGGGAUGGGAAUGGGAAGCAAGAGACAGUGGAGUCGAAGUUAAGGAAUAAUGAUCGAUAAAGCUUCCAUUCAUGGUCCAUGGCUCUCGAUUUUCCAAAUUCUUCACGCUUGUGAAUUCAUGUCAUGCCACAAACAAGUCCAUUUCAUGAAAUCCUUCAGAAGCAUGGUAUCUCAUGAGCCGCACCAAUCAUACAGAGGACAGAUGGUAUGGGGGUUUCUGUGGUUUGGAAGAUGGAUGGAAAUUAGUUUCGUGGAAAAUGUUUGAUUUAGAAAGACGUCCAACUUCUCCAUAGUGUUUUUGCAAAGUAUUUAUUCUAGGAAGUUCAAUUAGUCAAGGUUGUCCAAACUAAAACUUCAUCAAUGCUAUGUUUGGUUUUGAAAAGUAUUAAGGAAAUAAAUAUAUAUAUUUUGAUUUUAUAAUAAAAAAUAUAUAUAUAAAUUUUUUUUAAAUAUAAUUAAAAUUAGUAAAAGAAAAUUAUAUAUUUUUAAAUUAUUUAAUGUUUAUAUAAAAGAUUUAAAUGAAUUAAAUAAGUUUAAAAUAAGAUAUAAAAAUAAUUUAUUAAUAUUAAAUUUACUUUUUUAUUUUUCUUCACCUUUUUUUCAAUUGUUUUUUGCUCGUAUUUCCUCUCAAACUUUCCAAAAAAAACAAACAUAGCAUCUUGGAAAAUGUUAUAGCUCAUCAUUUAGGUGGAUGACACAAGCUUAUUGACAAGGGAAAGGCUCAAUCAAUUGAAGGGCAAUUUUCUCACUCAGACCAGUGAAGCUUCCCCUUGACUGAUUGAAAAGCAAUUUACUACAUCUAUCGAUCAAGCCCACAAGGGGACCCAUUGAAGUAUGGAGUGACUUGAUCCGGCAUUUCAGAUCAUCUCUGCCCUCUUCAAAUUCUUAAUUGGGAAUGGAAGAGCAAAACUAUAUGAGAUGAUCAGUCUCUCAUCUGUUGGCUGUUGAUGAUGCCUGAUAUGGUUUGCCUUUUGGAGUCCAUUUUCUAGUGUCAAAAGUGCUUGCAAUUGAAACCUGCUUUCCUGUCCUUUUCCUUUGAAAGGCAACUGUGGUUAUUUAAUGAGGUAAUUCAUCAAGCACUGUGAUAACUGAUGCAAUUUCAUUUAGAUAUAUUUGGUUUGAAGAUUUCACAUACUUUUGAGAUUAAACUUCCUUAUUUUUUUAAAAUAACCAAUUUUGAAUUAUCACCCUCCUUUAUUUCCUUAAAAAAAUGACAUUUUCUUCUUAUUCUCAAAUUAUUUCUCUCUCCAUUUAUGAUUCAUAGUUCUCUCUAUGCUCUCUCUUCUUCAUGGAUUUUUCAAUGAAGUUCAAACCUAUGAUUAAUAUCAAUCACAACUCUCUCAUCUCUCAUUCUUCUUUAAGAUUCUGUCUUUCUCUUUAGUUUUCAUUAGAGUUUUAGUAAUUGUUUUUUACAAUGACUUUUGUAGGGACCCAUCCUCCUGAGAACACGUGUCACGCACCUCAUGGUGACACAUGGCACGCAUUAUCAUCCGGACCACCCCCAUCUGGAUACGCAUGACGCGCCCCUCAUAUCCGGACUGCCUCAAGGAAGUUCAAACGACACUUAUGAGCAUAAAACAUCCGGACGGCUUUCACAAUACAUCCGAAUGACCAACAUAGGUCAUCCGGAUAUGAUGGUCCGGGUCAUUGACUGAAAUAAGCAAGUCUUACACGUUAUCACAACAGCCUGCCAUGGCCCACGUCUCGCCACCUGUAGAGUGAAAGGACAAGAUGAAGUGACAACGAGUUACUUCCCACGAUCACCUCACAUGAUCACCUCCCACGAUUACCUCACAUGAUCACCUCCUACGAUCACCUCACAUGAUCACCUCCCACGAUCUCUGACAACCGCAUCACCUACUACGAUCUCUGUCAGCCGCCUUUAGGGUGAUGAUGGUCCUGCCACCACCUAGUGUCAUCAUGACAACACAAAAUAUCUCCCCACCAUUAAAGAGGGGAACAAAGCUUCUGAGACUAUAUAUACAAACCUUCACACAAAAAGGAAAGUAAGCUUGCUAUACCUAGUAAAAGGCCAAUUGAUUUAUCUCUCUCUCUGAACCAUGGCUGACAAAACCAUCGGAGGGUGUGUCCGGACACCUCGUCCGGACGCCUUUUGCAGGUGGAACGACUGAAUCAAGAACCUAUAUUGGUUGAGAUCGUGCGUCCAUCCAUUUGGCAACUACAUGGAUCACCAGCGACGUGAGGCCUCAACAACUUUUUUGUUUGAAGUUUUCGUUGUUACUUUCUAUUGGGAUUAUGCAGGUGAAAUGAAUAUUCAAAUUAAAAACUUAAUCUUAAUCAAGUUUUUUAUAGGUAAAAUAGAAACUUAACCCCGAUUAAGUUCUUUUUAAAUAAAAGUCAACAGUUCAAGUCACUAUAAUUUAAACCCAAAGUAAAUUAUUUAUAAAUAAAACUUAACUAUGGUAUAGUUUAAGAUAUUAUUACGAUUAAAAACUUAAUUCUAAUUAAGUUUUUUAUAAAAUCAAACUUAAUUCUAACGUAAUUUAAAUGAAUAUUCUUAAUAAAAAAAAAUAGUCUUCAUUAGAUUCGUAAUAAAUAAAAUUUAAUUCAGAUAAAUAUGUCAAAUGAGAAUGAAUUGUUUGAUAAAUGAAAUAGUUAGAAAAAAAAAAGUGAAUUAAAGAGAUAAAUGUGUUCAAGGGAAAUAAUGAAAGAAAUAAAUAGAAUGGAUAAAAUAAGUGAAAAGAUGAUAACAAAUAAAUCAAAGAAGGGUAUAAAAGAAUGGAAAAAUGAUGAUUUCUCAACAAAGUUAAAUAUGAAGUAUGAAACAUGAGCAAGAGUUAGUAAAGGCAACAGGACAUGAUUCACAUAUUGUAUUUUGCACAAGGGCAUGUUGAGAUAUUUGAUCUUGGAUUUUUUUUUAUUGUAGGACAGUUCAGAAAGGCACCAAUAGCUUUUUGCCACACAAAUGUUAACUUAAAACCGAAUGGUCAAGAACAAAAUUUCUAAGAUGUACUUUCUUUAGAAAAAUUAGACAUUUUAUCAAAUUUUAAAAAUCAAAUUUAGACUAUAGUUGAUAAUGUUCUCCACCUAUAUUUUAUCGCCAAAAAUACUUGUCAAAAAACUUUCUUUUAUUUGUAUCCAAAUACUAAGGUAGUAUUUGUUUUUUUGGUUUUUUGCUGAAAAUCAUUUAGUUUUAGAAUUUAGGUUGUUUGUUUUUUUACUUUUUCAUGACUAAUUAUAAACUUUUUACUAAAUACAAAAAGCCAAAAUAUGUGGCUUUUUCUAAAUAGAAAAAAUAACAUAAUGGUUUUUUUUACUUUUUAAUACUUAAUAGAAAUAAAAUACUACAAAAACAAACAACUUAAUAUUUAAUACUAUUAAGUAUUAAGGUUCUAUUUAUAAUUAAGUAAAAAAACAAACACCACCUAAUUGAUUCACUUUAUAAAUAUAUAGGCUAUAGCCUUAAGCUAAAAACAUUUGUACAGUGACAACACGGAGACGAAUAGAACCUUAGAGCCUUAAUCAUUCCAAAUAAAUGAAUAAUUUGCAAACAUAUAAAAAUAAAUCAUUUUUAUUUUCACUUUUUUUAUGGCAAAUUAAAAGAAAUCUUUAUUGUGAAAUUUUUUUUUUUUUCCCAUGAUCGAAGGGAGAGCAUCAAGGUACAAAAAGGGCCAUGUUUGGUGGAAAAUUAUAAGCAUUGUGGUCACAGUGAGUAGUGAAUACGGUUAGGCCCACGUUUUGUGGAGAAUAAUAGAGUAUGUUGGUAAGCAAAUGGACAAGGCUGUUUGGUUGGGGGAGCAGUUUCCCUGCAAUGAUAGAGAGAGAGAGAGAGUAGGCCUCUCCCAUUUGGCAUAUGCUUUUUACCUUGUAACACUCUCUUACUGAGGCAGGCAAGCCUAAAAGCCUAAAAGCCUGAAAGCCUGAAACUGAAUGAAUGAUGAUGCAAGGACUAAGGAGAGCUUGAGAGAGAGAGAGAGAGAGACUUUCUUUUCUGCAGCCUGCACCAGCCCUACCAGAAUUAUGAAGAAAGUGACAUAUUUUCUUUCUUCUUUCUUUAUAGUUUUUGCCCAUCAUACUCUCUCACCAAGCUUCAAUCCAUCUGCAUGCGCGGUGGGCAGUGGGCAGCUCUUAUAAUAUGAAUCCCCUUUUGUCCUCUGCCUGUACUUUUUAUAUCACAUCUAGUGCUCCAUAUUCCUCUUCUUCCUCUCCUCUAUUUCUAUGCCCACUGCCCACACUCAUCCAUGUGCUCCCACUAGUCCUUCCCUGUUGAUUUCCCUUUUUUAAAAAUAAUAACACACCCCCCAUCAAAAUGUGCGCCACACACUCUGCUUUAAUUUUGACCCGACUCUAUUCUUUUAUUGAAAGACAGAGUUGUGAAUUUCAGGGACAUUACUUUGGAAACUUUUGAUUAUGUCGUGUGUCAUGACAUGCAAUGUGACCGCUGGUUUUCCUUUGGGAUUUUGGCCAAACGUGAUGCCACUUUCUUCAUUAUUUAAAAAAUACAGUGAAUAAAAGCAAUUAGUUCACUACAAACGGUUUGAUUCCUGAAAAUUUUGAAGAAAAGAAAUUUAAAAAAAAAUCUUUAAGUAAAGUUUUCUAUAUUUGAUUGAUAAUGAAUAAGUUAAAUUAUUAGAGAAUAUACUUUGAGAAGGAGAAAAAAAAACUUUUAAUAUUAUUUUUUGUCUCCUAUUUAUAAUAUAUAUAUAUUGUGGCAUAAAUUUAGAUUUGAGAGUUCCUCCAACCCUUGUUUAAGAUUCUGACAUUGGGUAUCCCCAUUGUACAAAUGGGUUGGUUGGGAACGUGGGUUGGUGCUACCAUUAACCAGAUUUAAACGUAGCAACUCUCUGCCUACCCAUAAAACAAGCAUAAAAACUCUAGGAAUCUUGAUUUAUUUUGAAAUUGCAAGCGGAAGUGGAUUCUCUCUCUCUCUCUCUCUCUCUCUCUCUCUCUCUCUCUCUCUCUCUCUCUCUCUCUCUAUAUAUAUAUAUAUAUAUAUAUAUACUCAAAAAGUGGUUCUAUUAUUUUCAUGCCUUUCUCUCAAAAGAGAGCAGAGAAGGCCAAAUUCAUCACAUUUUGAGAUCUAACAGGGAGGCUCUGGACAUAAAGACAAUAAUAUUGAUAAUACUAUGUCCCCAUAUCCAUUUAUGCUUGAUCUAAUGCUCCCUCCCCACCACCCUACCAACCCCCUACUCUGAGCCUUUCUACUACUCUCUUCUCUCCUCUGUUGCCGCCUCAAUUCUCUCUAAACUCUAUGGCUCCCUCUCCCUCUUUCUUUCUCAUUUUCUCCAUAUUUUUUGUUUUAUUCCAUGCUGCUCCUUCAUUCCAACUACAGCUCAACACCCUGGAUAUCGCUGCAUUGCUCGCAAUCAAGAACACUCUCACCGACGUUCCCGGCACUCACUUCUUCUCCACAUGGGAUUUCGCCUCUCCCCGCCCCUGCUCCGCCUUCGCCGGUGUCAUCUGCUCUCUCGACGACUCCUCUCCAAAUCCCACCCUCCGGGUCACCUCUCUUAUACUUGGCACCGGCCUCUCCGACUCCCCCGGACUCGCCGGCUCGCUCUCCGCGUCCCUCUCCAACCUCACCCAACUCACUCAGCUCGUCCUCUACGCCGGCCUCGUCACCGGCCCCAUCCCUCCCCAGCUCGGAAACCUCAUCAACCUCCGAGUCCUCUCCCUCACCAACAACCGUCUCACCGGUCCAAUCCCCGCCUCCUUGUCAUCCCUGCAUAAUUUGCAUACUCUGGAUCUGAGUUUCAACCAACUCAGCGGCUCUAUCCCUCCCGGCAUUGCUCAUCUGGAUCAGCUGAAGGUGCUCAUAUUGGCCUCCAACAUGUUGUCCGGUGAGUUGCCCAAGUUCCCGGCGAGUCAGGAACUGUUCCACAUUGAUGUGAAGAGAAACAAGAUAUGGGGGCGGCUGCCGUCGUCAAUGCCGGUGUCGGUCCGUUACUUGUCGGUUUCCGAGAACAGGAUGUGGGGCCCCAUCAACGGCUUGGAAUCACUCUCUGAGUUAGUGUACCUCGACUUAAGCAUGAACCAAUUUAGUGGGCCCAUCCCCAAGUCACUGUUCCAUUCAAGGCUUAAUUCAAUGCUGUUGCAACGGAACAAUUUCUCCGGUGGGGUCCCCACUGAUGCCUCCUCCACAUCCUACGCCCAGGGCUCCAUCGUCGAUCUCAGCCAUAAUCUCCUCACGGGAGAACUCUCUCCAAUUCUGGCAGGCGUCGAGACCCUCUUCCUGAACAACAACCGUCUGAUUGGAAGAGUCCCAGACGAGUAUGUCAACAGCAUUUCCAGAGGUGACACCAAGACACUGUAUUUACAGCACAAUUACAUUUCGGAUUUUCCGAUGCAAUCGGGACUGGCCUUGCCGGACUCAGUGUCCUUGUGCCUCUCCUAUAACUGCAUGGUCCCUCCGGUAGGGCUUGCGGCUUGUCCGGCCAGCGCGGGCGGGCAGCUCUCACGGCCGGCGUACGAGUGCUCAGUGUACAACAAUGGCACGGCCCCAUAGAAGAGGUUUUGGUUUAUAGGUUGAUUAUAUUAUAUUACUGAAUUGAUGAAUGAAAUUAAAAAGAGGGUGACAUUGUGGUUGAAUUUGUAAUAUUAUUUUGUGUACGUUUGUAAUUUAAUUACUUACAAAGCGAGUUAUAGAGAUACGUACAAUGAUGAGAAAUUAAAAUAAAGUUUGGAUGAUGGAUCAAUGGUAUUGGUAUUGGUAUUAGCAUUUCAGUACGUACGUAGAUUGAUGGAUUUUCAUAUAUGUCAAUUUUGAUGAGAAAAUACAAAAUAGAAGUGGGGGUAGAGAGAGAGUGAUAUUGAUGGAGGUCACAAGCAGAAGCAGGGGUGAAUGGAGUUGGGUAUUGCGUUGAUGUACUCCUCGGCCCUCACACGUGACAGAUGAUAGACAGGGAUGCGUGUUUCUCCGUGAGAAUUUAAGUCUACCUCCAUUGCUUUUUCAGGUCUCAUUCCCAGUUCCCAGGCCCCAGCCUCCAGGUACAGGCUAACUAUUUGGUAACUGCCGAGCUGAUGAUAUGAGAAGAAGAUUGAAACCUAAAUACAUUUAUGAUGAGUUUCUCUAUAUGUACUUCUCGUUACAUGGUACACUCGGAUUCUUAUAUUUUGAAAAACAAAAAACACCGUAUCAUCUUCUUGUAUGCUCUAAAAAAAUAUUUAUUUUUACUUUUUUGAAAAAUUAAAAUAUUACCCUGAGUUACUUAAAGUUUUUGGAAAAGUACAAAUAAAUAAAUAUUUUAAAAAUUAACAGAUAUAAAACUAUAUAUAAAAAAAAGGGUUUAAAGUUAUUAAAUUAAUUUCAUAUGUUUUUAAAAUUUAUUUUACUUAUUUUUCUUGUUUUGUAUAUAAAAAUUACAUAAUUUGAAGAUGCAUAAGUUUAAGGAAUGAAAAAUGAUUUUUUUUUUAUUUUUUUAUUUUUUAUGUUCAGCUUAUGGAGAUAUGAAAGAAAAUUAAAUAUUAUAGCAACUCGUUACAAAUUUAUGCAAUUUUUAAAUAUUUAAUCUUUAUAUAUAAGAAAGAAAAUAUAAAAUAAGCUUAAAAAAUGUAAAAAUAAUUAAUUAAUUUUAAAUAUAUAUACAUAUUCUAAUUUUUUUCUAUAUUUGUUUUUUGUCUUCUUUUUUUUUUUUAAAAUCAAAUAUAGAAUUAAUACUAAGAAUGACAAUAGAAUAAGUUUUUCACCACUCGGCCCCAUCUUCGAAUGAUAUGAGGUUGGGAUAAAUAUAAAUGGAUUUAGGACGAGUAUGGAAUUUGUUCAGAAACUUAGGAUGGGUUCAAAUUAGAUUCAAAUAUGACUUUGUCAUAAUAUUAAAUAAAAAAUUAUUUUAAUUAAUUUCUUUUCAUUUUUAACUUUUUAAAGAUAUAUAUAUAUAUAUGUAAUAUUAUUUUUUUAUAGAAAUAAAUUAUAAAUAUGUAUAAUAUUUAAUUAAUUAUAAAUUAUGUUUAUUUUUAAUAUAAUUUAAUAUUUUAAAAGUAAAAAAUAAAAAUAAAAAUUAAAUGGGGUGGGUAAGGGGAAAUCCCUAUCCUCGUCCAACCUGCUUCACCUUUUUAUUAGUAAUGAUGGGAAUUAAUUUAAAUAAAUAGGAUUGAGCGGGGAUUGUGAUGAUAUGUUUUGAACCUAUCUAUUAUUAUUCUUAAUUGAUAUUAUCGUAGAUCAAACAUAGAGUAAAUAUAGAUGAAAAUAAUAAGUAAAAAUAUUCUAUUCAACCACUCAUUUUAGAAUCAUUUUCUAAUUUCACUCGCAAUUUUUCCACUAAAUUUCUCUCUUUAUAUUACAUUCUCCACGAUAAAUUAGUUUGGUUUAUUUAUUAACUUAUUUUUCCACUAAUAGUUUUCAUGUUACAUAAUUUUAGGGAAUGUAGUAUUGGGUGGUGAAUUAUUGGGAUGCACAUGGAUUCUAAACUAGACGUGCAAAUAGGACAAAGGGGGACAACAUAUUCUAAUUGGGCUUUUUCAAAUUAAAUUAAUAAAUAAAUAUUGUUUUUAAAGAAGACAAACGUACAGCUGUGAAAUCCAAGUCCCACACCAAGUGGUUCUCAGACUUUUAUAACUAAAUUUAGGUUUGAUUUGAACCACGUAGACAUGUGUUGGACAGAAUAAUAUAAUAAUAAUAAUAAUAAUAAUAAGGGAAAGAACAGGAAAUUAAUAUCUUUACUAUUUCUUUAAAUAACAAUUUAGAAAUAAUUUGUUGGUAUUUUUCUCAAAAAUUCUUCUUUCAAGUAAUUUUUUUUUUUUUUUAUCUAUUUUUGUAGAAAAGAACAGUCGUUUUUUAACAUUAUAUGUGAAAAUGUUAAGUAAUAAAAAUGGUUAUGUAAUUCACACUAAGUUCAAAUCUUUCAUUUACAGUAUUAGGUGAUUUUGAACAUCAGCUUCACCACUUGGUCUAACUAACCCUAACAAUAUGCUAACUAACCCUAACAAUAAGCUAACUGUCCUAAUCCGUUACUACCUAAUUACAGCAGGUGGUUUCUUGAUCUUGCUUUCUAUCAACUUCUUCGUAUUUUUGUUUUAAGAUUCAAAUUAAAAGUUUCGUGACUUAGAAUUUUCCCUUCUUGUAUAAAAAUGAUACGCCGUGGUCGGAAAGACUAAGAAGGAUCCAAGAUACGAAGAUACGAUAUAAAAUUGGGCCCAAUGAUAAUAAGCCUGUGAAGGCCCAAUUUGCCGUGUCUGUUUUGAAGAUCAUGUGAAGCCCUUGUUGGUAUCAUAUCACUAAAGAGAGACAAAGUUGUACAAAAUUAAUUUACUAAUCUUAAAUUAGUGGACUUGCUGCAGCACAUAAUUGAUAAAUGAUCGAAUAGGAAGAGGAAUGCCAAGUGGAAAUAAAAGUGAACAUAAUAUCGGGAAUCAAAAUCUUAAUUUAAAUAAUUUUAUUUUAAUAAAUCAUCCAAACACAAUUGUAGGAGAGACAUAAAAAAAGGUAUGGUUUCUACCUUUCUAUUUCCUUUUUCUUUUAGACUGGGUGCCUGCGUGCAUAAAAAAGACUUGUUAUGUUUAGGUUUAAUUUGACCAUGAUAAGGUGCUUUAUGACAAGAUGGGGAAUUUUGAAAACGGAAUAUCAAGACAUGCAAAUGCAAGAGAAAUCUAUUAAUACAUGUAUGUUACAAGAAAUUGAGGGUAGAUAUGUUGGCCAAGUUUGAAAAGGAAAACAAAACAAGUCAUUCUGAAAAUAAGAGAGUUGUUCAUGCGGUAUUAUAUUGAUUGGUAGGUGUUUUUUUAAAAAUUGUUUCUAAAAAUCAUUUAUAAAACUAUUUUUAAAAAUAAUUACCUGUAAGUAGAGCCAUUGGGACACUUAGUUCCCCCUCCAAGAGCUAUUUUACCGUAUUCCAAAUUCAACGAUUUUAAUAACUCCCCUACAAUAAUUAGUUUUUGAAGAGAUUUAAAACCAUCCUCACCGGUUUUUAUAGCUAUAAAUCCUGAUAUAUUCAUUGAGUUCGUUGUAAAUAAACAAUCUUAUCAUAAAUCCAUUGAGGUUUUGAAAUUAUAUAAUAAUGAAAACAAUAACUUUAGUAUGUGAUCUAUAUAUAUGGCUAACUUUACCAAACAAAACUUAAAAGUCACUAGGUUAGAGGGUUUUGGUUGAACUAGCCAUAUCUGUUCUCAAAGUGGGAACAUGGGCUUCAAUUAGGAUAACCACUUCAAUACUAUAAAAGCCGAAAUUCCUAAGGAAGUCUUGUAACUAUCUUCCUUUAGAUUGGGUCAACCAUUUUUUCAAACAAUCCAAAAGCCUUCAAUUACUUUGAGGAUAACGAGGGGAAGAAAACCUACUUUCGGUACCAUAUAUAAUUUACCAAAAAAAGAUUUGAAUUCUUCGUUGUUGAAUUGUGAGCCAUUAUCAGACACCAUCACUUUAAGGCUGCCAAAUCAUUAUGUCAUAUUUUUCUUUAAAAAGAAAAAAAUAAAAUAAAAUUGUGAGUCCCUUUCUCGGUUCCUAGCAAAAGGCUCCGCUUCAAUCCACUUUGUGAAGUAAUCAAUAGCAACCACUAAGUACCUCCUUUGCCCCAGCACCAGAGGAAGUGGCCCAACUAUAUGUUUAAAUGGCCAUGGGCUAGUCAGAGUUCUUAAGUUUUCCUUAGGCGGGUAAAUUAUGGGUGCAUUCCCUUGGAAUGCAUCAGAAUUGUGACUAUAUUGGAGAGCAGCUUUCUGCGUAUGACCAAAAAUCCCCUUGUGACAUAUCCUUACGAGCUAUACUCCUUCCUCCAGCAUGGCUGCCAUAAACUCUCCCGUGGAUUUUAUGCAUCAUUUCUUGAGGUUUUGGCUAUGAGAAAACAAUUUCAGAGAUAGGCCCAAGAAUGAUCAUCGAUGGGAUUAUCAUUGACAAUCAAAAACCGUGUAGCCCUGAUUAUUAGAAGGAGAUGCACCAUUCCAUAAAAUACUGCAAAAAUGAACUGCCUCUAAUCUAGAGCAUUACUAGAUCUCAUCAUGGAUUUCAGCCAACUCCGCAGUAUUGGACUUCACCAAAUUUGCCAUCCCCUCUAAUCCACAAGUAAACGUGGAUUGAAAUGGAGCUACAUGGAAGAAGUAAACUGGGCUAAAGAAUCGACAUUCUGGUUGCAAGUAGAUCCCAAUUGAGCAUGUUCUAGUUCCAUGGUGGUUGCCGAGUAAUGAGUUGAUGUCUAGGUAUUCUUUCAUCCUUAGCUUUAUAAUGGCCCAAAACCUACUACACAAGUAGUUGAGAAUCACUCUUAACUCACUUAUGUUGGGAUUUUCUUUCUCCUGGAUCUUUGGUAACAAACCAAAGACGUGAUUCGAAAUGUGGUCCACAUCAUUCCAUCAAUUUAGGAACGAGGAUUAACGCUCGGAACCACGUUCACAUCAUUACCCCAUGUUCUGUACACGCUCGAAGCAGACUCGAUGAUGGAGAAAGUCUUUAAAAAGGGGCAAAGCACUAAAGGGUAGGGUUCCCUAAGCCUUCAAUCUCUUUCAGUCUUAAAAAAAACACCAGCUAAGUGGAGGUUGAGAAAGGUUUGGAAGCACUUGAAACCUGAAAAAUUGAACACUGUUUUAACCUAUAAGAAUGGCAAUGGCGGAAGGUAUGUUUUCGAUCUGUUUACAAUUCUGCUUAUGAUCUAAUUGAUAUUUAAGGAUUGUUAUGAGCAUGUUUAGAUUAUUUAUGUCCAUCAGUUGGUAUCAGAGCCUUGUAUGUCUUUGCUUUGUUCGUUUUAACAAUCUGCGUUUAUCAAUAAAAAAUACUGUGAGUUUUGAUAUUUUGAAGUUUUUGGUUUUAGAAUUUUUUUUUAUGAAAAAUAUGGUUAGAAAUCAUUAGGAGAUGAGAUUUCUAACAUUUUAGUGUUUUAAAUCAUCCAAUUGUUGUUUGGAAUACAUGUAAAUCAUCGGGUUUCAUUUCGGAUCGCAAAUAGGUCAAACAGACCCGGUUGGAGGUUGAAGAUGAUGAGACGGGCUUGUCGUUUUGAUUGUAAAUAAGUAACAAAUAAGUAAAAAAGAAAUAAGAAAAUGGCAAUAGCCUAGUUGGUCUUAGCCUUGAUUUUUACUUAACCAUUGCCCAAAUUCGACUCCUUUCAGCAAUCUUUAAUUUUUUUUUUUAAAAUUCAUAAAAUUUAGUGUUUUAAGAUAUGUUGAUUUAUGGGUUUCUUUAUGGAUAUUUUAUGUGCUAUAUUAUUUAUUUUUAUUAGUUGAAUGUAUAUUUUUAUGGUUUAUUAUGCAUACAAUAUUAAAUUAAAUAAUUUUGCACAUUAAAUUUAUUCUUAAAGGCUCUUUAUGGAUUUAAUUUUAGAUAUUUAUAUGCUUAUAAUAUUUAUUUCAUAAUUUUGUGUGUAUGAUAUAUUGUUUUAUUAUACAUGCAAUAUUGAGUUGAACAUAUUAGAACAUUGCUAUUGAGUUUUGUGUAUAUAUUGCUUAUAGUUUCAUGCAAUUUAUAUAAGUUUUUCUUGUAAAUUAAUUAAAUGUUAAGUGAUCCAUAUAAUUUUAAUUAAUUAAGGAGUAGCCACAACAUCUUUAAUUAUGUAUAUAUAUAUAUAUAUUAAGUGUUUUAGGAUCACAUGUAGGAAAAUGACAUUACGACUAAUUAAUUAUAUUUGAUAUAAUGAAAUUUUAUCCCACAUGAAUUUUUUAUUAUAUUAAUAUAAUUAAUUAGGAUGGAAUAUCAAAUUAUAUUUCUUAAUUACCCACAAGAAUUAGGAAAGGGAACAUAAUUUGAUAAUUUUAUCAUAAGGUUUUACAUAGAUCUAAUUGAAUUAGAACUUUAGCCCACAGGCAAGUUUUAUGUCACUAGAUUCAUAAUUUUGGAACAUGAGUUACAUUGGUAAAACAUGAUAUAUAGUUAUUAGUCUCAAUUUUGAAUUAUAAGCAUGUAUAUUUAAUUUUUGUGUAGUCAUGCAACUUGUGAAUUUCUCUAAUAUAAAAUAUGACAUUCCCAAAUUGAAUGGUGAUAACUAUAAGGUUUGGAAUGAGAGAAUUCUCCUUCAUUUGGGGUGCAUGAACAUUGAUUAUGCUAUCAGGAAAGACAAGCCAACCAUUACUGACACUAGCACUACAGCAGAAAAGGCUCCUUAUGAACAAUGUGAGCGAUCAAAUUGGCUUAGUCUGAUGUUCAUAAAGACCAAAUUCUAUUAUGGUAUUCGUUGUUUUGUCGAUCAACAUGAUAAUGUCAAGGCAUUGUUGAAGGCUAUUGAUGAACAAUUUGUGACUUCAGAUAAGGCACUUGCCAGCACCUUAAUAAUGAAGUUUUCAUCCUUAAGGCUCACCGAUGUGAGUGGUGUGUGAGAGCACAUAAUGCAUAUGAGGGAUCUUGCGGCACAAUUGAAGACACUUGAGGUUGAAAUGUCUGACUCCUUCCUUGUGCACUUUAUUUUGCACACUUUUCCACAACAAUAUGGACCCUUCAAAAUCUCCUACAACACACACAAGGAUAAGUGGUCAAUUAAUGAGCUUCUGACCAUGUGUGUUCAAGAGGAAGGAAGACUGAAAAUGGAAUUGGGUGAGAGUACAUUAAUGGCAAUGGAAGGAAAGGAUCAGAAUCAGGCUAAAAAGAAAAAGAAAGGUAAAAUACUGCCUCAAGGUGGAAUCAAGAAGGUUAAUAGGUGUUUCUUUUGUAAGAAGAAGGGACACAUGAAAAGGGUUGCACCGAAUUCCAAAAAUGGGUUGAGAAGAAAGGUAAAUCAAUCUCAUUUGUUUGUUAUGAAUCAAUAUGGUUGAUGUCAUUUAUAACAAAUGGUGGAUUUAUUCUGGUUCUACAAUCUAUGUUUCGAAUACCUUGUAGGUUAUGCAAAACCUAAGGAAGCCAAUGCUAAGUGAGCAAUGCAUUUAUUCAAGAAACAAGAUGCGUUCACAUGUGGGGGUUGUUGGAACAUACAACUUAGUUUCAAGUAGUGGUUUUACUUUGAAUUUAGAAAAGACAUUUUAUGUUCCAAGUUUCUCUAGGAAUUUGAAUUUAGUUUCAAGAGUUGUACAUUUGGGUUAUUCCUUUAGUUAUUAUGAGACAUCUUUCAGUUUGUUUUAUAAAUCUAAUUUGUUGGAAAUGGUACAUUGUCUAAUGGUCUUUUCUUUAUCAAUUUGAAAAAUGAUACCACUAAUAACACUAUGCAUGUUCACACUGGUACAAAACGAUGUAUUAUGAAUGAAGAUUCCUCUAUGCUGUGGCACCGGAGAUUAGGACAUAUCUCCAUAUAGAGAAUUAAGAGAUUAGUAAAUGAUGGAGUACUCAAUACUUUAGAUUUUAAUGAUUUUCACACUUGUGUGGACUGCAUUAAGGGAAAGCAGACCAACAAGUCUAAUAAGGGUGGCAAGAGGAGCAUAGACAUAUUAGAGAUCAUAUGUUCAUAUAUUUGUUGUCCAGACAUGGACGCAUAUGGUCUGAAAUACUUCAUCUUCUUAAUGGAUGAUUACUCGUGAUACAUGUAUAUCUACUUGCUUUAUAACAAGAAUGAAGCAUUGGGUGCCUUUAAAGUUUUUAAGGCUGAAGUAGAGAAACAAUGCGAAAAACAAAUAAAGAUUAUGAGAAUAGAUAGAGGUGGAGAAUAUUAUGGUAGAUACACCGAGGAUGGACAAGCACCCUGUCCCUUUGCGAAUUUUCUUCAAGAGCAUGGGAUGGUUGCUCAAUACACCAUGUCUGGUUCCCCAUACUAAAAUGGUGUGGCUAAAAGAAGAAACCGAACAUUAAUGGACAUGGUUAAGAGUAUGUGUAGCAACUCAAAGCUUCUUGAAUCCUUGUAGAUUGAAGCUCUUAAAACAACAGUGUAUAUAUUGAACCGAGUUCCAACAAAAAUUGUCCCUAAGACACCAUUUGAAUUAUGGAAAUGUUGGAAACCGAGUUUAUGACAUAUACGCGUUUGGGAAUGCUUGUCUAAAGUAAGAGUUUACAACCCACAAGAGAAGAAACUAGACCCAAGGACCAUUAGUGUGUAUUUCAUUGGAUAUACUGAAAGGUCUAAAGGGUAUAGAUUGUACUGUCCAUCUCACAUCACUAAAAUUGUGGAGUCAAGAAAUGCUAAGUUUCUUGAGAAUGACUUGAUUAGUGGGAGCAAUUGAUUUCAAGACAUUGUUUCUGGAAAAAAAAAAAUCAUAUUGAUGCUCAACCAUCCACUUCAAGUGAUAGACUGAUUACCAUUCACAACUCCCCUCAAGUUCAACCAGGUGAUAGACAACCAAUCAUUGAAGUUCCACAAAUUGCUGAUGACAAUCCAAUAUAUCAAGUUGUUCAAGAUUCACCAGAAAUUGUUGAACAACCUGUUGAGCAACGUGAUUCUCAGGAAAAUGUUGAUACAACAUUAAGAAUAUCUACCAAAGCAAGAAAAACAACAAUACUUAGUGAUUAUGUUGUGUAUCUUCAAGAAUCAGACUAUGACAUUGGAACCGAAAAUGAUCCUGAAACGUUUUCACAAGCCAUAAGUUGCAAAGAGUCAAAUUUAUGGUAUGAUGCUAUGAAAGAUGAGAUGAAUUCUAUGGCAUCUAAUGGAGUUUGGAAUCUUGUUGAGUUGCCUAAUGGUGCAAAAGCCAUUGGAUGUAAAUGGGUCUUCAAGACAAAGAAUGAUUCAUUGGGCAACAUUGAAAGAUAUAAAGCAAGACUCUUUGCUAAAGAAUUCACUCAAAAUGAAGGAAUUGACUACAAGGAGAAUUUUUCUCCUGUAUCUAAGAAAGAUUCUCUUCGUAUCAUUAUGACAUUAGUUGCACAUUUUGACUUAGAGUUUCAACAAAUGGAUGUGAAACAGCAUUUCUCAAUGGAAAUCUAGAGGAAGAGGUUUACAUGAAACAACCAGAAAGAUUUUCCUCUAGUGGUGGUGAGCAUUUGGUAUGCAAGUUUAAGAAACCCAUAUAUGGAUUGAAACAAGCAUCCCGCCAGUGGUAUUUGAAGUUUCAUGAUGUUAUCUCUUCAUUUGGUUUAGUGGAGAACAUUAUGGAUCAAUGUAUAUAUCAGAAAGUUAGUGGGAGUAAGAUUUGUUUCCUUAUUCUAUAUGUGAAUGAAAUUUUACUUGCAACCAAUGAUAAGGGUUUGCUACAUGAGGUGAAACAAUUUCUAUCUAAAAACUUUGACAUGAAGGAUAUGGGUUAUAUGACUUAUGUCCUUGGCAUUAAGAUAUAUAGAGACAGAUUUCGAGGCCUUUUAGGUCUAUCUUAAGAGACCUAUAUCAACAAGGUUUUAGAGAUAUUUCGGAUGAAGGAUUGUUCACCAAAUAUAGCUCCCAUUGUGAAGGGCAAUAGGUUUAAUUUGGACCAGUGCCUGAAGAAUGAUCUUGAGCGGGAACAAAUAAAGAACAUUUCUUAUGCUUCUGCUAUUGGAAGCUUGAUGUAUGCUCAAGUCUGUACAAGACCUGACAUUGCAUUUUCUAUUGGGAUGUUAGGAAGAUAUAAGAGUAAUCUAGGUAUAUACCAUUAGAAAGUUGCAAAGAAGGUGACGAGGUACCUUCAGCGGACCAAAGACUACAUGCUUAUGUAUAGACGGACUGAUAAUUUGGAAGUGAUUGGCUACUCUUAUUCUGACUACACUGGUUGCAUUGAUUCACGAAAAUCAACUUCAGGAUAUGUCUUUAUGCUAGCCGGUGGAGCUAUUUCUUGGAGAAACGCAAAGCAAACUUUGACUGCAACUUCUACUAUGAAGGUUGAGUUCGUGUUUUGUUUUGAGGCUACCUCGCAUGGUGUAUGGUUAAAGAGUUUCAUUUUUGGGCUUAGAGUUGUGGAUUCAAUUUUUAGGCCAUUGAAGAUAUAUUGUGACAAUUCAGCUAUAGUUUUUAUGGCUAAGAACAACAAAAGUAGCAGUCAAAACAAGCACAUCAACAUCAAGUAUUUAGCCACAAGAGAAUGUGUUAAAAAGAAAACAAUGGUUAUUGAACACGUUAGCAUUGAAUUGAUGAUUGUUGAUCCUUUGACUAAAGGCAUGCCAUCGUUGAAAUUUAAGGAUUAUGUAGAUAGAUUGGGACUUGGUUCCUUUAUGUGAUUUUCGUUGUAAAAACAAAUGUUAUUUUCAAUGGAACUCUAUUUGUGUUGUUUUCUCAUAUUUAAUUUUCUUUGUGUACACUUUUAUUCAUUUGUUGAGAAAUAUCAUUAAUGUUUGGACCUAAAAUAAACAUAGGGUUUAUUCAUUAAGUUAUAUGGGCUAGUGUCUAAGAGACAUGAUGCAUUGUGAUACAUGGAAGAUAAUACUCAGUUUUAGAGGACCUAUUCUCAUGAUUCAUGUGUUUUGUUUCUUGCUAUGGUGAAUGAUGGAAUAUAUGAACCAAAUAGGAGAAUAUUGGGAUUUUGUUUCUCCUGGAUCUUGGGUAACAAACUGAAGAAGUGAUUCGGAAUGUGGUCCACAUCAUUCCAUUAAUUUAAGAAUGAGGAUUAACGCUCAAAACCACGUUCACAUCACUACCUCAUGUUUUGUGCACCCUUGAAGCAAACUCGGUGAUGGAGAGAGUCUUUAAAAAGGUGCAGAGCACUAAAGGGUAGGGUUCCCUAAGCCUUCACUCUCGUUCAGUCUUAAAAAAAAAACAUUAUCUAAGUAAAGGUUGAGAAAGGUUUAGAAGCACCUUAAACCUGUAAAAUUGAAGACACUGUUUUAACCUGUAAGAAUGGUAAUGGUAGGAGGUAUGGUUUCGACCUGUUUACAAUUCUGCUUAUGAUCUAAUUGCUAUUUAAGGAUUGUUAUGAGCAUGUUUAGAUUAUUUGUGUCCAUCAACUUCUUUAUAAGUAAGCCAGUUGCCAUCUCUAAUCCUAAAGGUAAAAGGUCGCUUACUCGACUUCAUUAUGAGAAGCCAAAAAUUGAUCUUGAUGACUUGUUCUAAAUUAACUCCCUUUAGAUUAGUCAACACUAUCCCUACUCUAGCUCCUUUCUUAGCUAGAAGAUCGAUCUUUCAAACAUGAGCUGCCAAAACUAUUCUUCUAAAUCUACAUUGGGCGAUUCUCUAAUUUUUAAUGUGAAAUCUACCCACACUUGUUUUUUAGUAGCUCGUUUAUGUUUAAAUCAAGCAUCUGAUUCCCCUAACUCAAAGGUCCAACACACUAUUUUGGCAAAUAAAUCUGGAUUUUGCAACACCUACCAGACUCAUUGUUUCAUCAGACUAUAGUAUUAUGUGCUUGAAAGUAUCCACUCCCUUUGUUAUUUUAACUCUUUGAUCUUAAGAAUAAGUGAUUGCCCUUCUUUAACCCUUAUUGCCAAAUAUAAAACUGAACAACUGAUGCAUUUCAUAUGUCUAACAAGAUUCUAUGGUCCAUCUGUGGCCUUUUGAUGUCAAAGGCACCCUUGGGUGUAUCAUAAGCUAUUUAUAAGGAUCAAUUUGGUCAUUCUCAAGAAUUUAAAGAAAAUGAGGAAGCUUCUUCUCUAAAGAAGUAAUUUUCAUUAGUUGUAUUUUAGAUGACUUAAAUAGGACCAAUUAAUUACUAAUCUUCUAACAUAAUACUAAUCAAUCUUCUAAUAAAUUCCUAACAUCCCCAAUAUAGAAGCAACAAGUGUCCUAACUAUUUUAACAACUUAAUACAAUUUAACUGCUAGUGUUCACAGGCCUGCUCAAACUUAGAGUAGUUAAGUUGUCUACUCUGAGUUUGUAUCUCAAAGUUGGAAACUUAGAACUUGAAAUAGUCUUGGUUAAGAUAUCAAAAAUUUGAUCCAUAGAAGGUGCAUGACUUAUAUUUAUCUGUUUGUUCUUUCACAAAAUAUAAAUCAAACUAUAUAUGAUUAGUCAUUGCAUGAAGAAUAUGAUAUGCAACAAGCAUCACUAUGCUUAAGUUAUCACACUAUAUAAUUGGUACUUUGGUACAUUUGACUUGUAAUUCACCAAGCAAUGAUUGUAGCCAAGACAUUUCUACAACUAUGUUUGCUAAGCUUCUAUACUUAGCUUUAAUGGAGGAUUUAGAAAAUGUAUGUUGUUUCUUACACUACCAAGUUAUUAAAUUUGAUGCCAAAUAGACACAAUAGCCAAAGAUAGAAUUUCUAUCAUCUUGAUUUGAUGUCAAAUCUACAUCACAAAAGCUAACUAGGUCUAAAGUAGCAGCAGUAGAUGUCUUUCUUAGUAUCAAGCCAAAUUUCAAUGUUCUACUUAGAUAUCUUAAGAUUCCUUUAACUAUUUUCCAAUGAGCUUCCAAAGGGUUUUGAAUGAAUUGACAUACGUUAUUAACACUAAAAGCAAUUUCAAGUCUUGUAAGCAUAACAUACUGCAAGGCCUCAAUUACACUUUUGUAUAUCUAUGAACUUUCUACAGUGCCACUUCCAUAUGUAGUAAGUGAAAACACUGCCACAUAUGUACUCCAAAAUUAUGGAUAUUGUUUUUUUUAUUUUUUUUCUAGGUAUUGCAUAUUUCAUUUUAAAGUUACAUUUCUUCCCUUGUGUUUUAGACAUAUUAAUACAACAUGAUAGUAGUCCUUCAUGGUUGGACAAAGCAUGUGUUUUUGAAACAAUCCCUUGAAUUUGGAUGCAUAUUGGUUUUUUUUUUUUUUUGGCUAGGUAUCACAACACACAUUUUAUUUUAAAAUUACUCUUCUUGCAAAAACCCUUGAAUUUAGAUGCAAGUCAUAAACUUUGAACUUGACAUUCUUCAUAGUUUACCUUCCAUGCAUCCAUCUAUUUAGCGGUGUGGGAUAUUUACAGACCAUAUGAAACUAGAUUCAGCUCAUUUUGUAUCCCUAUACUUGAUGAGGAAAGAUAAUUUGUAGUUGAAUGAAUUUCUACUUUAAGCACUUUAGAGUCUAGAACUGACAUGUAGUUAAAUGAGAUAAGAUCUUUAUGAAUCUAAUCAAAAGUUGCAUAAUUUACAUGAUUAAUUGUUUGGAUCAAGAAAGCCACCUUUAUAAACAUGGUGAGAGUUCGAUCAUUCAAAUUAAAUCCAUCCCACUCCCAAGAAGUAAUCCAUGAUACCAAGAUCCUUUAAGGCAAACUUAUGAUUUAGGCUAGUUAUCAAUUCUUGCACUACUUUAGAAUUGCUUCUAAAAAUGAGAAUAUCAUCUACAUACACCGAAAUGAAUGUAGAAUGUUGAGAAGUUUUCCUAAUGAAGAGUGAUUGAUUUGACUUGGUUGAUUGGAAACCAAAAAUAAUAAGAGCAUUGUGCAAUUUCUCAAACCAAGCCUUUGAGGCUUAUUUAAGACCAUAGAGAGAUCUACGAAACUUACCUACUAAUUAAGGUGCUUUUGGAUCUUUAAAACUAGUUGGUUGUUCCACAUAAACCUCCUCUUACAAGUCACCAUCAAGGAAGGCAUUAUUGAUGUUUAGUUUCCGAAUUGUCCACCCUCUAAUCAAUGUCGUUAUGAGAACCACUCAAAUGGUUAUAGGUUUCACAAUAAGGUUGAAAGUCUCAUUAAAAUCAAAUCCAACAACUUGAUGAAUCCCUUGGCAACGAGCCUUGCUUUAUACUUGUUCAUCAUUCCAUUAGGGUUUUUCCUUAACUUUGAAAACUCAUUUGCAACCUAUGUCCUUCCUUCCUUCUUUCUUAUAAAGAUGCAAGAGAUUAGGUGUUGUUUCUUAAUAAUGCUAGAAAUUCAUCUAUCAUAGCUUGCUUCCUGACCGAAAUUCUCUGUUGUACCAAAAUACUUAGUCUUUUUUACGUAGCAACUCUGGUCAAGAAAAACUAGAGAAAUAGUCACUACGGAUUUUGUAGUACUUCGGGCAUCAUCCUCAAGGAUUGACUUAUGGAAAUUGUCAAUACUAGAAUAAAUGAAUUGUUUUUGUUUAAAUUCUUAAGUGAAAAACAAUAUAUGAAUAAUGUGAAACUAAGUAAAAGAAAUUAUAUUGAUAACAAAAUGAAUAUUGAUUUUAAAUUUGAUUGAUUCAAGUUUGAGGCUUUCCACAAUCUAACCUAGGGUAUAGAAAUUAGAGAAAACAAAGGCCUUUUAAGUAGUAAGAUCUUAGGGUUUUGGGAUCCUUGGCCGCUCACGAUCAAGUUGAGUUCUAUAACUCAAAAUUUCAUCAUAAACCUAAUUUUUCCUUUUUAAAACAGAUUCCUAAAACCAUCAAAUGAAAGAGAUUGAUUACUAAUUUAAGAUUUGAUUUUUAACCCUUCCUACUCUUUAUAGCUUUGUUUUUGGGCAAAUAAUGAUAGAGAAGACAAGGAUAACUAGUGAUCAAGAAUUACCAAGAAUCACUAGUAUUAGGUAAUAACCUACCGUAUCAUUCCCUAAACUAACUCACAAGGAUAGGAUAAAAAAAAAUGAUAAAUUGUCACCCAACCAAUAAUUAAUCUCAUUGUUAUAAUAAUUUACCCAUUGUCCCUAUAGGUUUCCUAGCUCUUAGGUUUUCAUGCUUCAAGCCCGAAAUUGGCUCUUAGCCUCUCAUGGGGGUGAUGUCACAUUCACAAUCCAUAAUAGGGUAAAAAUUCAUAAUUUGAAUCAAAAGAACCUAAAACAAUAUAUUUAAUAAAGAAGAAAAAGAAAACAAACCAAAGUUCUUGUCUUCUUCCACCUUCAAUGUCAAACUCUCCAAAAAAAAAUCCAAGAUCCCUAAAACCUAGAACUAAGAGAGUUUAUAUAAUAUCAUCAAUUACCUAACAUGUGGCACACUCUCAAUGGCCACCUAUUACAAAAAUAAUUACCUAAAAAUGAUUAAAAUUUAAUAAAAUGGUGAUUUAUAGUUGUGUGGUGUCCACUUAAGGCAAAUGGAGUGCCCUAGAUACAAUUCCCGAUGUAGAGGAGGCAAAACAUCAAAGUGGCAGUGGGUGAAUUCGAAAUUGGUGUCAUUUCGAAUUCAUAAGUUGAAUUUCGGAAUGAUUUCGAAAUGACCCUUCAACUUUGUGCAGUUGUUUUCAAAUGGUCAUAACUUCUUCAUUUCAGCUCCGAUUUGCACAUCGUUUGAAGCGUUGGACUCCUGAAUUUCCAAGAUUCAAAAUGACAUAUAGUAUGUAUAAAAUAAACUCUAGAAAGUGCUCCAAAUUUGUCCUCAAAUUCAAAGCAUAUAUUACCAUCAGAUUUUUGAGUUCUAAAUUUCCAUGCAGUUGAAUCUUGCUUCAUGCCUCAUUUCUCAUGUUUUCUUGCCUUCUUUCUUACUCCAUAAUGGUCAUUUCUCAUCUUCCAAACUCAUGAUAUCCUCGUUUUGCCUUUCCUCAUGGUCCAUGAGUCCUAACUCACUUAUUUCCUCAUUUAACCCUUUCUUGAUCUUUCAAAAUCUAAAGUGAUUCAACUUGGAUGUCCUUUGGUGCACAAAUCAUAUUGAAUAUGUGCCAUUAGAGCACAUAUUUUGGCUCCAAUCACUUCCAAUGAUCAAGUUGCAAACUUGUACAACAAAAUUAGGUUCUUUAGUAGUAACAAACACUUUAGGCUUAAAAUUUUCCUUCUUUGAUCUAGUUGUCAUUAGAUGUCUAUUUGCAUUAUGUGACUUGGUUGUCAACAUUGAGACAAUUUUAGAGUUUAAUAAGUUAGCAUGUUGGUCAAUGGUGUUUUCUUCAAAUAAAAUAGAUAGUCCAUGAAACCUAUUUAGAGUCUAAAUUAAUAUAGGCAUAAUGUGGAAAGAUUGGAAUUAAAUCACUAUUUAAAACUGGAUUACUAUUAGUAUUUAACUAGGGGUAGGAGUAUUAGUGGAGGUACAAGGUUGUGAGGGAGAAAAAUCAAGUAAGAAAGAAAGAAAAUUAUUGUCAGAUUGGAUUUCUAAGGUUUAACUUGGGCAAACAUUGUUGUACAAAAGGGGGAAAAUGCUCAUUAAAAAUAACAUCUUGGGAUAUGAAAAUUGAACCAUUGGUGUCAAGACACUUGUAGCCAUUAUGAUUCAAGCUAUAGGCAAGGAAUGUACAAGAAGUGAAAUUAAACUACAACUUAUGUUGAUUAGAAGUUCUCAUAUUUGGAAAGCAAGCACAACCAAAAACUUUGAGUUGUGAAUAAUUUGGUGAGACGUGAAAUAGAACUACAAGUGGAAACUAAUUAUAAAGAACAUGUAAAGGUAAUUUAUUUAUAAGAAGGAUAAAUGUUUGAAAAGCCUCAUCCUAAUAUUUUAAAGGCAUUGAUGCAUGUGCAAGAAGAGUAAGACCAUUUUCCGUUAUGUGAUGAUGUUUUCUUUUAGCUACACCAUUAUGUUUUAUGAGUAUAAGAGUAAGAGUUAUUGUGAUUAAUGAUGACAUGAGAAAGAAGAAAAUUAGUGAAUGUCCUAUACUUUCCAUCCCAAUCUAUUUUAAUGAACCUUAUUUUAUGACCAAGUAGUAGUUCUACUUGAUUUUUGAAGUUGAUGAAAGUUUGAAGUGCCUCAAAUUUAUUUCUAAGAAUAUCAAUCCAAGUAAAAUAUGAAAAGGCAUUAACAAAGUGUAUAUAAUAAUGAUAACCACUUGACAAAAUAGAUGGCAAUGGACCCCACAUGUAUGAAUGAAUUAACUCGAGUGGAUUUGUGUAUUCUAAACUAGAAUGUAGAAAAUUAAGGAAAUUUAUGGAUUUGCCCAAACAAUAGGUUCAACAAAAGGUAGAGCCAUUUUCAUUGAUAAUGGAAGGAUUCCCAUUUAGAAACAAUGAAUCUUACAACUUUCUUAGAAGGGUGACCUAAUCUAUUAUGCUAAAGACUAUAGGCUAAAACAAAAGAGGAAAUUGGUGUAGACUUCAAACAAGAGACUGGUACAAAAACAAAGGAAGUAAAAACAAAGUGUUUUAACUUUUGUGAUUUUCCAACAACUUUUUCUAAGGCAAAUACAAAAGAAUAAGGUUAUAACUAACUUCUUAACUCAAUUAGAGUGUGAUUGAACUCACAGAGCCCACCUUUAAACCUCCCUUGCAACAAAGUUAUUUUGGUGACCUAGUCCUUGACAAAACAUGAAAAAUGGUGAAAUUCAAAGAAGACAUUGUUGUUUUUUUGCAAAUCUUGAGACACUAAGUAGAUUUUUGGUUAUUUAAGGAGCCUGUAACAAAUGUUUUAUGGAAAGAUUUUUGAAAGAAAGGUAAAGAGAAGUAAAUAUGGACUAACUAAUAUACUUAAUUGAUAAACCCUUACCAUUGCCUAUAUGAACUUGAUUUGGCCCAAAGAAUUUAGUUUUAGUCAUUAGGUUUGUAAUAUCUAUAGUAAGAACAUUUGUCAUUUCAGAAUUUGGAUACCAACUACUAUCAUACAUAGUUUUUGAAGUUCCAAUCAUUGCUAAUAUUUGUGAUUAUUGCGUUUGCUUGAGUUGUGAGGAUUUUCCUUGAAAAUGCCCAUGAAAUUGAGACAAUCAUUGGAAAGAUUAAUCAAUUCGAUAGUAUUGUUUCACCACAACAUGUCAUAUUCGACCAUAAAGCUAACACUAUGGUUUGUUAUUAUUCUAAUACCCUCCACGACCAUUAAAACCACCAAAACCACAUCUUCCUCUAUUACUAAAACCUCCUCUAUUAUUGGGAAAUCCAUGAAAAUUAUGAAAAUUUCCUUAUCCUAAAAGAUUUGAAUUGUAAUUGUAUCAUUGACCAUAGUUUUGAUUAUUUCCCAAAUUGUUAUACUUUUCUUCCCUUAUGGUGUAUCUUGGAUAGAUCCCAUGACAAGAUUUGUACUAGGAUUGGUUGAAUCAAAAGGCUUGUUAUUUUUCUCAAUUCUAAUCUCUUGGGCUAAGAUAAGAGAUUCAAUUUCAUCAACACUAUAUGGGUCGAUACAAAAAUGCACCAACACUAUAAAGGCAUCAUACUCAAAGGACAAACUGUCAAAGAUUGUAUCAAUGUGAUAUUUCAUAGAGACAGGAUAACCAAUUAGGGCAAGUAAAACAAAAGCCCUAAUUUUUAAGAGGUAAUCAUUAAUAGAGGGAGGCUUUCUUUGUGUUUUGCAAUUGUGUCUUAAAUUGAGUGGCUUUAGCUUGAAUUUGAGAUAAGAAACAUACCUCUAGAGUACUCUAAAUUUGAGUUGAGGUAUCACAAUUCACCAUUUGAGGAAGGAUUGUUUCUAACAUUGAAGAAAGCAACCAUGAGAGAAUCAAUUAAUCCUAUUGUUCCUAAUUCAAGAAAUUUGGAUUAAUCUUGUUGAUUGUUUUAUCUCCAAGCUCCAAGAACUUAAAUGGAGGUGUUUUCGAGCAAGAAAGUGUUGAAGCUUAUAACCAUGAAUAAUUGGAAGAAUUUGUUUAUGCCAUAUGAUGAAAUUGUUGUUGUCUAAUUUCGAACAAAGAGAGUGAAUAAAGAAACAUGUAGAAAUCUGGAGGAGGAUGAAAAAGUUGCCAUGACAGAAAUUAAAGAACUUUCGUUUACAGGAGAGUUUGGAUUUGAUACCAUCUCAAAAUGUAAAGAAAAUAAGGAAGUUUCUUCUCUAAAGAAGUGAUUUUCAUUACAAUGGAUUAGUUGUGCAUUAUAUGACCUAAAUAGAGUUAGAUUACUAACUAAUCUUCUAACAAAGUAUUAACUAGUUAUUAUUAACUAGUUUUCUAACAAAGUACUAACCAAUAUUCUAAUAGAUUUCCAACAACUCCAAUAUAGAAGGAACAAGUAUCCUGACUAUUUUAACAACUUAAUACAAGUUAACUACUAGUCUUAAUAGUCCUCUUCCCAAGAGAUCCCAAAUGAAGGAACCCUAGGAAAGACAUGUAGGAAAACCCAUAUUACUUUGUUCGUAGGCCUUGGAUCAUUAGGGUGCAUGUAAUCCUAUCCUAGACUCUCUAAAUCCACCACAAAGUUGAAAUAUAUAUGAUAUUUAAAACCAUAUAUAAUAAAUAUCAUAGAUCCAAAAAAAAUUGUUAUACUUAUGAUUUAGACAUUCCCAAAUCAAUUCUUGGUGUAAAAUACUCCAAAAUCAUAUACAACCUUGUAAACCCAAUCGUCUUCCACUCGAUGACUCCUCCUUGAGUUUAGACACUGAGAUGAUGAGGAAAUUAAGGUUAGAGGUUAGAGUUUUCUUUCUUUGGGUUGAAAAGAAAGACAAUAAGAUUGAAGCUCUAACCUCUCUUAGGAGGAUUUAUAGGCUUCUUAUUAGGUUUACAUUACUUGAGUCAUCAUAGGCUUGUGUCACUUAACUUACCCCAAAAAGGUUUUUAAUUUAUUAAUUAACCUAAUAGGGCUCUAAUUAAUUAAUUAGUAGAGUUUAGAGAUACCGUUCACUUAUUCUUAUGCAACAUUUGCAUGAUUACUAAAACACCUUAUGCACACAAGUGAAUUAAAAAUUCAUUCAACUCUCAUAAAUCUUACCAUCAAGGAAUAUGAGUUCAAGUGGGGACCAUUGGGAUCUAUAAAACAAUACUAGCUCAUUUAGAAUCCAAUUCUAAAGUUGACUUAAUAUCUCACUAUAAAGAGUCAAUUGCAUUCUAGAACCUUAUGUAUAUUACAACGAGACACCAAGUGUUCGGGCUCGUCACCUAUUAUCCACUGUAUGUGAUCUUUCCAUAAACUGAUCAUCUGUGGUCUAAUAUGGUGAAAGUUAUCAUCCUUUCAAGAUUGCCUCUACCAUCCUUGAAUUAUAAAUUCUCCUAUUAUGUGAUCAAAUAACAUACUUUACCUCACUAAAAGCGUAUGUCAAAUUCUACCAAAGGAAUUACUACUAGUCUACAUAUUUCAUGAUCAUAUAUCCUUAGGAUCAUCCAAUGGGACAUACUGUCUCAAAGUCAAUAAGAUAUCAUGGACCCUCUGUUGAAAAUACCUAUUGCUAUCGACUUCUUCCAUUAAUAGUGACUCAAUCCAUAUGAAUACAUGAUCACUUUAGGUUCUCACUUGUGGGUCAAAGUUACUAUUAACUUUGACACAAGCUUAAUUUUCUCUUAAAGUUGAGAGACAAUAUAGUAUAGUAGCUUGGUGAAAUCGUGACUACCAAAUAGCCGUAUGUCAUGACUCACUAUAAGUCCUAUUUAAUGUGUUACCAUACACAUUAGUACACUCACCAUGUGAAUCCUAUCUCCAUGACCAAGACCAGUCAUCCCUCUUUAAUUAGGAGGUAGUGCACUAUAUCCUCAAAUGGAUUGUCUAGGUUCACGAAUCAAUUGUAACAAGUCAUUUAUUUGUAAGAAACUUAUGACUUGAAUCUUCUAUAUAAUCCUUAAUGUAUUUAAGUCAUGUAUAAUAUAAAAGAUAUUAGAUGAGAAUACUCAUAAAGUAUAAUACAUAAAAUAAGGAUAUAUAAAGUGAAAUCGAAAUAUCAUUAAAUUAAUAAUGAAUUUUAAAUCUGUUAUAUCAUGUCAUACUUUUAAAAGCUUUAUUCUAACAAUCUCCCACUCCAAUUAUCUUUCAUGUAAGAUCAAUGAUAUUAAUCUUCCAUGGAGCCCACUUAGCUCAAUCUCAGUGGGUUGGACAAAGUUCGCCGCGUGCAAGCCCACUUGUGUGUUUUGAACGAAAAUGGAUUCACAAAAUUUCUCAAAAAAAAUGUGUAAGUUCUUUGAAAAAUGUGAAGAGUACAUUAGAAAGAACCGGUAUUAAGUAGCUUACUACAAAGAGUGGGUCUUGAUAGCUUUUUCCUGUAACUUAAAGGUAGGUGUGUUGAGAGAGAUGGAGAGAGCUUUUUGUAUAAUACAAGAGCUUUAUAAUGUUCUCACUCAUCCUCUCACACCUUUUCCUUAGCCAUGUGUAGGGACCAAAGUGUGAAGAUGAUUGGGUUUGACUCUUUAAUAUUUUGUUUGUUUUUGUGGGGAUGGGUACUGCAGAGAGACAAGCUUCUAUUCCACAAAAGCCACAUAACUCAUGCAUGCAUGCUUUACAAAAAGAUAGGUCCCCACCAUCCACACUGCUCUCGCUUUUAUUUCUCCAAUAUUAUUUCAAUAUUAAUUUAUCCUCCAAUCCAUGCACAGUAAUUGCCUUCUCCACACCAAUAUGUUUACUUCCGUCGAGUUAUUAACCACCAAAAUCUAUUACAAAAGAUGGGGUUCAAUUGCAGAAUCAAAUUCUUUCCAUUUUGGGCAGGAAAUUUACAGCAUAUUUGAAUGGAUCCAACCUUCUUUUCUGGGACAAUCAAAUAGUUAUUAUAGGUAACCCCACUGUGCUUAACACAUGGUGGAUUUUAUAAAAAUACAGAGUAAACACACUUACAUGAUAUAAGAAAGAGCAAUGCUCGACAACCCCAUUUCUCGAACGACUUCAUGAAUGGGAAUUUUUCUUUCCGUUUCAAAUCCUUAUGCCGUCCCAUAAUUAAGUUUACAAAAUACAGUUUCAUGAAGACUAAUUGAUGAUCUAAUUAGAGAUGGGGGAUUCAAUUUUCCUACAUGAAAAGUAACAAAGAUUUGAGAGUUCAUUCUGCGUCCUGCUUUGAACCUGCACACUUACAAAUAAAUCACGUGAAGUUUAGUUGACUUGAAUGAUUUUCUAACGAAGCAUGAAAUGAUAAUUGUUGAUCAUGUGUGAUACAGUCCUUAUCAUCCACAAACUUGAUUAAAGGGUCACCAAAUUCCUUAUAGUAUUCUCCAUGUCUGGGGAUCAAUUAAUUUAAGUACAAGAAAGGAAUGAUUCCUGAAUUUCUUCUUUUCAUUAUGUACUUGAAGGCAUGGGGGUUUUGGCCUACCGGCAACUUUUGACAGAUGGGUGGAUCGGGUGGUUUCAAUACUUCAAUUAUUAGGUAAUGACAAAAGUAAAAGAAAAAAGACAAUUAGGAGACAGUCUGCUGACUAUUUAGACUAGUUUUGUCCCAAAACAUACUACCAUUAAGGCUGGUAUUUUCAUCCAUUUUCGUAUAUUCAUUUAAUGAUAUAGAGAGAGAGAAGAGAGAGACUUUUGAAAAAGGAGGCAAGCAUAGUCGGUAGUCUUUGUUUUUUUCCAUGUUGCUUUUAUUUUUCUGGUGGUAGAGAAUGACCACCCAUACUUUCCACUAGAGAAACCAAAUAAUAAACCACCCUCUUCUUAAGAAAUGCCAUCUCAAUCCUGCUAUUUAAAUCACAUUUGUUCUUGAAUCUCUUCAUAUUCCAGAGCUCCUGAGCGAGUGCUGUGUCUCAAGAAAUAUCCUACCAUGCAUUCGCACGAUAGACCUCUAUCUGCUCAAGGGGACUCUGGGCUUGUCCUCACAACAGAUCCAAAACCCCGGCUCCGUUGGACCACUGAGCUUCAUGAGCGGUUCGUCGAUGCCGUUGCCCAGCUUGGAGGACCAGAUAGUACGUUCUCUUCCACUCCUCAUUGAUCAUUAUACGGAUGCUCAAAGAAGAAAAUGAUUAAAUAUUAAUAUCUGAUUCAUUAUCGUUAGCAUAAAGCAAUAAUAUGUACAUGCACUCUCUUUACUUAUGUUCUCCUUGUGUUCCAAUGUUUUUCUUUUCCUGGAUUGAAUCUCUAGAGGCCACGCCAAAGACCAUCAUGAGAGUUAUGGGUGUUAAGGGUCUCACUCUUUACCAUCUCAAGAGCCAUCUUCAGGUACAGUGAAAGUGUUUAGUUUUUGCUUUAAUGGAAUUCAUAAGUACCUGGGCCGGGUCCUCUAAUCUUUUGUUUCUUUUCCUCUUCUGGUCCUCUUCUGGUCCUCUUCUCAACAAACUAGAAAUUCAGACUUGGGAAGCAACCGCAUAAGGAUUUCAAUGAUCAAGCAGUUAAGGAUGGAGAGAAAGGUGACUGUUCUUCUUAGGGCUCCAAUUUGGCUCCUCUCUUUAUUUUUAUACCUAGUAUUAUCAUAUAUGAUGCUUUUACACCAUAUAGAUUACUUUAAUUGGCAUCAGUUCAUAACUUCUUAUACAUUUCUCUUGCAGCAGCUUCAGCAUUAGGUAAUCAAAGAAAUGCUACCCCCACGCCUGUCUUAAUGGGUCGCAACAUAAAUGAGUAAGUGCCGGCAACCCCUUAAUCUUGGUGUCCCUGAUAAAUAGAUAGUAUAUUUGGGAUUCAUUUAUGUGUAUUGGACCAUGCAUUGAAGGCAUUCUCUUUGUUUAGUAUCCAUAAACAUUGGAAUGGGGUUACUUGUAGCAGGAACAUGCACUUUAAUGAAGCACUUAGGAUGCAAAUGGAGGUACGAAGGAGAUUGAAUGAACAAUUAGAGGUAAGAACAGAAUGUAUAUUAAGCCUACCUUGUUAAUUUUGUGCUUGCACAUUGAUUGAAAAAAGGGAAAUAAUCUAAUUUUAUUUUUUCGGCUUUUCUUCCUUGUUUCUUGCAUGAGAUACCAGGUUCAGAGACACCUCCAAAUGAGGAUUGAUGCUCAAGGAAAGUAUAUGCAAACUAUAUUGGAGAAAGCUUGUCAAACACUUACAGGCAAAAACGGAGACUGUCAAAGCUACCAUGGUGUUGGUAAUCAAGGAUACACCGAGGUUGGAUCCAUGAAAGAUUUUUCUUCUUCUGUGAACUUCCCAUGUCUAGAAGAUUUGCACAUAUAUGGAGAGAGGCCUAACCCAUACGAUAGCAGUAAAGCCCCGAUAAUUUGGUCCAAUGAUAUGCAACUGCUACAAGAAGUGGGAACAGCAGCGGCAUGUAUUCCCUCUCAAGAGGAUGCUUUCAAAAGGUGAUCAGCCUCAAUGACACUUUUGAAAAUUGAUAGUGCCACAACUAUGAAUUCCUAUGUCAAGAAAGUUUAUGAACUAGUGUCUUUUCUCCAGCUACUUAAAGCAGCAUCAUGAAGAAGAAAGCUCAGGCUCUGGUGAAGCUUGAGCAACCAGCAUAACAAAGGGAACCCACUUCAGCAGACUGAAGUAGCGAUCUUAAAUCACUGAGAGUAUGCAACUAUAAGAAGUGUCAUUAUAUAUAUCGAUUUAUGUAUGUGUCAGAUGAAAUAUCAUAAAUAUAAGAACACAUGCACUAGGGCUCCAUUCAAGUAGGAGAAUUCUCUCCUAGCUAGUUGAUAAAUUUGCCUGGAUGUUAUUGCUUACGGUGAUUUAAGUUUUGCGUCAAUUUUUUUUCUUAUAAAAGGGUCGUAACAUAUAAUUUGGAGAGCCCCAUGUGAGAAUAAUAAGAAUUACUAGCUAGCCCACAUGUUGCAUGUAAUGCUGCUCAAGUACUGUUGUUAAUUUGCUGUGGUUAUGAAAUUACUUGGCAUUGUUGGAACUUCAGUUUACUUCCACAAUUUUAAAACUUAAUACCCUAUGCAACUAAGCACCAACAUUUUAUAUUUUGAUACAUCGCAUUGCUAACGUAAUUCUUAAUAUUCAAAACAUCUGUUCAUAGAGAAAAAUGCAGGUUAACACACCCUUCAAGGUGAUGUUGAAUAUCAGCCCAAUCCAAGUCUAGUUCUGUUUAAUAUUCGAUGGAAAUAAUAGCAGGUUGAGUUCAUCAAGUCAGUUCAAUGUUGAGCUUGCUGGUUUCUUUAUCCCCUUUUUCUUGUAUAUAUUAUUUUCAACCAUAAUUUCCAAUGAUGCAAAAUCUCCCGGGUUUGGGGAAAGUUAAACGUAAACACUCCAUAUAUGCCUGGAGCAUAAUGCACGAAUCAAAUCUGAACAAUGGAAAGCAUACUUGUUUGCUUCAAUCUUCUAAUAGUACUGUCUUCUUUUUUUUUUUUUUCUACCCUUUAUCAACACCCUUAAAAUCUGUGUUCAUUAAAAGGGCAAUAUUCCACUCUCCACACAGCAGAGCAGGCAGGCAAUGAUAGGGCUAUAUAUAUUCCUAUCGCAUUCAAAUCAUAUCCAUCAAGGAUCGAUAGAUCUAAAGGCGAGUCUAGCGAGCUAGAGCAUGAAUAGUCUUUCAUUCACUUUAAUUCUUUUAUAAAGAUUCCAACCUCUGGAAAAAUACAUGAAGCAUGGGUUGAAAGGGAGUGAAUUGUCAAUUAUGGAUUAGGCCGGCCAAGGAUUUUUCAGUGGACCCUUCCAUCCAUAUCUGCUUUCAUAAUUUUCUUAAGCUGUGCAUGAUGAAAUUGGUGAAGAAGAUAAUUUCAUUUCACCCACCAAGAAAAAUUAAAGAAUACAGUUACCUUUAUUGGUCUCAGUGAAGAUAUAUAUAUGUAACUAGGCUCCCCCAACAAAGAAAGAGAGAAAGAGAGAAAAAGAAAAAGAGAGAGAGAGAGAGUUGGCACUCCCAUGAGUGCAGUUACCAAGGAAGGUUCCGUGCAACUUUUUAGAAACCAAAGCUGGACCAGCUUAUGAUUAAUGGAUGAUCUAUGAUGAAUUUGGGAAGCAAUUAAAGGUCGCUAUUUUUUGUUCGAAGCAAAUGAUUUUUGCGUGAAAACCAAGCAGACAUUGGAUUCGAUUUGCUCACUCAUUCCUUACUUUCUAGUAAAGUAUAUAUCUCUACACAAGAAAAGUACAAAUGAGAUUUGAGAAGCUUCUUUUCCAGCGAAAGUAUAUAAUAUAUAUAGGAAGACUAUUGAGGCAGAAAAGUGAGGUGAUGUAACUUGGAAUCAAAUACGGACAUUGGACACUAGAAAGCAUUCAUAUAUAGGGUGGAAUUUGAAGAGUAGAAAGUGGAGUACAAAUGGGAAAUUAAUGCCGGGUCGGACAAGUUCAAUCCAGAUGCCCAGGAUCGAUCAUAUGUUAAUGCAUGUCCUGUUCAGCUACAUUGAUACCUUGGACCAAUCCUAUAGUGAUAGUUAAGCUCAAAAAGACAUAUAUCCUGGAGAUCAAAAGUCUUUAUGAAUUACAUAGGUCCUGGGAAUCCACUUCUCCAACAUGUGUUUAAUUAUCAUCUAAGUAUAUAUAUAUAUAUAGAUAGAUAGACACGUUGAUCGAUCACUUUCUCUUUUGUAACUUUAUUCUCAAAGAAUAAUUACAGAAGUGAUCAUUUCACCUGUUCGUUGGCAGGAGGUAAGUUGGGCAACCAAAUUUUCUAUUACUAGAUUUAACAGGUGUGUUCAGGGCAAUGGGCCAGCUCCUGGCUAGUGCAAAUUAAUGAUUGCAAGGAAAAAAAAUAGCUUAAUCUUAUUUUUCUUUUCCUCACUUUUUCCCUUUAUCAUUAUUAUUAUUAUGUUUUCAGGACCUAGACAAAAGCCAACUAUAUAUAUAUAUAUAUAUAUAUAUAUCUUUACAAGGAGAUCUUAUUCAUAAUGAUCUUUGAAGAAAAUAGGCUGCAUGCCCUUUAAUUUUAGAAAAAUUCAAAUCACAUUUUCUUGGAUCCUUCUAUACAAAAACAUUACCUAUCUAUAAUUUUACUAAAUUAUCAUGUGUAAGAGAGAGAGAGGGUUAAUGCGAUGGUUUAGAAUCACAUUAAUUAACUAGGAGUAAUUGGUAAUGCAUAUGGACUAAACAGAGGCUCAAAAUAAUAUUGCAUAUGAAGGUGUGCAUUUGUGCAGCCAAGCAAGUUUGCAUAGCGUACAUGAGCAUUUUCUGAUGCAUCCUGGGCACAUAGCCAAAGCUUGUCCAGAGAAUGGCUCUUUUCUAAGAGGUUCUUGCACAAAUACGCAAUUUGUGCUUGUAAUGGCAAGGUUCAACAAACAACUUGUAAGUCUCCUCUACUUGGACAAUGAUAUUGGAGUUUUGUGCACAAAGGCAACAAUUUUGGCCAAAAAAACAAAAGGACAAAAAAAAGGAAGAGAAUUGAAUCUAGAUGUCUUCCCGCAAUAUUCAUCAUAUUAGUAUUUUAUUCUAAUGUUGACGUUCCUAUGCAUAUCUUUCUAAAAUAUUAUCGGCUGAUUGUGUGGUAUUAUGAUUUUUACAUUAAAACCAUUGUCAAUUAUCAUCCAUUUAGUUUUUAACUUUUAUGCUUAAUAAAACAAAAGGCAAAAUAAAAAUAAGACACCUGUGUGUUGAUAUGACGAAUAUUUUGUAAGAAUAUUUAGGAGAUAUUUUAUUUAUUUAUUUAUUUUGAGUUAAUACUAAAUAGAACUUCAAAUUAAAUAAUAUUUAAUAAUGUAAAGUAUCGAGUUAGUUUAUUUUUUUAACAUUUUAUUUUUAUUAAGCAUUGAAAAGUAAAGAAAAAUCAAUAUGUUACUUUUAUCAUUCACAAAAAAUUAAAUAUUUUGGAUAUUUUGAAUUUUUCUAUUCUAUUAAAAAUUUAAGAAAUAAGUAAUAAAUUAGCCAAAUAAAUAAAUAAAAACUGUCUCAAAGAUUAAUUGCAAUGGGAUCCUCCUUGAAUCCUAGAUAGAUUUCAUAAAUUGAGAGAUUUCAAAUCACUUUUCUAAAUUCUUAAAAAUGAUUUUUCAUUAAUAUUCAAAAUUUUCUAUUUUUAAUUCACUCCAUUAGUAAGCAAGUCUAAAGAGUUUACGUGGGUAAGGUAGCAAAAACUCCAUGCAUAGAGUGCAAUUAACUUACAUGAAAAACAUAAUCGUGGAUGUGAGUGUGAUUUUCGGGCAUAAUAUGAAACAUGAUAUAUGAAAUAUUAAAUAAUAUGUUAUUACGCAGAAAGUAUCAAAAUAUUAAUACAAACGUUAUAUGAAGAAAAAAUUAAAAUGACAAUUAAAAUAUAAAAAUUAGAAAUUAAUAUCAAAUACAAACUAAAAGCACUAUUUAUGUGAGAAACACCAUGAUGAAUUGGUGCUUUGUACAAAUAAGCGUUCUCCUAAAUAAAUAAAUAAAAAAAAAGAAAAAAAGGUGUUUUGAAAAAAUUUAAAGAAUAGGUGAUUUUUUUUAGUAUACAUAAAUAUUGUUGAAAAUAUUGUCAAAAUACAUUUUUAGUUUAUGGUCAAACACUUCGCAUCGUUGUUUAAAUAUACAUUUUUUUAUUUUUUUAAUGGAAGGGCAAGUACUUUAAUCAAAAUCACCCUAAGCAAACUUUGAAAUUAUUUGGUUUUCAAAAAAUUGAAAAAAAAAACACAAACAAAAAGAAAAAAUAAUAACAACCUUUUUCCCCUGAUUAAUUAUUCAUCGAAUUUGGAAAAACAAAAAUAAAUUUUUAAAGUAUAUACCUUUCUUUAAAAAAAAUAUAAGAUCCAUCUUACUUUAAGGAAAAUAAAGUGAAAAUAUUUAAAUAUUUUUCCUCUUUUUUCUUUUCCAUUUUUUUUCCCAUUACCUCAAAACUUUGACAAUUGUUUUUUUGUAAGAAAAUAUUAAGCAUUAAGAAGUGUUUCUGACUCGCCUAAGACCAACUGCUAUCACGGGCUAUAAAUAGACAUUAGUUCAACUCAAUAAGCAGCUGACCCAAAUAAUCCCAUCAUUUGGAUUUUGAGCCCAAGUAUAUCUGCAGCAGGAGCCCCUUUAUUAGUGUUCCACCAUACAACAAAAGUGAACGUAACUGCGGCUGACGCUAUUGAUUCAUCCAUGUAAAGGCUUAGAUUAGGAAGAAGAUGAAAUAGGCAUAAGCUACAAAUACAACAUAAAGCUUAUCUGCAGCUGGGAAAUCAGAAAAUGAUCACCUCAACUAAAACUGCUAUGUAUAGUAGAGUAACUAAAAGCUAUUAUUGAUUCACCAAGUAUGAAUUGAGUUAGGAAAUCAGGCAUUACUGGAGGACAUGGAUAUACCCUCUACUUGUUGCAACAGUUUUACAGCAUUGGGAACUCUCAUGAGUCAUGAACUAUAAUAAUAAUUCUUGUUAAAUGACAUCUGAUUGCCAAAAAUAUUUGCUGUGUUAAGAUACAAAGAUGAAAAGUAUGGUGAUCACAAGAUGCAUAAGUCACACCAUGAGCGGCAACAGUAACUUGCUACCUGCUAGGAAUCCUUGUGUGCCACUAACUGUUUGUUGCAGUGUUUUUUCUAUCUGCAUAGAAUUCCUGAAUCGGCUCACUCUCCGUCUGCUAUGCAUCCAUUUUAAUGUCAUUUCAAGCUACAAGGUUCAUCCAUAUCUGCUGACUCUUCUUGUGAUGGAGCUUAAACCACAAGCUGAUCUUUAACAACCUGACCUUGAAACCAAGCACAUGGCAUGAGAUGCACCAACUGCAACAGAUAGCACAUUGUGUGGUCCCAAUCUAUCAUCCUCCAUAAGAAACUUUACUUCAACAGGCAAUGGUUGUGUCUCUGGCAGCCCAGGAACGCCUAAUUGAGAGUCCUUGGCAUUUCCCCACAUGUACAGCUUCCCGUUAUCUGUUCAUUACAUCAACUGCUGUUUACCAAUUUUGUAUUUUAAAAAUUCAUCAAAAUCUAAAGAUAAAAUAAGAUUAAGAUUAGCACUAAGAAAAUACUAUUGAUAAGGUAAUCUUUAUUCUGAAGAAUUCAUUUAGAGGCUUAGACAGGAAAAUUCUGACCCAAAUCUGCCAACCGGCCCAAAGUAAAUGGAUUUUGUGGAGGUUUCUUGGUAUUGAAUUCCUUUUUCCCCUUAAAAGAUUCAGAUGAGCCUGACUUGAUUGGUGAGGCAAGGUAUGACUUCCAGACCUCCAAAGCAAAUAACAGUAAUGAAUUAACCAAUUAUUAGUUCAUUUUUAAAUAUAUGAGUGGCUUGGUUGAUAAACAAGAUAGAGAAUAGGUUGUUUUCAGUAUUCACUUUCCACCCUACUUGUGAUAAAAGCCAGGAAUUUUUAAGCCAAUCAGAAGUUGGCCCCCCAAUGUGGAAGAGUGAGAUAGGGAUGUUCAUAUAUUAAAAUAGAAUAGAUGCCCAUGGGUUUCAAUGAGAAGACGUAGACAUGCUUUAGGGAUUUCCUUGGACUGUUGGACUGAAAGAUGUGAAACAUAACUUGAUUAUACAAAAAACUUCAAAAUCCCAUUAGUAUAUGCUACCAGAGACCAUAUCUUUAAUUUACCUGUUAUAGCUGCUGAAGAUGAACCUCCACAAGCAAUAUAGAUGACAUGCUCAUCAGCUAAAGCCUCAAUCACUGUAGGUAUUUUCUGAUUUUCGAUGGAGGAAUGACCCAGCUGACCAUGUUGACCAUAACCCCAUGAAAGUACUUUGCCAUCAUCUGGAAUUACAGAUUUAAGAAUGGUACAUUAAUAAUGUAUUAAGGGUAUCUGUCUAUACCAGCUACAAGAGUAACUUUGUGAUUCUACAUCAUAUUUUAUUUAUAUAAAAAGGAGUCUUAUCUAGCAAUAGGAUUGGGACUUACAUAACUUUUCCCUAAUGUUUUUCCUUCCCUUAUCAGGAAAGAAAAUCGGAAUGGGAAGAAAAGAGAAUAACAGGAAUCAGAAUCAGAAAUUUUAUUGAAAUAUUUACAAAACUAUUAGGAAAGGGAAUGAGAAUGAAACUGAUUCCUAAGUAUUGAUUAGCAGUGAAGGAAACAGAAUAAAAUAUGUAAUCUUACUAUAAUGUCCUUAUACAAAAAAAUUUCACAUUUAUCUUUGUAGAAAUAAAAAGACAUGUUAAAUAAAUGGAUGUAAAAAGAAAUAAAACUCAUUUUUUAUACUUACUGCAAUUUUCUUUUACAAUAUUAUUUGAUUAAAUUGAUUUUGGAUGAGAAAAGCUUUUCUACUUAUUUUUUAAUUUGAAUAAUUGUACCUUAAUGACCAUACCUUUUUUUAUUUUAGAUCUAUGAUUGUAAAGCAAGAGAAUAUGCAAUAGUAAUGAAAAAUUUUUUGGUUAAGAAAAUAUCCCCUUAUUUAUAAAAUUGACAUUUAGUUAACAUAUUCUCUCUUUUUAUUAAUAAAAAUUACUAGUCACAUAACAAAUAACUAUAACAUGAAUAAUACACUAUUAUAUCAAAAGUAUAACAAUUAUUGCAUAUUAAAGGCACAAGGGCAAAUUAGCCAAUCCAUUCACAAAAUUUGAUUCCCCAAAUUUGAGUAAUCCCAUUCACGAAGGAGGGUGGGAGAAUGGGUUUUCUAGAUUUUGAAGAAUGGUUCCUCAAAUUGUGGUGAAGCUCACACACACUUCUCAUUCUAAAUUCAAGUAAAUGAAGAAUGCGUAGGAAAGGGAAUAAAUCCAUUUCAUUUUAUUCCAGUAGAAUCAAGUAAACAGGCCAUUAGUGUUUUUCUAUUUUUUCAACAUGGUAUGAAAGCAGGUUUGAAACCUAGCUGCUGUUUUUAAGAAACACUAGCAGCCAACUCUAGAAACCUAACCCUAGAACUGCCAAUCCUAAAUGUUCUAACUCUUGUAGUUGCCACCCUUGAAAGCACUAAUCUUCAUUGUCUUUUAAUAUGUGUUAAGAGGCUGAUCUGGUUGUGAUCAGUCCCUAUGUUGUUUGUAAUGUGGAUGAUCUCUAUGUACUAAGAGUGUUUGUGUGUUACUUAAAGAGUCGUGUUUUUCCAAUGCCUUAGGUUGAAAAAAAUGGUGUGAAGUGAAAAUUGAUUCCAAUGAUAACAUAACUCAAAUUGUUAUCAUUUGCUCAGAUAAAAAGAAUGGCGCCUUGACAUCAGAAAUUCAUCCCCCCUCAAUAAGGCCUCAUUGGUAAGUAGAAUUUGAGAUUUGCAACACAUAAAGAGUCUCUUUGGAAGCGAGUGAUAGUAGGAAAGUUUGCAGAAGAAAAGGAAGGAUGGUGCUCCAAGGGUGUCAGGGAUGGUUAUGGCAUGGGCUUGUGGAAAACAAUUACAAGUUGUAGGAAGGAUUUUAAAAGCAGAUCUUAGUUUAUAGUUAGCAAUUCGCAACAUAGAAAGAGUCCCUUUGGAAGCGAGUGGUAGUAGGAAAUUUUGGGGGAGAAAAGGAAGGACGGUGCUCUAAGGGUGUGAGGGAUGGUUAUGGCAUGGGCUUAUCGAAAGCUACUACAAGUAGUUGGAAGGAUUUUAAAAGCAGAUCUUGUCUAAUAACUGGCAAUGGGAGAAAGGUUAAGUUUUCAAAGGAUUGAUGGUACAGAGACUUUUAACUAAGGAUUCAUUCUUGAAUUUGUUUUCUAUAGCCUCUGCUAAGGACUUCUGGGUGGUGGAGACAUGGGAGCAGGCAGGAGAGGGAGGUAGGUAGAGCCCUUACUUCUCUAGGCAGUUCCAUGAUUGAAAGCUUGAAAGUGCAGUUGCCUUCCUUCAAAGAUUACAACCAAUUUGUAUCAGAAGGGAAGCAAAGAAUAAAAUGAGUAGGAAGGUCUCUAAAGGAGACAAUUUCUUUGUUAAGUUGUGUGUAAGAGCAUGACAUACAUUGUGAACCUAAAUUCUAUUUUAAAAAAACUCUACAAGCUUAAGCUUUUAAAAUACAUUGUGAACCUAAAUUCUACAAGUUUAAGCUUUUAAAAAAAUUCUACAAGCUUAAGCUUUUAAAAAAAUUGGUUGUUCAACACAGCUUAACAAAGAAAAUGCCUCCUUUAGAGACCUUCCAACUCAUUUUAGCUUUGCUUCCUUUUUGAUACAAAUUGGUUGUAAUAUUUGAAGGAAGGCAUCCACAUCUUCAAGUUUUCCACGCCUUCCCUCAUGUAUAGCCUCUUUUGGGCUUACAUGUGGGCUUAAUAAAUUGGGGAUCAUGUGUAGUCUCAUUUUUUAGGCUUACACAUGGGCUUAAUAAAUUGAGGAAAUAAACCUGCGGUGGUGAGGUUCGAACACAUGACCAACUUCCAAUUUAAAAUGGUGAAAUUUCAUUACUUUUCUUUUAGGUGGGACUCCUAGAAGGCUUUAGUGAGACUCUAAAGUUUCCUAUCUUUUCUUCUUUAUUUUUUUGUUGUUCUAUAUUUUAUUUUCCUUCCCAGCAGCCAUAAUUUUACUUCACCAUUCCUCUCAUUAAAUUCUAAAGAAAUUGAAGAACCAUCCUAAGGUUGUCCUACAUCAAAGAAACAUCUAGAAAUCAUGUGGUGGGCCCCCCCACAUUCUUUUCUUUUCUUCUUCAUGUUUUUCUCUUAUUCAACAAACAGUAACAUAGUAAUUUCAAUUAAAAAAUAAAAAACAUGGUAGCUGCUGCAAUUAAGAUUUCUGUAAUCAUUUACCUGUUAAUGCAAGAGAGUGAUAUCCACCACUAGCUAUCUGGAUGAUACGAACAUCCUGCAGGCUAGGAAUUGGUUGUGGUUUCCAACCUCCAACCUUAUCACCUCUUCCAAGCUCAUAGUUGGAGUUUGCUGCAUAAAACACCAAGAGGAUGCUAUUAAGCUGAAAUCAUGUUAGCAUUGCAAAGUGGAGAAUUCAACAUUUGUCAAAGAAGAGACAGUCAAUAAUUGAUUAGUUAGCUGAGCCUCAAAACAAGAGCAUCAAAUUUUAGGCAGAGCUUUCUGUGGUUUCCUGUGUCAGUAAAUUAAAAUAAUCUAUAAGUGGCAAGGUUGCAACCACUGGAGUGCAGCCUCGGUUGGAUUGGAUUCAACCCAAGAAAACCAAGGCUGAUUCCUCAUAUUCCUGAUAUAUAGCUGAACCAAACAGUACAUAGAACUUAACCAUCAGUGAACAGAACCUUCAAAGUUUGUCAUAGCCAUGGAUUAUGGAUUAGAGAAAUUUAACUUUUCACUUCUCUUUUGGGCUUUGAUGACAAUAGGAUCCAAGGGAGAUACUCUUUUUGGGAGCUUUAAAGGACUGGAUAGAAGCACUAGACUGGUUGAGGUCUCCUGCAUUCCAACUAUUGAUGGAGUUCUAAAAUUCAAUAUUUCUUAGGUAAUCUGGAACAAAUGAAAAUUAGGAUGCUUUUAAAGGGAUGUGAAUAAUCUCAAGUUGGAGGAUUUUGCCUUCUCAAGAGCCUUAAAAAGAAGCUAGUUGUAUGAGGCAAUGGAAGUGAUGGGGAUCACAAAAUUUGUGUAUUUUUUCUCUUUUUAUUCUCUCUCAUAAUUUCUCAUCAAAUUCUCUUUUCUUUUUUAUGAGAAACAACAAUGUAAUAUAUUAAAUAAGGAUUUAAAAAGUACAAAAGAAGGAUGAGAAAUCCUCCCAAAAACAAAGAACUAAACAAUUGGAACCUCCAAAAUACUAACCUAUACACUUGUGGUGUACCAUAAACCAUAAAAAAAAGUACACAUAACAACCUCUCCUUGCUAGCCCACACCUUUGGACCUACACAUUAACAACCAAUCAAGUUGAACCACAUUAAGGGGAAUGCCCUUAAAAGUUGUGGUGCAAGAGGCCCAAAAGGAAGCAAGGAAAUGAAUGGUAUCCCAAAGAACCUCUAAAGUCCUCACCUUAUCCUCAAAAAUCUUAACAUAUCUUUCCUACCACACAACCCAAAUCAAAGCCGAACAAGAAAUUGCCAUAAUACUAAGCCCCUAUUGGAGCUUCCCAAUCCCUUAUAUCAAUGGUCAUCAUGUCACAAAUGCUCCUAGGCAUGGUUCAAAGUCAUGGUAUCAAUCAUUGACUCGAAGAGUCUUGAGCCACAUUGAUCUCGGUAUCUUGAAUUGGUAUCAAACAAAUACGCAAAAUAUAUUAAUUUAAGACCUCUAAAAUUUUUAAAAGAAUUGUUAAAAUUAUCACAAAAAUAAAUACAAUUACAUGGACUAAAAAAAUUAAUAAAUAUAUUGAAAGAACAUUAUGCAUAUGGUGAUAGAAGCAUAUUGGAAUAGAUUUAAAACUUUUUUAUUUAUCACCUUAUACUAAAUAUUAGAUAAAAUUAGUAAAAAAAAAAAAUUAUCUUAAAUUUGUUUAAGUUAAAUAUUUUAAAAAAUGUAAAUAAUAUUUUCAACCAUUAAAAAUAACCAUGAAUUACAUUUAAAAAUAUAAAUAUCAUUUUUCCUAUCAAAUAUAUUCUAAAUAAAACCAUUAUAAAAAACAACAAGAUUUUUUAUUAAUUUUAUUUUCAUUUUAAUAAAUAAAUUUUAAAAAUAAAUAUAUUUUUAGUACUUCUAUCCAUUAAUUUAAAAUUUUUGUAUUAAUACUUAUACUCUAUUUAUUUCAUAUAAGCCUAAAUAGAUAAUCCCAAAAUACUGAUCAAAAACCUCUCUUAUUUCUCUACAACACACCCAUUCGUCUACAAAAUGCCCCUCUCCAUCAAAAACCUCUCUAUCCCAUUUCUUUGUAACACACUAAUUCCUCUGUAAAAUACCCACUUCCAUCAAAAACCUCUCUCUCCCAUUUCUCUAAAAAAUACCCAUUUUACCUUUCAACGAUAACUUCUCACAUAAUCUUGAGGUUUGAAGGCAUUAAAUCAAAGAUAAAUCAGUUAUACGAGGAUGCAAAAGCUUAGGUUUGAAGGAUGAAGAUGCAAAUUGAGACUGAGGCUCUGAAAUUUCCUUCCAAAGUUUUUCAUUUUCUCGGUUUUUAUUUUCUCCACUGAUUUUGACUCGGUUAUCAAUCCAAGUACUAGGCAUGGCCAAGGUGGAUACAACUCGAUCGAGUUAUACCAAUCUUGGUCAAGAUUUUGAACCUUGCUCCUAGGAGGAACCCAAUCCAUCGUAGCCAAUAUAAAUAAUCUGUACCACCGUCCCAAAGGUAAUGGACAAUAUAAAAAAAGAUGAUCUACCGACUCUCCACACUCCAUACACAACAUACGAACAAUAUAAUUGAAGGCUUUGUAGGAUCUUCUCAAAUGUAGCUUGUCAUAUGUUUACCUUUUUAUGAGCCAAUAACCAAGUAAAGGACUUAACCUUAAGAAGGACUUGAGAUUUACAAACAAAAUUAAUAGGAAGGAAGCAACUAGGUCAAAAUGAUUGGACAAGGCUACAAAGAAAGACUUUACUGUAAAUAAAACUGAAAAAGAUAAAGACCAAGCUCUCGCAUCUGAAGUGGAUAGAGAUAAGUGCAAACAAGUUAGAGAGAACAUUAAUAUUUCUAGAUCUUCUAUCUCAAAUUCAAAGAGGUUACAACGGAAAUUAAAGUUUCAAGAGAAAGAAUAAGAGGACUCAAGAAUUGAAAAGAUGAGAAGAAUUUUUUAACUGUAACAAUUCUGAAUAGACCUAGAAAUUGAGAACCUAAAGGUUAAUCCUCCCACCAAAAGUCUUCUUAAAAACUGUUCUUGCUCUAUGUCCCACCACAAACUGAGUGUACCUAGUAAAAUCCUAAAAGACUUGUGCAAUGGUCUUCCAUGGUCAAUAAUGUGACACCCUGACUAUAGUGUUGGCAUCUCAUCCAUUAGUGUGUGUCACAAAAAUACUUAGAAUAAUCCGAUGCAAUAGAGCAAAACAUUUCCUAGAAAACCUCCACAACCAUUUCCCUAAUAGAGCACGAUUCCUUGAGGAAAUCUUCCCAAACCCCAGGCCCCUUCCACCUUGGACUUACACACUAAAUCCCAACUAAUAAGAUCGUCUCUCUUGCUCUCCCUAGCCAUUGACCAAAGAAAAUCUCUUUGCAAUUUCUCAAUUUUUCCAACAAUUGAAGAAGGGGUCUUAAAUAGGGAAAGGAAAUAGUUAGGAAUAUGGGAUAAGCAUGAUUGGAUAAAAGUUAUCCUUCCACCCAAUGACAAAUAGGCUUUUUUCCACCCAUCUAAUAUUUGCGAAAUUCCCUAAACCACCGGAUCCCAAAAAACACAAGGCUUUUGGUUUGCCCCCAAUGGGAGACCCAAAUAGAGAAAAAGUUAGUUGGAAGCCUUCCAAACAAGCAACAAUGCCAAUUUAGUGAGCUAAACUUGAUCAAUAUUGAUGCUAGAGAGGGUACUCUUAUCAAAAUUGAUCUUAAAUCCAGAUAUUUGCCCAAUCACUAACAAAAUAAUCCUAAGAGUUUGCAAAUCUUAACAAGGCUCUUUUAGGGACAUGCUCUUGGAGAUUUAUGAGUGAAGGGUACCCUCUUUGGAAACAAGUAAUUGUAGGUAAGUAUGGGCAAGAAGAAGGUUGGUGGUGCACUAAAGAAGUGCGAGAGAGGCAUUGGUACUUUGAUUAAUUAAAAAAGUGCGCUAAAGUCGAAAAUCUUUUUGCUUUGACUCUUUUUGGGCACUAGAGCUAUGAAAGUGGCAUUGGUACUUUGAUUAAUCACCUCACUCUUGUGGAAUUUUGAGAACACCCUUACUAAAUCCUCCUUGAUCACAUCCCACUACUCUUGAAACAUAACAAUGACAAAACUAUCAAGCCUAGGUGCCUUGUCCCUGUCUAACUGAAAAAAAUGGCUUAACAAAUCUCUUUCUUGAUAAAGAGAUGUUCCAAUCAAGAAGCGCUAUCUAUCGAGGUGGGUGACCUGUCUAACCCUUUUAACCUCUAAGACUAUCCAAGGGGGCUUGUACAAAGCUUUUGAAAAAAUGCAAUGUCUCCUUUGAAAUACCAUCAAUGUUAUCCAACACUACUCCUCCUUCAUUUUCCAAGAUCUUGAUACACUUUUUGUUUCGCCUACCAUUAGCCACCCUAUAAAAAACCUUUGAAUUA
rnacentral:lncRNA from 1 species